rnacentral:lncRNA from 1 species
UUCUGUCAGAUAAAACCCUAAUUCUAGAUGUUUGUUUCAUAUUGAUCCUUUUUCAUGUUUAUUUGAUUAUUAAUUUUAGUACUUAAGGACCGUCAACAAACUCCCCCAAGCUUACCCUUGCUCGUCCCUGAGCAAACAGCUAAACUCAGACGGAUCAGGAGUUGCUUCGAUGUUUUCUUUCCUCACAGGCACACAUGCUUUUACAUAAAAAUUCUUCCAGAUUAGAGUGAAGUGUUAUGAAGUUUAGUACCUGCACUUAAGUCUUAAGUAAUCGAAAGACAAAAUAGUUAAGCCAAGCACUAUUCCUCCUGUUUAUACUUCACUUUUGUUCUAGAUUUUUUCAUAAGUUUUCAAAAUAAAACUCAGAGUUCCCAGCAAUGAUUCUCUCAAGUCUCUCUAUAUGUAGUAUUUGUGGAUCCUUACCAUGAUAUCACUUACCUAUAGCUAAUGGAAUAUUUAAGUGGAGCUCAUAGGAGUGAUAAACAACUCAUACAUAUGUUGUCUAAUCGAGCCAUGGAUCCAAAGGAACUCAGCAUAUAAUUAAAUCAAGAUGUGCAUGUGUGAUGGAGUAAAUGAUAGUGAUGGUGAAAAUGCAUAAGUGAUAAUAAUAAAAUUUAGUUCUCAUUGCUCCUUAUAUUGCUAUUUCUUCUCUUCUUUGAUCUUUGCUUUGGGAGAACAUGGGCUAUCUUUUUCUUUUUUUUUCAGGUGGGUAGUAGAUACCCCUAAUUCUACUGUCGGACACUUGUCCAUUUUUUCUGCUCAAGUGGGCAUCUUUGUACCCCUAAUUCUACUUCGGACACUUGUCCAUUUUUACCUCUCGUCUCACUCUUUUUCUUUCUUUUCCGAGGUUCCGGGCACUUGCCCCUUUUUAUUUCCUCGUAUAUUUUUGCGUAACCCAUGCCUCUUCUGCAUUGAAUCUUUUUAGAGAGAGAGAAUAACAAUAUUCGGGACAGUGAGUGAAAAUAUUUUUAGCAAUUUUAAUGAUUGAUGAAUGCUGUGGUAGAUGUGUGUAAGUGAAUAUCUUAACUUAACCACAUGAAAAGCUCCUAAGGGUCGACACAGCUCGAUCAAACUCAAUGUAAAUAUAGUAAAAGAUGUUAUAGCAAGUAUGGCUGUGGUAGGUAGUUUGUUAUGCUAGGAACUCAUCAUGUGAUUUGCAAGUUUUCAAAAUAAAUCUCCAGAACUUAGUGUAGUAGGAACAAGAUAAACAGUGGCUCAACUUUAUAUCAUGCCUUUCUCUCACCUAGACUUUAGUUUUAUGCUUCCCAAAGAUAGUAAUUUUAGUUUUAGUAAUUCCUAGAAGAACUCUAAUAUAAAAGCUAGGUACUUGUAAGUAAGCAAACAGAGCAACUAUUCAUCAUUUCCAUCAUGUAUAUUUUUGGUCUUUUUAUUUUUUUCUAGAGAUUAAACUUAGCAUAAAAAUAAAGCACACUUAUCUACACACUCUUUUUAUUUUGUUUUCAUGUUUAUAAAGUGCAGUAAAUUAAAGCAAGAAAAUAUUUAUUUGGUUUUCUAAGUUUUCCUUUUAAGGUAAAUAAAAUACUAAGACAGAAUAGAAUAAAUACGAAGAGCAAAUAAAAACUUACUUGAUAAAUUUGGGAGGAACUCCCCCAAGCUGGAUGUUGACGUCGGUCUUACUCGAUGUUCCAGAACCGCAUCAUGGUUGUGAUGUUGUCGUUCAUUGUUGUUGUAUCUUGUCUCAGCUCUUGCACUGCAGCGGCAUGGUCCUGGUUCCAUUUUUGUUGCUCUUCCAGGAGUCUUCCAUGUUCUGCUUGCGUGUUCUGGAAGUCGAGGAGGGUGUUGUCGGUACGAGUGAAGAAAGCACCGGCCUCUUGAUAGUAGUCAUUCGUGAAGGCGUAGGAGGCGUCGGAGUAUCGUCCUGCAUCAAAUUGGGGCGGAGGUCUGGAUCCUGAAGCUCCAUAUGGAUCAGUGGAAUACCUGCCCGUAUGAAAAGGCGGGUUUGUCCACUGGUGAUCUUGGCUCUUCGGCCAUGUCUCCUCUGUUGGCUCUUGUGGUUGCGCAUGACGAGCCCAUGGGUCUCGAAGGACUCGAGGGUUGUAAUCGCAAUAAUGCAGGUGCGCUGCUUCUUCUGGUCUAGGGUCAGCUCCAUAUCAAGUGCGUUCUCGGUGAGUGGUUAUCCUUUCAGAUGCCACUCGCUCUGGAGUUCUCUGGUUCACUGGUGUUGCUGCAAUCUCAAUUAAAAAGUUUUGCACAUAGUAGAGGCCAAGGUUCGGGUUAGGUAACCGAAUCUUGCCUUUAUCAUCAUAUAGCAUAUACAUUAUAUUCCCCUCUUUCUUUAACAUCCGAGCUUGUCUAAAUGUGUCAUAGCCAUGGUAAAUUCUUAAUUCUUCUAUGAAGUCCAACGAUGAGUUUUCUAGUAAGUGAAGAUUAGUGGCUAGACGAGUGAUAAGUGAAGUACAUCCUACUGGUCCCUGAAGACUAGGUAUACUAAGCCAAUGUGAAACUAAUAGUGUAACAGGUGAAGUGGGUACUUUACUAAUAGCAGCAUAUAAAAGUUGUAAAUCUCCUACUCUUACUUUCCUAAUAUCGUCACGAUAGAAAAGAUUGUACCCAAGCCAUUUGUGGAACAUCCUAAGAGUGGGGUGUUCCAUGUCACUGGUUCGGGCUUGACUGUAAAAAUUAUCUCUAGAUAUUUCUCUCCAAAACUGGUGUCUCUCAAAAUUGGGUAAAUCGGAGUCAAUGUUCAGGAUGCAUCUUGAAGAGAAACCAAGAUGGUCGCUUAGUUCUCUCCAAGACAACAUAAUUUCCUAUUUAAACAUCCGAAAAACAAUUCCCCCCUCAUAGUAUUGUAAAGUGCAAAGAAAUUCGAGGGUGAGAAGACAAGAACCCAGCUUAGUUAUAUUCCAAAAAUUUGUCCAACCCAUCAUUUGAAAAAUUAAGUCAAAUUCAGUGUCCAUACCUGUUUCUCAUAGUAGGAUUGGAUCGAUAGUAGGGGUGUGAAUGAAAUCUUUGUUCUUCAAUUGCUGAUAGACUUCCUUCUCUCUUCGGGUCUUCAGUCCUAGGUCUCCUAUCUUGAGAAGGACCUUUACUUGCUGACCUGAUGAAGAUGAUGGAGCUUGUGUGGGUGUCGGAUCGACGCUCAUCUCUGAUGGCUGUGAGGAGUGUCGGGAUGAACUCCUUGUACCAAUGUUCUUGAGAGCCUUCCCUGCAUUCUUCACCUUCUUAAACAUCCUGCAAACAAAAGUUGGCAAAAACACAACUGGUGGAAAAUGUGAGAUAAAAUGUUAGUGGUCAGCUGUCCGGAGUGUCAGUAGUCCAGGGGUUAAUCGUUCAAGUCAAGUUGCUAUUUUGGUAGAGCCUCCCCCUAAACAACUUUUACUUCCGCUUAGACAACGGGAUCACUACUUGCUAGGUGACAAACACUCUCUCAAAAGAACUCCAACCUUCCCUUCCACUCUUCUCUUUCUUUCUACUCUCUUCUCUUCACUACAAAAGCUCCUUCUCGGGAAACUGAGAUUUGUGUGGUUUUCUGAAGUGUUUGUGUGAAGAGAAGGGGAGCUGGAGGUGGCCUUUAAUAGGCUGAGCAGGGGACAGGGCGGGCGCCCAAGGUAGGUGGGCGGGCGCCCACCCCUGGUGUCCAUCCUGGGUGUGCCUCCUUCACAUGCUUCCUUGCUUUGAUCUCACGCAAAAUAAUAUUGUGUUGGUAGUGGUUGGACGGUGGAAAGAUGUCAGGUGAGUGGAAACAUAUUGGUGGAUGAAAUUAUGUGAUGGGAUGUAUGUGAGGUGAAGUGUAUGACAUGUGGGACCCAAAGAGUGUGGGUCAUGCUUCUAGAAGAUCAAUAUAAAUAAAUAUAAUGCAGGAAAAUUUAUGAGAAUUGAAACUUAAUUAAAAUGAUAAUGGAAAAUAUUUUUGUGCCUCCACAAUAAUUAAUAAAUAUGGGUUGUAACACACCACGAAUAUUAUUUAUAUGGGGCUUUUUGAUUAUUAUAAUUAUGCUAUGAAUGUAUAUGACUAAUGCAAGAAUUAAUUAUGCAAGAAGUUAAAUAUGAGAAAAUUAAUAAUGCGGAUAAAUACCGAUUUACCUCCCGGUGAGGGUUUGGGAUUUUUAGGUCCCCCAAGCUGGACCUCCAAAUCUUUUAAUCUUCUGAGUUACCUUCCUCCGGAGAUGGUGUCUCUAGUGGUUCUUCAUGAACUUCCUUCACUGUAGAGUCUCUCUCUGGUCUGGGUUUGAAUGUAAAGUGUUCUUGACCGUUUAUGUUGAACUUGAUUUCUCCUUUCCCGACAUCAAUGUGGGCAUUGGCAGUGCUCAGAAAUGGCCUUCCUAGGAUGAUGGACACUUUUGAGUCAGGACUCAUGUCCAGUACUACGAAGUCUACUGGCACCAGGAAAUCUCUGAUCUUGACUGGAAUGUUCUCGGCGAUGCCCAGCGGGUGUCGAACCGAUUGAUCCGCUAGUUGCAAGCACAUUGAUGUUGGUUCUAAAGUUGCAUGCUCAAGCUUCUUGUAGACUUAUGCUGGCAUCACACUGACACUUGCUCCGAGAUCACAAAGUGCAUUGUUGAAGUGUUGGUUUCCAAUCGAGCAAUCAAUAGUGGGACAUCCGGGAUCUUCCUUCUUCUUUGGUGGUUUGUUGAGGAUGGCCGCACUACAUUCUUCUGUCAGCUUGAUAACCUCAGUGGUGGGCAGUGGUCUCUUCUUGUUAAGAAUAUCUCUGAUGUACUUUGCAUAUGUAGGUACCUAUAUGGCAUCGAGCAGAGGUAUGUUGACAUAUAAUUUCUGAAUGACCUCUACAAACUUACCAAACUGCUCAUCCGACUGCAGUCCUCUGUUUCUUCUGGGAAAUGGCAAAUAGUUGGUGUCGUAAAAAUCUUUCCUCAUUUCUCCAGUUCUUGGUGGUUGUAGCAGAUCUUCUGCUUCAACUGGGCUUUCUUCUUCUAUCACUGCUGGUUGCACUGGUGCUGAUGUUCUUUGUUUCUCUUUUGGGUAUGGUGGAUCUCUGGUAGCUUUACCUCCUCUAGUAGUUAUAUUCUUUACCUGCUCAAUGUUAGUAGCAACAGGCAGUGCAGCAGCUAAUUUUAUUAAUUUAAGCUCUACCCUUUUAUUAAGAGUGUUUUGCUCAUCAAAGGCAGUUAGUAGAAAAUCCAUUUUAUUGUGUAUAUCUUUUAGAGAUGAUUCAUUUGUAUCUAGCCUUUGUUUAACUUCAUCAUUAAUUUUGGUUUGUUGAGCAAUUAUCUCUUUUAAUGAAAGUAGCUUGAAAGUAUUACCUGAAUUCAUACCUUUGCUAUUGGGUUGACUCGAAGUUGGUUGAUAUUUGUAUGCUGUCUGAAAGGUCCAAAUGGCUAGAGGGGGGGUGAAUAGCCUAUUUAAAAUUUCUACAAACUUCAACUAGACAAGUUGAUUAGUAAAACAAAAGGCGACGCUAUUUUAGCACUAGCACAACUAAGCUAUGCAAGCCACCUACACAAGUCUAGCAAGAAAGCUAAACACAAGUUACAACAAGAAAGCACAACUACAAACUUGCUACACUCCUAAACAAGAAGACUAAACUAAACAAGCUAAACAACUAGCAAGAUAAACAAGUAAGUAAAGGAGUGGAGAGUGAUUGUUAUACCAACAUUGUAGAGUAGAGAUAUAUCCAACCAAUCACUCACAAUCACAAGAAAGACCUCGGCAAGAGAUGACACAAGAUUUUUUACCGAGGUUCACUUGCUUGCCGGCAAGCUACUCCUCGUUGUGGCGAUACACCCACUUGAUGGAUCACAAGCUAAUUGGCAAUCCAAAGCCAAACCCUCAGCGGGUGCCGCACAUCCACUCACAAGAUGGGGAUCCUCCAAGCCACGAGCAAUCCACUAGAGUAACCAAUUUGCGAUCUCCCGCGGGGAAGGCUCAAGAACCCCUCACAAAUCACUUGGUGAGGCUCGAAACAAUCUCCAAUCACGAGCUCAACACCACCGCUGCUCCAAGCCGUCUAGGGCGUCGGGAAACACCCAAGAGUAACAAGAAAUCCGCAGCAAACUCAAGAAUCAAGUGCCACUAAAUGCAACUCUCAAAGCAAUGCACUUGAAUCUCACUCAAUCUCACUAGGAUGAGCAAUCAAGCAAGGAGAUGAGUGGAGGGAGUGUUCUCUAGCUCAAAGUAUGUCUCAAGUAAUCAAAAGUGCAAGAGAGAACCUCCCAAAGCCGGCCACCAACUAUUUAUAAGCCCCUCAAAGAAACUAGCCGUUGGCUGUUUUCAUUGGGCUGAAAACGGGGGCACCGGACGCUACUAAGUGAGCACCGGACGCUACUAAGUGAGCACCGGACGCUCGACUUCCUGCGUCCGGUGCACUGGAGUUGGCCACGUGUCCUCUUUGAAUCUCGCGUGUCAGAUCCUAACGGUCACCUGCGGACCACCGGACGCUCUGCAAGUCCACACCGGACGCGUCCGGUGCUCACCGGACUCAUGCGCAGAGAGUUUGUCAAACUCGCGACCUCACCGGACGCUAGGCACCGGACGGUCCGGUGCUCACCGGACUCGUGCGCAGAGAGGGUUGCAAAAACCCCUCACACCGGACGAUAACCACCGGACGCUCUCAGAGUGCGUCCGGUGCUCAACCCUAGCAGGGUCAAGCACACCGGACGCUGAGGCCAGCGUCUGGUGCCUCCGCAAUCAGCGUCCGGUGAGUGUUUCUCAGAGAGAAAACACUCCCGUGACUUCACCAAAAUUUCCCACCGGCGCAAUAGAAAAUAUACUCUUAUUUUUCUCAAAAGCGCCGAAUCCCGCCUUGCAAGCUCGGCGGGAGGGAGAGAGGAACCCACACCCCUCUCAACCCUAGGAACUCCACCUCCUUUGUAAAUGUGCUAACACGAACAAGUGUCCACCACCAAAGUGCACGUGUGUUAGCUUUUCACAAACAUUUUCACCAAAGGAGUUAAGUUAGCACUUUACUAGAUCCUAAUGCAUAUGCUCAAGAUGUAGACCUAGUAGCACUUGAUUCGAGAGAUGACCGUGAUUUCCCCUCUUGAUAGUCGGCUAUCUAUCCUAAACCCGGUCAAUCACUUCUCUACUCAUCUUAGACCGGCAAAAGUAAAACCCUAUGUUUAUACCUUUGCCUUGAUAACUUUGCUCCUUGUUUAUCACCAUGAUCUUCACUUUAUGCUUCAUCCCUUUGUGAUCAUGUGGCCACCUUUCCAUGCCACCAUGCACCUUCAUCACAUGUGUUGCUAUGCCUAACUCAAAUCACUUAAACAUAAGGCAUUAGCAACUUGGUGUCAUUAAUUACCAAAACCAAACUUGGGCUUUCACUGUCUCAAUGGCCCUUUGAUCUUCUUUAAACUUGGCCCUCUGGUCAAUCCAAUGGAGCAAAUUUUCCAUCUUAGUUGAUAAUGCUUUUACUUCUUCGGGUAUUUCUUCAGUUUGAUGACAUUGUUGAGCUUUAUCUUGGAACCAGCUUUGGUUUUCUGCUAUCUUAUCCAAAAGUAUCUCUGCUUUUCCAGUUGUAAGCUCCAAGAAUGAUCCUUUAGCAGAUGCAUCUAGGCACUCACGAGCCUUCUGGGUUAAUCCAUGGUAGAAGGUCUGCAUAAGUAACCAUGUAGCCAUUCCAUGGUGAGGACAAUCUGAUAUGUAUCCUUGAAAACGCUCCCAUGCUUCUGAAAUGGCUUCUGUCUUCUAUUGUUGGAAACUGACAAUAUUUUCUCUUAAGGCAGUUGUUUUGCCUAUAGGGAAAAACUUUGAUAGAAAGGCAUCUGACAAGUUCGUCCAGUUGUUGAUGUUAUCUUGAUGAGUGUAGAACCACUUCCUCGCUUUCCCUUCUAGUGAGAAUGGAAAAAGACGAAGCAGUAUGACGUCUUUGUCAACUCCGUUGAUGUGGAUUGUGCUUCCAAUCUCUAAGAAAUUCUGCAAGUGUGCACUGGCAUCUUCAUGUGCCUUUCCACUGAAUUGUGUAGCUUGUACCAAAUUGAUGAGGCUUGACUUGAGCUCAAACUCGGGUAUUCCUUCUUCUACUGCAAAUCUUGGACCGGUUGGAAUGUUGUCAAGACUUGGAGCAGAGAAUUCUUGCAAGGUCUUGUGUGCCAUAGCUUCAGCAAUUGGUAGCUAGCUUCUUCUUCUCUUGAUUGCUUUGGUUCUGAUGAUGAAGAGUUGAAUGUACCCAAAGUCAAUCCUGUUAUACCCUGUAUAAAAAUAUAAACAUAGAAAAACAACAGGGUGAACCUGCCAAAGCAGCGGUGCCUUGUUAUGAUUUCUCACUUAGUAGCUAUUUUAUGCAAUUAUUUCUCUAUAGUCUAGUCUAAUAUUUUAUAUGAAUAACCUUGAUUGAUUUUCUGGCUUUCCUUAAUAAUACCCUUUUGUUCCCUUUUAUGACUUAUUCCUGAGACUCGUAUAAUUCCUAUAAUUCCUAUAAUUCCUAUAAUUCCCCGGCAACGGCGCCAGAAAAUGCUUGUUGACACUAGCUAACACCACUUAGAUACUAGGUUGUCAUCCCUAGCAUGGUGCCAGAGUGUACAAAGGUAUUUAUAAAUGUAAAGGCUCUCUAGAAAAUAAUCUAUUCUAUCCGCAAGCGCACAGAUAAAACACCUCAUUGUAGCAUUUCACCAGGAUAAGUAUUCCAGGUAUCGUUAUUUAUAAUUUUGCUCUAGGGAUCUAAGGAGAUGGAAUUAAAUCAAAGGGGCAAAAUCUAUCAAGGCAUAGACUAGAGAUAAACUUGCAAGAACAUGAUUACUAAUGAGAAACUCGUCACACAGUCACAUACUUUAGCAGGGGGUAAACCAUAAAGAUAAUGAUAAUAAAGUAUAAGUUCAUGGGUAGAUAACACAGCGAUUAGAAAAUAGACUACUCCUCAUAUAUGUAGGUGAUGUCGGAUUAGCUAGAGAAUGGAUUCUAAGUUAUCUACUAACUACUAAGUCAUAAUCUACUCUAGUUAUCUACAAUAUCAUAUAUAGCAUAAAAGACUCUUCAUUCAUGUAUAAGGAACAUUGAUAAAGUAAAUCAGAGCAUCGCAUGACUUACUCCACAAUACCGGUUCUGCCUGUCCUAUCAACGGAGGGUGGACUAUAUAAGAAUCAACGAAGCUGUCACUAUCGCGAACUACCACACGACUCGGCCAAUAGGAUACAUUUGCAGAUAAAUAACAUCUAAGCACCACGCUCACAUGUGAUCUAUCACCUAACUCCCUCGCGUCAAGAGCUAAGCGCUUUGCAAACUUAUACAUAAACUCAUUAUCAAUUAGAACUAUAUCAAAUAUAGAACUAGAGCAAACUAAGAACAUAAUAAUUAGAGACAUAAUGCAAUUAGAACAAUAGAAUUAGAGAAAGAUAUGAAUAAUACCAAUCUUUAUUACCGAAGAUCCGAAUCCAGAGCGUAGUGCUCUACUUCUCUAAUUGCUAUCUAAUCAACCUCUAAACUUGAAAGAUUAGGGAGUAGCUAAUUCUAAUUCUCUGUGGGAGAGAGAUCUAAACCCUAACUUUGAUGGCUACCUCUGAAUAAUGAUUUCUCCUCUCUUCCUCCAGGGGCCAGGGGGUCUGGUUUUAUAGUCCCCUCAAGUGAACGUGAGCCAUUGGAUCAAACCGACAUAGAUUGUAUGGUUUAGAUUGAUCCUUUAGGUCGGUGGAGCGUAGUCCCGAAGUAGAGUCCUGGUUGGCUUCCUGGCCAGGGCGGGCGCCCAAGGGGGGUGGGCGGGCGCCCUGCCCCCGAGCCCGAAUCGCUUCCCGUUCGUUCCCGUGGCUUCUGGAUCCUUCUAGAUUGAGGAAAAUUGCGCGGCACGUAAUUAUCUCGUUGUAAACAUGACAUGUGGGCCUUCUCUCCAUAUUUUCUGAUAAACCCCUGCAGAAAUAGAUAAACACCAAAACUCGUGGAAUUCUGUCAGAUAAAACCCUAAUUCUAGAUGUUUGUUUCAUAUUGAUCCUUUUUCAUGUUUAUUUGAUUAUUAAUUUUAGUACUUAAGGACCGUCAACAAUCGGCACUAGCUCGUCAACUAGCUUUCGGCCAGCUGCCGAUCGCACUCUGUUAUGCCGAUGUGAUAAAACACAGGGAAGCCAUCACUAACCUUCUCGAGUGGAUUCGAGUAGCUCAAUUGCCACCGAGUGCCGAUACAUAUGCAGAUUUAUCAGAGUGGAUCCUAGCCCUCUUCAUCACUCAGGCAUAAAAACAAUGGUGUGAAGAAUGGAAGGAGCAUUUGUUCUGCAAAUCGGCGCUCACGUACCGCGGCAUGAUUGACCCCCAGUACAAAGUUCCUGAUAACACUGUAAGUAUUUCCAAACCGAUGUCCCAAUUCCUUUACUUUUAUUUCCAUCGGUAACUCACUUUCUGUAUUAUAUUGCAGGUUGAUAACGUUCCCCCAUCGGUCAGCAGGAGUGGCAAGCCGAUUGACCUUUUUCCAUCAGGCCCGAUCUCCUCAAUCGGCAACAAUGCUCCUACCUUGGCUGCCAUAAUGCACCGAGGUGUACGCCUCAAGAAGGUCACCACCAAGAGUUCAAAGACAUCUCCAUCGGUAGCUGCCUCUGCUUUGGCACAGGCUUUCAAGGUAAACUUUUAUACCGAUUUCAUCUUUACAUCUAAUAUGCUUGCACUCACGAAUCAAAACCGGCACAUCGGCAAGGACCAGAAGCACAAGUGCCGAUGCCCCCCACUCCAGUCAGCCGAAGAGAAAAGGUGCCAAGAGUACCAGAGCACAAACAAAGUGCCAACGAGUAGCAACGCCUCCUCCUCCACCGGUAUCUCCAAUUCCGGUAGAAUCUUCUCCCUCUUCUCUAGAAACACUGACAUAGCAAGUACCAUUUCCUUCUCAGCCGCAAGAAGCACCCCAAGUGGAAGAACCCCAACCAGAAGAGCCUUAGCUGGAAGUACCUCAGCCAGAAGACACAUUGGCUAACGUAGGCGAGCAGACUACAGAUCCAGCAGGUUCAAUCAUAUCAUCGGUAGUUUCCUCGAUCCAGACAAGCACUGUACCUCCCCAAGGUAAUAUAUCUUAUGAAAUCAUUGCCGAUGGACCCAUUUUCCCGAUCUUAUAAUUACCUCUGCUAAUUUUUCAGCCGACAUAGUUCCAUCGGCAACUCUGGCCGAUCAACCCGUGGUUCCAUCGGCAUCUUCUAGUUAGGGGCGAGAGAUUGCCCUAAAACAAGUAAGUUAUCCAAUCCCUGUCUGUAUCAUUUAUCAAUACCUGACCAUAGAAUAACUCAUUUUAUUUCCUUUUCAGGAGCAGGACUCUCGCGACAGUUUGUUCUCUUUUGCCAUCGACAUCUCCGAAGAUGAGGGUGAAGAAGCAAGCUCUUCCCGGGCAGUCGGGAUCACAUCGGCAGAGAUAAGGGCGAAAUUGGAAGAAUUAUCAGCCCUCCUUCACCAAGACACAGCCCAGCUAGUUGACGACUCCGAUCCAGCCAAGGCUUUGUUCAAAGCCCUCAGAGGCCAGAUUCCUGCCGAUGCUGAAGAAAUCCUCUUCCAAGCUGCACAUCUGGAGAGCCGUCAGCUGCAGUACCAGAGGGCUGCCCAACGUCUCGCCGACAGAGCCAUUCAUGCCCAACUCUCCGAGGAAAUGAUGAAGGUGAAGCUCCUUGCCGAUGAGAAGCACAAGAACAUCGGCAUUCUAAACUCCUCAGGAGAUGCUCUGAAGCUCAAGAUCUCCGAUCUAUCGGCCAAAAGAGAAGCCCUGUUGGCAGAACUCAAGCAAGUAGAAGACGCCUUUUCCCAAGCCCGUCAAGAAGAAAGCCAACUGCCGGAGACAAUCAAGCUUCUUGAGCAAGAACGAAACAUCCAAGCCCGCACGGCUUUGCAGAUGAAGAAAAAGCUGAAGCCAGUGGAAGGCUCUGCCGAUGAUGAUACGAAAGUGAUAGAAGAAGCAAACCAGAUCUGUCUGCGUGCUAUAUCAGCGAUCCAAACGCUGCUGAACAUGUGAACCAUUCAUCGGCAACAUACUUGCUUCUUUCUUUUGAACAUUCUCAAGAUGUUGGUCUAGCCGAUAAGACUGUUAUCGGCACCUUCUUAAAACACUAAGUCCAGCUCCAGAUACAUUUUGAUCCAGCCAAUAGGAAUGUUAUCGGCACUUAACUUUCAUGCAUCAAUCCAUAUGCUGGGGUAGUACUUCUUUAGAUAUUUGCCAUUUAAUGCUCUGGGAAAUUUGACUCCCUCGAGAGUUUCUAAAAUAUAGGCAUUACCAGGAGCCGGUCGACUUAUCCGAUAAGGACCUUCCCAAUUGGGAGACCACUUCCCAAAAUUUGAACUUUUAGUCCCGAUCGGUAAGAUUAAUUUCCAUACUAAGACUCCAUCGGCAAACUUCUUAGCCUUUACCCUCUUAUCAUACCAUCUGGCAACUCUCUUCUUAUUCUCUUCUAUACUCAUCAAAGCCCUCAACCGAUGUCCUGCUAGAUCAUCCAACUCGUCUGUCAUCAAGGUAGCAUAAUCAUCGGCAGUCAAUUGAUCUUGAAAAAAUAGUCGCCUAGACCCAGUCUUAAUUUCCCAAGGUAGCACUGCAUCAUGCCCAUACACCAACUGAUAAGGUGAAACCUUGGUCGAUCCAUGACAAGCCAUCCGGUAUGACCAUAAAGCUUCGUUUAACAAUGUGUGCCAUUUCCUAGGAUUUUCUUCAAUCUUUCGUUUAAUAAGCUUGAUAAUUCCUUUGUUAGAUGCCUCAGCCUGCCCAUUAGCUUGAGCAUAGUAAGGAGAAGAGUUUAAUACUUUAAUUCCCAUACCGAUUGCAAAUUCAUCAAACUCCCCUGAUGUGAACAUAGUACCCUGAUCGGUAGUAAUUGUUUGAGGAAUUCCAAAUCGGUAAAUAAUAUGCUCUUUCACAAAAUCAAUCAUAUUGGCCGAUGUAACUUUCUUUAAAGGAAUAGCUUCAACCCAUUUGGUGAAAUAAUCAGUGGCAACUAGAAUAAAUUUAUGUCCUUUGCUGGAUGGCGGAUAAAUCUGGCCGAUCAAGUCAAUAGCCCAUCCCCGGAACGGCCAAGGUUUAAUAAUAGGAUUCAUGGCCUAUGCGGGUGCUCUUUGAAUAUUGCCAAAUUUCUGACACCCUUGACAUCGCUUGAAAGAUUUAAAGCAAUCUUCAAGUAUGGCCGGCCAAUAAUAUCCAUUCCUCCUAAUCAUCCACUUCAUCUUAAAAGCCGACUGAUGUGCUCCACAAACCCCUUCAUGGAUUUCUCCCAUCAAACUCUUAGCUUCAUCAUCACCUAAGCAUCUGAGAAGAAUCCCAUCAAUAGUUCGAUAAUACAAUUCAUCUUCAAGGAGCACAUAUUUGGUGGCUUGAAACCGAAUUCGUCUCUCAACUUUCUUGGAUGGAUCCUUCAAAUAAUCAAUGAUUUCCUUUCUCCAAUCAUCGGCACCGAUUGCCGAUAUUGUAUUAAUCAUAGGCUGAUAUCCCGAGGCAUGCUGGGCCAACCGAUUGGCCUCUUCAUUAUGCAAUCGAGGAACAUGCUGUAACAGGAAAUCUUUGAAUUCCUUUAACAGUUGCAUACUCCUUUCAUGAUAAGUUAUGAGGACCUCACUUCGGCAUUCAUAGCUUCCAGCCAAUUGAUUUAUAACUAGCAUAUAAUCUCCGAAGAUUUCAACAGCAUCAGCAUGAACUUCUCUUAGUAACUCCAACACCUUUAUCAAAGCUUGGUACUCAGCCUGAUUAUUUGUUGACGUGGCAACAAUCGGCAAGGAGAACUCAUACUUCCUCCCCCGAGGGGAAAUUAACACUAUGCUGAUUCCUGCCCCCUCGGUCACAUGUGGAUCCAUCAAAGAAAAGCGUCCAAGGUACAAUCUCCAAAGUUUCCACUGCACCACAAUGUUGAGUUACAAAAUCGGCCAUAAUCUGCCCUUUGACCGCUUUAGCCGAUUCGUAACGCAGAUCGAAUUCUGACAGUGCCAAAAUCCAUUUACCGAUCCUGCCACUCAUGAUCGACAUAGAUAGCAUGUACCGAACCACAUCAUCUUUGCAAAUAACAGUGCAUUCGGCCGAUAGCAAAUAAUGCCUUAGCUUAAUACAGGAGAAAUACAAGCAUAAGCAUAGUUUCUCAAUAGCCGAAUACCUGGUCUCAGCAUCAAUCAACCUCCUGCUUAAAUAGUAAAUCACACGUUCCUUCCCUUCAAAUUCUUGAAUUAAAGCCGAACCAAUGACCAUCCCAUCGGUAGAUAAAUACAAUCUGAAGGGCUUCCCUUGUUGAGGUGGAAUCAGGAUUGGAGGAUUCACCAAAUAAUUCUUGAUUUCAUCCAAGGUCAACUGUUGUUCCUUCCCCCAAACGAAUUCUUGAUCAGCUUUCAACUUAAGUAAAGGACUGAAAGCACGAAUUUUACCAGACAAAUUAGAUAUAAAUCUCCUGAUAAAAUUUACCUUGCCGAUCAAGGACUGGAGCUCAGUCUUGUUGGUAGGAGCAACUAUUUUGUUGAUAGCAUCGAUGGACCUUCGACUAAUCUCAAUCCCCCUCUGAUGUACCAUGAAACCAAGGAACUGUCCUGCCGAUACACCAAAUGCACACUUAUUGGGAUUCAUCUUCAAACCAUGCUUCCUUGUACAUUCCAAUACCUUUCUCAAAUCGGCAAGAUGCCUUGUAAAGUCUCCAGACUUAACCACCACAUCAUCAAUAUAAAUCUCCACCAGCUUGCUGAUGAACUCAUGAAAUAUAAAAUUCAUAGCCCUCUGAUAAGUAGCACCAGCAUUUUUCAAGCCAAAGGUCAUGACUAUCCAUUCAAACAACCCGACAUGACCAGGACAUCUAAAUGCAGUCUUCAGAAUAUCUUCCUCAGCCAUGAAUAUCUGAUUAUACCCUGCAUUGCCAUCCAUAAAGCUGAUAAUCCGAUGCCCAGCUGUAGCAUCAACUAGUAGAUCGGCAACUGGCAUUGGGUAGCCAUCCAUCGGUGUAGCUUUGUUAAGAUUCCUGAAAUCAAUGCAGACCCGAAGUUUCCCAUUUUUCUUAUAGACCGAGACAACAUUGGAAAUCCACUCGGCAUACCGACACUGCCGAAUAAAUUUAGCUUCAAUAAGUUUGGUGAUUUCGGCCUUAAUAUCAGGGAGAAUAUUAGGAUUACAUCGGCGAGCUAGCUAUUGAUGUGGCCGAAAUCCGGACUUGAUAGGUAACCGAUGUUCAACAAUUGAUCGGUCCAAACCAGGCAUCUCGGUAUAAUCCCAAGCAAAGCAAUCUUUAUAUUCCUUUAACAAAUCAGUUAACUGCUGCUUACACUCAGAAUUUAACUUAGCACUAAUAAAAGUAGGCCUAGGCUUAUCACCACUACCUAUGUCUACUUCUACCAAAUCAUCGGCCGAUGUGAAUCCCUGGCCUAAUUUUCCAUCAUCGGCGAACCUAUCCAUUAAAAACCUUCAUCAGAACCGACUGCUUGGAUCGGUGGAAUUUCAUAAUCGGCAACCUUGAGAAAAUCCUUUUCCCAAACCUCUCCUGAAAUACACCUAGUCCUCUCCUAGGUGUCUGCCUCUGCCGAUGCAAUAACAUAGGAAGAAUCUCCCGGGACAAUCUCAAUCUUGUCGCCUACCCACUGGACCAAGCACUGGUGCAUUGUAGACGGGAUGCAACAAUUGGCAUGAAUCCAAUCCCUUCAUAGCAGCAAGUUAUAAGCACCUUUCCCACUGAUCACGAAGAAGGUUGUCGGCAAGGUUUUGCUGCUGAUGGUCAACUCAAUGCAUAUCGCCCCCUUAACUGGAGACACAUUGCCCUCAAAGUCUUUAAGCAUCAUAUCGGUCUUGGUUAAAUCCUGAUCUCCUUUUCCAAGCUUCCGAUACAUUGCGUAUGGCAUAAUAUUGAUAGCAGCUCCGCCAUCAAUUAGAAUCUUGGUCAUCGGCUGACCAUCAACCCUUCCUUUGACAAACAGGGCCUUCAGAUGUUGCCUUUCAUCAUCGGCAGGCUUUUCAAAUAUGGCUGUCAUCGGAUCCAGAGCCAACUGAGCUAUUUGGUCGGAAAACUCCAACUCAUCAUCACUGGAUGGCGCAAGGAACUCCAUCGGCAACAUGAAUACCAUGUUGAUGUCUGCCGAUGGUCCGUUUCCCUUAGGAUCUGGUUGUUGCUGAUCUCCAGACCGGCCAGAGUUCUCGCCCUUGCUCAACUCUUCUUGCCUUUCACGCUGCAGCCUUCUCUUUUGUGUCCUGGUCAACCCUUCUGGACACCAUGGAGGGAGUUGCUGCUGCCUUACCGAUGGGCGAUGAUUUUCUCUUGACUCCAUCCGAUAAGUAUUUGCGUCGCUGCAGAAGAUGAACUCAUCGAGAACCCGUGCAUUAGCCAUCUCUUCAAGUUCCUCCUGGUUCCUAGGAAAAUACUCAACACGAUCACCGAGCCUGUCGUGCGCACUGAGCCUGCCCCCCAACCGAUCAUGAACGGACGCUCUCCCCUCAUCGCGAUAGUGCCGAUCAGAUCUGUCAUACCGAUCAUAACCAUUGCACUCAGGACAAUCUCUGACAGUGGGAAGCUUGAUGUUUUCCUCCCAACAAUGGAUGAAGAACGGACAAUUCCAAUGAUCCCUAUGCCAAUUCCACUCCUGUCGGCGUCUUUCUUCUUCACGACGAUAGUCCUCUUGCUAGCACCGAUACCUAUCCUCACGUUGCUGCCAAGUUUCCUGAGGCCUUCUGUGAGUUAUUACAAUGCCGGAUCGGGGAGGUCUUCCCGAGUUAGCUCCCUCCUGGAUCAAGCCUUUUCCUUUCGCAUCGGCAGUAGUGAUCUGAUGCUGAGGAUCCACCGAUGCACUUCUUUCAGCUGCUUCCAAUGUUAAGACCUUAGCCUUCCCCUUAGCAUCUAGCAUGUUUGUUGGGAAAAGAUGUUGAUCAAUCUUCAUCGGCUUCUAAGCUUUAGAGCUGUCGAAUUUGAUCCUUCUAGAUUCUAUAGCCGAUUGCAACUGUUGUCUAAAAACAUUGCACUCAUUGGUGCUGUGAGAAGUUGCAUUGUGCCAUUUGCAGUACUUCAUCCUUUUUAAUUCUUUAACCGAUGGAAUUACAUGAUUAGGUGACAAUUUGAUCUGACCCUCCUGAGGUAGAAAGUCAAAUAUCCUAUCGGCCUUAGUGAUGUCAAAUGCGAACUUCUCUGGCUCUUUGUGCCCAAAAGGACAAGACAUCGGCUUCUUGUUUGUCACCCACUCUGCUAAGCCGAUGACUGGUUCCUCAUCAGAGUCUGAGCUUGCUGCUUCAUCAAUGAAUGAGACCUUUUUGUUCCAUGCUCUCUUGGGUUCAAAAUGUUUGAUAUCUUGAUCAGAAAUUCUCUGCACCAAAUGACUUAAGCUUUCAAACUCCUGAGAUGCAUACUUGUCCCUGAUAUGUGGCAACAAGCCCUGGAAAGCCAAAUCAGCUAGCUGCCGAUCAUCCAGAACCAAACUAUAGCAUUUGUUCUUGACUUCCCAUAUCCUCUGCACAAAACUUUCAACCGAUUCAUCAUUGCGUUGCUUUAAUUUAACCAAAUCGGUGAUCUUCUUCUCAUGGACUCCAGAAAAGAAGUAUUUGUGGAACUGCUUCUCUAGAUCGGCCCAAGUAAUCACUGAGUUGGGAGGUAACGAUAUAAACCAUGUGAAAGCCGAUCCAGACAAUGAUGACGAGAACAAGCGAACCCUUAACUCGUCCCUAUUAGCAGCUUCCCUGCAUUGGAUGAUAAACCGGUUGACGUGCUCCAUGGUUGACGUAUCAUCCUGUCCAGAAAACUUGGUAAAAUCCGGUACUUUGUAUCGAUUUGGAAGCGGGAUUAAAUCAUAUGCAGGAAGAUACGGUGUUCGAUAAUAGUAAGUGUUGACUUUUGGUUUUAUCCCAAAUUGGUCUCUCAUUACUUCAGCAAUCUUAUCGGCCCAAUAAGCAUCGGCGUCUUGCCGAUGAGGCGGUUGCUUCCACGUGUCUGUGCGGUGCACGAUCUGCAUGGAACAUUGGAUUAAUCAUGUGGCCACCCAUCUGCUGACCGCCAAACUAUUGCCCGCCGGUCUGCUGUCCGCCAACCUGCUGUCCGCCGAUCUGCUGUCCGCCGAUCUGCUGUCCAAUAUUCAUCGGCUGGUUGGGCAACCCCUGAUUUUGGAACCCGAGGUAGAUCUGGCCUUGCUGAAACCCUGUAGCCUGAUGAUUCUGUUGGGGCAUUUGCGGAAAGACUUGCUGCCCAAGCCAUCCACUAUUAGCAUUCAUCGGCAUAGGUCCUGCCGAUGACUGGUAAUUGGGCAUCAUCAUUGAAUUGACAUACCCUGGCUGCGUCAUAAACCUCUGUUGCAUCAGCAUUGAGUCUGCCAAUGCGUUAGGCAUCUGGAACGUUGGAGCUUGAGAAUUCCCAGUGUAAGGCCUUGCAGUAGUGGUUGUAGUAUACUGGGGACUCUGAUUCAUCGGCAUAUUUGGAGGCGCCGAUGCCAUAGGAGCCUUGCCUCUCAUAUCAGCCGCCUGGGACGUACCCGGUGUCUUCAACGUGAACUCUGGGGGCAUACCAAAACCCCACCAGUUAGGAGCAGGAACCUGUCCUAACAUUGCCAAUGCCAACAGAUCUGUAGUAAGCUUGAUCGACUCAUCUGAUGUCGAUGGAUUGGUUGUCAUCGGCGUAGAUUGUGCAUUAGUGACUCCUAACGUACUUGGAGGAACAGCAGUUUCUGUGCCCGCAGCGGCUGUAGCAGCCGAUGGAGCUGUGACAACUGGCGAUCCUAGCUGAUGAUGAGAAGGGCCCACAUAAUUUAGUGGCAAUUGUCCUUCCUUGAAAGUUCUAGCCACGGCAUUGAAAACCGUAUUGGACAGCACACCAGCUUGGUUGAUCAAGGCACGGUUGAUAGCACUAUCGACCAUGUCUUGGAGUUUACUAGGAUUGGCUUCAAAAGUAACCUACCGAGGCAUCGGCAGUGCUUCCUUCUGGAUCGCUUCGCCGCUCCUGUUUAUGCUGAAGGCCUUGAGACAUUGUUGCUUGUAAUCCUCCAUAGCCUUCGCAAUAGCUUGCUUCUGCUCAUCUUUGAGGCUAGCUUCUGUCACGGGGACGACGUUCUCCAAUUCAAACUCAGUAGUCGACAUGUUGAUCUUGAUCUUGAAUCUGUCCCACUGGGCGUGCCAAAAGAUGUGUUGAUGCAAAAGCUAGAUCUGCAAACACAAAGGGCUAAUACCCGAUUUCAAACGUUAAGGCGUGCCAGCCGAUUUGACCUUACUAUCGGCAAAGGUGAUAACUUGAAUACUUUGGUCUCGACAACAGCGAUGCGCCCGGAUGCCACGGCCAAGAGGUAUUCACGCGGGACUUGAGAAUACACCGAGCUUGAGUCGACGAACUCCUAAGAACUCGUAAUGAAAAAGGAAAAUAUGAUGAGGUCGUCGAAAGAGUAGAUACUGGAAUAUGAGUAAAAACUUGUAUUUGAUUGAUUGAUAGAUGUCUCGAUUACAAGGCCCUAGGGUCUACAUUUAUACCCUGCUCAAAGAGCUACAACCAGACACGACUAGAAUUCGAAUUCCAAAUUUAAACAGAAUCCGUGUAUAAAACGAUUUAAAUAACUAAGGAAAACAUAAAACUAUCCUGCCGUGACAAGCUGGGACACCACCACGGACCAAUUGGCAACCUCCAAGUCUUCCUUCUAUGUCAUCGGCAGACUCCCCAUUGGCAACGAUUAAUACUGGCCUUCGGCAUAAACACAUCACCACCCAUGGACUUAGCCACAUUCAGCUGUCUCCUCAUCGGCAACCACCCUUAUCGGCAACUCUCCUGCAGACCAGUCACUAUUGCCCUUUCUUGCCGAUCUACACUCUACCGAUCCUGGGUACGUGUCCAAAAACGGUGUCAACACUUUCAUCUGUUAGAACAAAUCACGAAAUUACACGGACAACAAGCAAUGCAGCCCGAUCCAACGAACAUGAAGAGCACCCUAGCCCUAGAGAGCAAAAAAUACAUGAUCAGUUUUCUUAGGAACAGUUUGAUGAAGAAGUGGGCAAUGGUGUAGCAUUUAUGCUUACUCAGGAGGAGUCUGGCGUGGAGCAAGGGGGAGAAGUGGGAAUAGGAGAGACUGAUGAAGGAUCUAGCAAGGACGAUGACUCAACCUCAGGAUAUGAAAGUCUUGAGGAUCCACACCCAUGUGAACCUAGACGGAAGCCAACGAUGGAUGAGUUGGACAAGGACUUUGACCCAAACGAGGAGGUAGGGAUAUGAAAGUCCCUUAGUAAAUCAUAAGUUUUGGUAAUGAUAUGGCUGUGUUACCUCUACUAACACUUUGACCUAUUGUUUAUACAGGUCCCUCCUAAACCUCCAAAAAGACCACGUCGACGUCAAGCACGUUUCGCCAGACAUGACGGGGCAAGGGAAAGGAGGGCAGAGGCAACAGGCACAGAGACUACCAUUGUGGCCUGUACUCCACAACCUGAAGGCACAACCUCGGCUUUGACUACCAAAUUAAAAAGGAAAGGAGGGGUCAGAAAGCCAAACCACUAUCCAAAUGCAAAAAUGAUUUAUGUGAUUGACGAGGUUGGGGAAAAAGGGCAGAUCCUUAAGCCAAAGGAGUUCCAAUCAAAAUUCCGCAAUGCAAUUGGGGCCCUAGUCAGAGACAAGUUGAACCCAUCAAUCCGCAAUUGGCACGACUAUCCAGAGGACAUAAAGGAUGACCUAUGGAAAAAUCAUCUGUUGGCCAAUUUUCAUUUUAGGAUUCUGGUAGAGAAGCUAUCCCUAGUAAGACGACGUCCUAUGAAGAUGAUGGCGAAAUCAUUCCGACAUUGGAGGAAUGAGCUGAACACCGAGUACAUCAAAAAGGGGUUAACUCCAUACCAUAAGUAUGGACACAUAACUCCUGCUAUAUGGGCGUUGCUCAUGGCUGAGAAGACUGCACCAGAAUCUUUGGCCUUAAGUGAAAAGAAUAGCUUGCAGGCAAAGAAGAACAUCCACCACCCUCAUCUAGGCCCCAGUGGCUACGAGGGCAAGGAAGAGAUGUUUAGAAAGAUGGAAGAGGAGGCCGUAGCUGUUGGGAAUACAAAAGUAAUGAAAUUGAAGCCACGCACCAAGCGUUGGGUCUUUGCAAGGAAUCUGGAAGAAUCAGGCAGCAGUCUGAACUUUGCCAAGCUAGAGACCGAGGAGGCAGUGUCAAGGAUUAUGAAAUUGUUGAGGGUAUCAAUAAGGGAUACCCUAACUGACGCACAUAACGAGAGCACCCGUACGCAAGUCGAGGCCUCCGACUCGACGCCCCCGGUCGCACAAACGGUCAUCGACGUCCAAAGCCUCGAACACGGAAAGGGCGUCGUACAAAUCGAUUAGGGCUCGAGCGCUGGUAACCGUCGAAUACGGAAACAGGCUCAUACGAAUCGAAAGGCCUCGAGUGCAAGGACGCCGCCCGCCACCUGACACGGGCACGGGGACCAGGGCAUUUAAUGCGUCUGCUGCACUCUCACCUAACUCGUCAGUCACGGGAAGCGUGAUUGGGAACAAGCACCCGUCCAAUCUUUCUUUUUACAGCCUUGCCCACCAAAUAAGCCAGAGUGUGGCAGGGCGCAGCAAGGUGGUCGGAACGUCUCGUCAAGACCCCUCUCGAGACGUCCAAAGUCAGCGCUCUACCCAGCGAGGCUUUAAGUGGUAUUCGACCCUCGAGCAGGCACGUUCCUUCCCAGAGAAGGGUCGGGCAACAGAGGACGGCGCCUCAACCACUCUGACGCGGCCGUAGUCGCGACGUACAAGCGUGCAACGGAUAAACCGGUCCAGGACAAUGCACAGGAGCAGGAUUCAGGGGCACGUGUAAUCAUCAUCAAAGUACCAAGACAAGACGGCUCGAGGCCACGCCGGUACGGAGGCCUCGAGUUGGUCAGCGCGCCAUACCUCUAUCAACCCCUAUUCUGCCACCUACAUAUGUACCCUAGACCUAUCCUUGGAACUAUAAAAGGGGAGGUCCAGGAGCAGAUACGCGGGAGAAGACAAGUCAUACGUAGUAGAGCACCCAUGCUCCAUCUCCAUCCAUCCACGCCUGUAUUCACCCCUGUACAAGCGCUUAGGUGCAAGAUAAUACAAACUCCGUGUGGCAGAACCUCCUAAGUGUUUGGGCCCACCGACACCUGUCAUUGUCCAAAGGACCUCUGACGGUGAUGCCGGGGAUCCUCCCACUUUAGAAGUCCGAUGAGCAUCACAGGACGCUCAUUCUACCGCUACCUGUGGCGUAUCAAGCGAACUUGUCUUGACCACUAGUGAUGGUCAAUUAACGAGAACUUCUUCUCGCCCUUACAGGAUAGCAAGUGGCCACCUUAACACCAGGAUCACUCGUUGCGAAGACAUUGCAGUAUCACAGACGACACAAGACCAAAAUAAUAUUUCAGAGUAAAACAGCGGAAGUAUCACAUAACUUAAUUUACAAAAGGAGUUCUUCUAAAUAGUAGAGUGUUAUUACAAGCCAGGUCCAGCGGAGCAACUUAAACUUUAGUACACAAAUUACAAACUUACAGACCCUGCCCAUGGGUCACGCUCACUCUUCUUCGUCGUCAACCUCGACGACGGACACACAACAGGGUUCGAAACAUGUCGGCUCCUGAACUUCACCUGCAACAGGAGUUAUAAAACCCUGAGUACGGGAGUACUCAACAAGACUUACCCGGCGGAAAAAAGAGGAGAAAUUAGGAAUGGAGGUUUGGGGUAGACAAGGAGUGGCUGAGCAAGGAGCCAAAGUGUUUUGCUAAAAAGCUUACUAAUAGUGCAUCCUUACUUUCAAGUUUUACCUGCGAAUUCCUCUCCUUAAAAGGUCGAGGAGUUCGAGGACAGUCUAUCUAGUUGCCUCUCACAGACAAGUCUGUGAGUUCCUAGUCCUUAAUCAAAGUAUUAUCUAUCCAACGGCCAUAGCUUCAUGUCACUCUGAGUCCAGGAAUUGGGAUCCGAACCUCAUGAGACAUUUCCCCCUUUCUCAUUUUAUCACUUAGUUGCAUAAUUAUCUAUGAUGAGGGUCGAAGGAAUUGAGUCUCCCAAUCGGGGAGCAACGACGAUUCGAAUCGCUUAGCAAUCCAGCUGGAGUUCCUAACCACCCGACAUAUGUAGAACCAAAUCUUGCAUAUGUCAACCCAAAUCAAGCUCUCCCCAAAUUUGACUAGGUUCGCUGCACCCGAGAGCACAGUACUCCACCAUCCUACAGCCGAUCUAGAUGUUUUCCGGUCAUCUCAGAUCCGUAAGGUGGGUACACACUACUCUCGCCAUCGCUCCAUGCCCAGUGCGCGAGUAGCUGUUCGCAUCGAGGGAUCACAAGACCGGGCUUACCGAGGGCAAGUGGCUAGUACUAUAAAUUCUCAACCCAGCAGGCCAUCAACGGACCGGUCCUUAACCGACACAGUUGGAGACACUACUUUAAGACUCCAUUCUUAAAGCAAGUCCACUGACCGGUCUCAAGUUGAAACAUCAUUGACCAUAAGUGUAUUCCACAACAACCCUUUAAACUUUCUUGUUUGAAAACCUAUCUAGUAACAGGGCUAAGCAUUACUACGCGAUUUUGAAAUAAAACAAGUGUCAAGGACAGGAUAACAAAUAUCAAGGUAGUAAAUGCAGCAAGUAGGUUAACCCAAUUCUCAACUACCUAAUGUAGCAUUUUCAAUUCAUAAGUGAUAAAAGAUUUAAAACAUUCAAGGAGGGGUUAAUGCAUCCGGGGCUUGCCUUGGUUGCAGAGCUGAGAGGGACCCUCGGAGACUUCCCAAGUCUCGGAUUCUACUUCCUCGAACGGAGCACCGACUUCAGGGUUCGGUUCAACGGUCGCUCCUUCGGUCACGUGCACUAUACGCAAAAUGAUGGAUGCUCAUGAUAUGCGUAUGACAAAUAUUUAAGAAGGACCGAGUUAAGUACAACUGGCCUUCUCGGUGCAAUACAGACUAAACAAUAAUUAAAGUUGUUUAUCAUUUUAGUAUCUUUACCCAAGAGGUUGCAUCAGUAAACUAAGAUUCCUCUUAAUUCACAAUUAUCCUUAAUUAACUAAUCAUUAAUCAUUUUUAUCUUAAUUAACUCUUAAUUAAGUAUUAAUGACAGUAAUUAAGCAUUAAUGCCAAACAAUAAUUACAUGCCAAAGGUCAUCAAGGUUAAUGACCUCAGGUCAUCACACAUUCCCAAAAUCACUCAAACCCUAAUAUUGAGAAUUUAACUAAUUAUUAUCUAAUUAUUCUAGAAUUAUUAUUUAAUUACUAAUUAAGGGUUUAAUAAUAUUUUAUUCAAACAUUAUCCAAAUGCCAUCAAAUUUUGUGUGAAGCCAGAGAAUAAUAUUUAGAGGCAUCCCACAAAUUUUGUUGAUUUUUGGACAUGCAAUUAAAUUAUUAAAAUUCAUAGAAGUUUUAUUUGCUAAUUAAAAGAGGCAAUUUUUAUACACAUGCAAACUACCAGAAAAUAGAACCUAAUAUUUUUCCUGUGUUCUAGUUAUUUUAUAGAACCUACACAAAAAUUUCCAUCAUUUUUGGAUCAGUACAUGAUUUUAUAUUCAAAUUCAAACAUCAAGCAUUUUUAAGCAAAAAGAAAAAGGGAAAACACACUGUGUUACGCGGCCGGCCCGCUUGGCUUUGGCCCAAGCCGGCCCAUGCGCUGAACCCGCCCCCUCCCCUCUCUCUGCCAGACGCUGACGGGGAGGCCCCACCCGUCAGCUUCGUCUUCACCGCGCAUGGCGGCUCGGCCACGGCUCCGGCCGCCGUUAGCGAGGUUCUCGGCCCAUGCGUGCGUGCGCACCAGCCUCACCUCGCCUUCGCGACUCCACAGCCAUCCCCUACUCACGCUCUACUCUUUCCCUUCCACCUCGGCCACGCGAAUGGCGGGCGGCCGCCAUGACCGACCGCAGACCGGCCACUAGGGCUCGGUAGAGCGCAAACGGACGUGCUAGAGAGCUUCCACGAAGGUUAGAGAGUGUGGUGCUCACGUUGCGAGGCUCGAGGAGGUAGCCGAAGCUGCUGGCAACGGAGGCGGUGUCGUUGGGCGGGCGCUCUAGCCUUGGCGAGGUCAUUCCGGUGGACCUGUUCACGUCCAGGGAGAAAGAGCGAGCGCAUGAGCAUCUGGGGAACGAAAAGAACUUGAAACGGCCGCUAGAAAGGCGUGAUACCGACUGGAACAACGUGACCACGGGAAGGGCUCCACGGCGGCGGUCCCAGCCGGAGUUGGGGAAGAAGGAGAAGCUCCAGCGAUUGGGUGGGUUAGAGGAUGAGCUAGGGGGUGCACUGAGCUCGCAAGAGUGUGGCGGACGUUGUGGAGUGCUCAAUUGAGUUGGAGAGGGAUCGAGUACGGUGUAUUUGCGAAGGGAGUGGUCGCCGGUGGUUUUGGCCGUCGAAACAGAGGAGCUCGAAGUCGGCCGCGUGAGCAUUCAAAAGGACGAGGCGAAGGAGUCUCGGGCAUCCACGUCGCGCGGUGACGCGGCCAGCAAGCAGCUACGUGGCGGUGGGGCGCGCGCGCGGCUCUGCCCGCUCUGCGGCCGGCGGGACAGAGGAGCCCGUGAUCCUCAUCGGAUCACUGCAGCGAGCUCUAUCCAACCAAUUUUGUGGUUUUGUGAAAUUCGACCAAAUUUUGAACUGAAGACAAAAUUCCACCAAAACAGAAGUUAUUCAGAAUUUUACAAACUACAAAUCUUCUUUUGGUGACCAAAGCCAAUGCUGAGUGGAAAAUGAUGAAUUUGACAAAACAGUUUGAAUUUCAAAUCCCAAAUUGGGGAAAUUCCAAUUUUUGAAUUGGGGCAGAUCAGAAUUUCCAAAAUUACUUUUGAUUUUGCAUAACAACUUGAAAAACUCACAACAUGAAAGUUGUUCAACUUUUUGAGCUUUACAACUUUCAUGUUUGUCACUUUUCAAAAUUCCAAAUAGAUUUUGAAUUAGGGAUUCAAAUUGGAAAAGAGGACACUUUCUAGAAAACUGUAUUUUCAAAAUUACUUUGAAUUUUGCAUUGAAACUUCAAAAACUCAAAACACCAAAGUUGUACAUCUUGAAAAGAUCUACAACUUUUCUUUUGAACUCAACUUCAAAUUUUGCUUAGUUUCUAAAUUACACAAAAGGGGGCAAAUCUAGGGUUCAAAAAUCAGGGCUUUCCCCCCUAUUCUCUCGGAAACCUUCCACCCUAGGGUUUAAACUACCAACACAAGCAUCAAUACACAACAUAAGCACACUUUAAUUCCCUAAGCACAAACAAUCAAAAUAAACUUGUUUUAAGUUGAUGCAUAAUAAUGUGCUUAACAGGUAUGCGAUGCAAUGCUCAUGAUCCAGUUUUAGUAACCGUAACAUCAGGGAUGUUACAGCCCUUCCCCCUUAAAGAAAUCUCGUCCCUGAGAUUUAAAUUGAAAGAAUUAAUUGCGGAAAGGCAUCAUUACUGUAGAGAAUUUCAGAGCAUUAAUAAUUUCAUACUCUGAAAUUGGGGGGCAUGUGUUGGCACCGUUUUUGGACACGUACCCAGGAUCGGUAGAGUGUAGAUCGGCAAGAAAGGGCAAUAGUGACUGGUCUGCAGGAGAGUUGCCGAUAAGGGUGGUUGCCGAUGAGGAGACAGCUGAAUGUGGCUAAGUCCAUGGGUGGUGAUGUGUUUAUGCCGAUGGCCAGUAUUAAUCGUUGUCGUUGGGGAGUCUGCCGAUGACAUAGAAGGAAGACUUGGAGGUUGCCAAUUGGUCCGUGGUGGUGUCCCAGCUUGUCACGGCAGGAUAGUUUUAUGUUUUCCUUAGUUAUUUAAAUCGUUUUAUACACGGAUUCUGUUUAAAUUUGGAAUUCGAAUUCUAGUCAUGUCUGGUUGUAGCUCUUUGAGCAGGGUAUAAAUGUAGACCCUAGGGCCUUGUAAUCGAGACAUGUAUCAAUCAAUCAAACACAAGUUUUUACUCAUAUUCCAGUAUCUACUCUUUCAACGACUUCGUCAUAUUUUCGUUUUUCAUUACGAGUUCUUAGGAGUUCGUCGACUCAAGCUCGGCGUAUUCUCAAGUUCCGCGUGAAUAACUCUUGGCCGUGGCAUCCGGGUGCAUCGCUGUUGUCGGGACCAAAGUAUUCGAGUUAUCACCUUUGCCGAUAGUAAGGUCAAAUCGGCUGGCACGCCUUAACAUUUGAAAUCGGGUAUUAGCCCUUUGUGUUUGCAGAUCUAGCUUUUGCAUCAACAGAAAGGAAUAAAGUGUGCUUUAGUAGUAGUUGUAGUAGUAGUAGUAGUAGUAGUAGUAGUAGUAGUAGUAGUAGUAGUAGUAGUCGUAGCAGCAGCAGCAGCAGCGCUUUAGUAGUAGUAGUAGCAACAGUGCUUUAGUAGUACUAGUAGUAGGUUGAAGAGAGGAGAAGAGAGAGUAGCGGUGCUUUAGUAGUAGUAGUAGGUUGAAGAGAGGAGAAGAGAGAGCAGCAGUGCUUUAGUAGUAGUAGCAGCAGCAGUGCUGUAGUAGUAGUAGUAGUAGUAGUAGUAGUAGUAGUAGUAGUGUUUAAAAAAGGCCUCAGAAACAUGUCUACCAUCAUUUGAUCAUGAACUUGGAGCAUCAAGGCAUCAAAAUAGAGAAGAAGGCAUCAAAACAGAGAAGAGAGGAGAAGAUAGGACAGACAACAAACAAAGGAGACAAAUUAGUAAUCGGUAGUAGUAGUAGAAGAAGAAGAAGAAGAAACUCAUGUGCCCUCAAAUUAGCGGGUUGCUGCUUUAUAGAGCUGCUGACGCCGUUUUUGGACACAUAUCUUUUGACACGUACCUGGGGAUUAGUAAAGUGUAAAUCGGCAGAUGAAGCAACGGUAAUUAGUCUGCAGGAAAGUUGCCGAUGAGAGUGGUUGCCGAUGAGGAAACAAUUGAAUGUGACUAACUCCAGAGGUGGUGACGUGUUCGUGCCGAUGAUCAGUGUUAGUGUUUGCCGAUGACCCUAAAGGAAAGCGUGAAGAUUGCCGAUUGAUCUAUGGCAGUGCCCUAGUCGGUUACAAGGGGGUAGUUUUACGUUUUCCUUAGUUAUUAGAAUUCAUUUUGUGUACGGGUUCCCUUUAGCUUGGAAUUCGAGUACUAGUCGUGUCUGGUUGUAGCUCUUCAGACAGGGUAUAAAUAUAGACCCUAGGGCAAUGUAAUGAGACAAUCUCUCAAUCAAUCAAACAUAAGUUUUUACUCAUAUUCCAGCAUCUACUUUUCGACGACUUCGUCAUAUUUUCUUUUCAUUACGAGUUCUUAGGAAUUCGUCGACUUAAGCUUGGCGUGUUCUCAAGUUCCGCGUGAUCACCUCUUGGCCGUGACAUCCGGGUGUAUCGUUGUUGUCGGGACCAAAGUGGUCGAGUUACCACCAUUGUCGAUUGUAAGGUCAAAUCGGCUGGCACGCCUUAACGUUUAAAUCGGGUAUUAGCCCUUUGUGUUUGCAGAUCAGUUUUGCAUCAACACAUCUUUUGGCACGCUCGGUGGGACAAGAUUCAAGAUCAAGAUUGACAUGGUGAAUAUCGAGUUCGAUCUAGAGAACGUCAUCCCUGUGACGGAAGCCAAUCUCAGAGAUGAGCAAAAGCAAGCUAUUGAAAAAGCUAUGGAGGACUACAAGCAGCAGUGUUUGAAAUCCUUCAGCAUCAAUAGGAGUGGUGAGGUGAUCUAGAAGGAAGCAUUGCCGGCACCUCGGCAGAUUACUUUUGAAGCCAAUCCUGGUAAACUUCAAGACAUGGUUGACAAUGCUAUUAACCGUGCCUUGAUCAAUCAAGCUGGUGUGCUGUCCAAUACGGUUUUCAAUGCCAUGGCUAGAACUUUCAAAGAAGGACAGUUGCCACCCAAUUAUGUGGGCCCUGCCUAUCAUCAGCCAGGAUCACCAGUGGUCACAGCUCCAUCGGCGACUACGGCCGCUGCGGGCACAGAAACUACUGCCUCUCCAAGCACAUUAGGACUCACUAAUGUGCAAUCUACGCCGAUGACGACCAAUCCAUCAACUUCGGAUGAGCAAAUCAAGCUUGCCACAGAUCUAUUGGCAUCGGCAAUGUCGGGGUCAGUUCCUCCAAAUUGGUGGGGUUACGGUAUGCCCCCCGAGAUGAUGUUGAAGACUCCUGGAACAUCUCAAGUGGCUGACUUAACAGGCAAGGCUCCUAUGGCAUCGGCACCUCCAAAUCUGCCGAUGAAUCAGAGUCCCCGGUAUACUGCAACUACUACUGCAAGACCUUAUACUGGGAAUUCUCAAGCUCCAACGUUCCAGAUGCCUAACGCAUCGGCAGAUUCAAUGCUGACGCAAUAGAGGUUUAUUACACAGCCAGGGUAUGUCAAUUCAAUGAUGAUGCCCAAUUACCAGUCAUCGGCAGGGCCUAUGCCGAUGAAUGCUCAUAGUGGAUGGACAGGGCAGCUAGUCUUUCCACAGAUGCCUCAGCAGAAUCAUCAGGCUGUAGGAUUUCAACAAAGACAAAUCCUACCUGGGUUUCAGAAUCAAGGCUUGGUCAACCAGCCGAUGAAUCUUGGCCAGCAGAUUGGUGGUCAGAUGGUUAACCCAAUGUUCCAUGCAGAUCGUGCACCUCAGCGACAUGUGGAAACAUAUCAGCAGGUGCCAGAUCCACAACCGCCUCAUCGGCAAGAUGCCGAUGCUUAUUGGGCUGAUAAGAUAGCCAAAGUAAUGAGAGACCAAUUUGGGAUAAAACCCAAAGUCAACACUUACUCUUAUCGGACACCGUAUCCUCCUGUGUAUGAUUUAAUUCCACUUCCAAAUCGGUACAAGGUACCAGAUUUCACUAAGUUUUCCAGGUAGGAUGAUACAUCAACUAUGGAGCAUGUCAACAGGUUUAUCAUUCAAUGUGGGGAGGCUGCUAACAGAGACGAGUUAAGGGUUCGAUUGUUCUCGUCAUCGUUGUCUGGAUUGGCAUUCACCUAGUUCAUAUCGUUACCUCCUAACUCAGUGAUUACUUGGGCCGAUCUGGAGAAGCAAUUCCACAAAUACUUCUUUUCUGGAGUUCAUGAGAAGAAGAUCAACGAUUUGGUUAGAUUGAAGCAGCGCAAUGAUGAAUCGGUUGAAAGCUUUGUGCAAAGGUUGCGGGAAGUCAAGAAUAAAUGUUAUAGCCUGGUUCUGGAUGAUCGGCAGCUUGCUGAUUUGGCUUUUUCAGGGGCUGUUGCCACAUAUCAAAGACAUGUACGCUUCUCAAGAGUUCGAAACUCUGAGUCACUUGGUGCAAAGGAUUUCUGACCAAGAUAUUAAGCCUUUUGAAGCCAAGAGAGCAUGGAACAAAAAGGUAUCAUUUGUCGAUGAAGCAGCAAGCUCAGAUUCUGAUGAGGAGCCAGUCAUCGGCUUAGCAGAGUGGGUGAAGAACAAAAAGCCGAUGUCUUGCCCUUUUGGGCCUAAAGAGCUAGAAAAGUUUGCAUUUGACAUUACUAAGGCCGAUAGGAUAUUUGACUUUCUACUUCAGGAAGGGCAAAUCAAAUUGUCGCCUAAUCAUGUGAUUCCAUCGGCUGAAGAAUUAAAGAAGAUGAAAUACUGCAAGUGGCACAAUGCAACCUCUCACAGCACCAAUGAGUGCAAGGUUUUUAGGCAACAGUUGCAAUCAGCUAUAGAAUCUGGGAGAAUCAAGUUUGAUAAUUCCAAAGCUCAGAAGCCGAUGAAGAUCGAUCAACAUCCUUUCCCAACAAAUAUGUCGGAUGCUAAGGGAAAGACCAAGGUCUUGACGUCAGAAGCAGCCGAAAGAAGUGCAUCGGUCGAUCCUCAACAUCAGAUUACUGCUGCUGAUGCCAAAGGAAAAGGUUUGAUCCAGGAGGGAACUAAUUCAGGAAGGCCUCCCCGAUCCGGUAUUGUGAUAACUCAUAGAAGGCCUCGGGAGACUUGGCAGCAACGUGAGGAUCGGUAUCGGUGCCAGCAAGAAGACUAUCGUCGGGAAGAAGAAAGACGCCGACAGGAGUAGAAUCGGCAUAGGGAUCAUUGGAAUUGUCCGUUCUUUAUCCAUUGUUGGGAACAAAAUAUUAAGCUUCCUACUGUCAGAGACUACCCUAAAUGCAAUGGUUAUGAUCUGUAUGACAGAUCGGAUCGGCAGUAUCAGAACAAUGACCGCCAAUUUGAUGGGCCGAUUAGGAGGAGAACUUCAGUGCAUAAUCGGCUGGGGGGCAGGCUUAGCGUGCAUGAUAGGCUUGGUGAUCGUGUUGAAUACUUUCCUAGGAAUCAAGAGGAGCUUGAAGAGAUGGCAAAUGCUCGAGUUCCCGAUGAGUUCAUAUUUUGUAGGGUUGCUAAUACCUAUCGUGUGGAGUCAAGGGAAAAUCGUCGUCUUCCAGCAAGGCAACCACAACUUCCUCCAUGGUGUCCAGAGGGGUUGACCAGGACACAGAAAAGAAGGUUGCAGCGUGAAAGAUGAGAAGAUUUGAUCAAGGGAGAGAAUCCUGGCCAAUCUGGGGAUCAGCAGCAACCGGAUCCUAAGGGAAAAGGGCCAUCGGCAGAUGUUAACAUGGUAUUUAUGUUGCCGAUGGAGUUCCUUGCGCCAUCCAGUGAUGAUGAGGAGCUGGAGUUUUCUGACCAGAUAGCUCAGUUGGCUCUGGAUCCGAUGACAGCUAUCUUUGAAAAGCCUGUCGAUGAUGAAAGGCAGCAUCUUAAAGCUCUGUUCAUCAAAGGAAGAGUUGAUGGUCAGCCGAUGACCAAGAUAUUAGUUGAUGGUGGGGCUACUACUAAUAUCAUGCCAUAUGCAGUCUAUCGGAAACUUGGGAAAGGAGAUCAAGAUUUGACCAAGACCGAUAUGAUGCUAAAAGACUUUGAAGCAAAUGUGUCUCCAGUUAAGGGGGCAAUAUGCGUCGAGUUGACCAUCGGCAGCAAAACCUUGCCGACAACUUUCUUCGUGAUCAGUGGAAAAGGUGCUUAUAAUUUGCUGCUAGGGAGAGAUUGGAUUCAUGCCAAUUGUUGCAUCCCGUCUAUAAUGCACCGAUGCUUGGUUCAGUGGGUAGGUGACAAGAUUGAGAUUGUCCCGGGAGAUUCUUCUUAUGUCAUUGCAUCGGCAAAGGCGGACACUUAUGAAAGGACCAGGUGUAUCUCGGGAGAAAUUAGGGAGAAAGAUUUCCUCAAAGUUGCCGAUUAUGAAAUUCCACUGAUCCAAGCAGUCGGUUCUGAUGAGGAGUUUUAAUGGAUAGGUUCACCGAUAAUGGAAAAUUAGGCUAGGGGUUCACAUCGGCCGAUGAUUUGGUAGAGGUAGAUAUAAGUAGUGGUGAUAAGCCUAGACCUACUUUUAUUAGUGCUAAGUUAAAUUCUGAGUGUAAGCAGCAGUUAACCGAUUUGUUAAAGGAAUAUAAAGAUUGCUUUGCUUGGGAUUAUACUGAGAUGCCUGGUUUAGACCGAUCGAUUAUUGAACAUCGGCUACCCAUCAAGUCUGGAUUUCGGCCACAUCAACAGCCAGCUCGCCGAUGUAAUUCUAAUAUUCUUCCUGAUAUUAAGGCCGAAAUAACCAAACUUAUCGAAGCUAAAUUUAUACGGCAGUGUCGGUAUGCCGAGUGGAUUUCCAAUGUUGUUCCAGUUUACAAGAAAAAUGGGAAGCUUCGGGUUUGCAUUGAUUUCAAGAAUCUUAAUAAAGCUACGCCGAUGGAUGGUUACCCAAUGCCAGUUGCCGAUCUACUAGUUGAUGCUGCGGCCUGGCAUCGGAUCAUAAGCUUUAUGGAUGGCAAUGUAGGAUAUAAUCAAAUAUUCAUGGCUGAAGAAGAUAUUCCAAAGACUACAUUUAGGUGUCCUGGUCAUGUUGGGUUGUUUGAAUGGAUAGUUAUGACCUUUGGUUUGAAAAAUGCUGGUGCUACUUAUUAGAGGGCUAUGAAUUUUAUCUUUCAUGAGUUCAUCGGCAAGCUGGUGGAAAUUUAUAUUGAUGAUGUGGUGGUUAACUCUGGAGAUUUCACAAAACAUUUUGCCGAUUUGCGAAAGGUGUUGGAAUGCACAAGGAAACAUGGUUUAAAGAUGAAUCCCAAUAUGUGUGCGUUUGGUGUAUCGGCAGGGCAGUUUCUUGGUUUCAUGGUGCAUCAGAGAGGAAUUGAAAUUAGUAUACGAUCUAUUGAUGCUAUUAACAAAAUUGUUGCCCCUACUAACAAGACUGAACUCCACUCCUUGAUCGGCAAGGUAAAUUUUAUCAGGCAGUUUAUAUCUAAUUUGUCUGGUAAAAUUCGUGCAUUCAGUCCUUUACUUAAAUUGAAAGCCGAUCAAUAGUUCACAUGGGGGAAAGAGCAACAGUUGGCUUUAGAUGAAAUCAAGAAUUACUUGAUAAAUCCUCCAGUUUUGAUUCCACCUCAGCAAGGAAAGCCUUUCAGAUUAUAUUUGUCUACCGAUGGGAUGGUCAUCGGUUCGGCUUUGAUUCAAGAAUUUGAAGGGAAGGAGCGUGUAAUUUACUACUUAAGCAAGAGAUUGAUUGAUGCUGAGACCAGGUUUUCGGCCAUUGAAAAAUUAUGUUUAUGCCUAUAUUUCUCAUGUAUUAAGUUGAGGCACUAUUUGUUAUCGGCUGAAUGCGCUGUUAUAUGCAAAGAUGACGUGGUCCGAUAUAUGCUAUCUAUGCCCAUUAUGAGUGGCAGAAUCGGUAAGUGGAUCUUGGCACUAUCGGAAUUCGAUCUGCAGUACGAAAGGGCAGACUAUGGCCAAUUUUGUGACUCAACAUCGCGGUGCAGUGGAGACUUUGGAAAUUGUAUCUUGGACACUCUUCUUUGAUGGAUCCACUUGUGACUGGAGGGCAGGAAUCGGCAUAGUGUUAAUUUCCCCUCAGGGAAGGAAGUAUGAGUUCUCUUUGCCGAUUGUUGCCACGUCAACAAAUAAUCAAGCCAAGUAUCAAGCUUUAAUCAAGGGGUUGGAGUUGUUAAAAGAAGUUCAUGCUGAUGCCAUUGAAAUCUUUGGGUAUUCUAUGCUGGUUAUAAAUCAAUUAGCUGGAAGUUAUGAAUGUUGAAGUGAAGUUUUAAUAAUGUAUUACGAAAAGAGUAUGCAACUGUUAAAGGAAUUCAAAGAUUUCCGAUUAGAGCAUGUUCCUCGAUUGCAUAAUGAGGAGGCUAAUCGGUUGGCUCAGCGUGCCUCGGGAUAUCAGCCCAUAUUAAAUACAAUAUCGGCAAUUACUCCCGAUGAUUGGAAAAAAGAAAUCAUUGAUUAUUUAAAGGAUCCAUCUAAGAAGGUUGAGAGGCGUGUUCGAUUUCAAGCUACCAAAUAUGUACUCCUCGAGGAUGAAUUAUAUUAUCAAACAAUUGAUGGAGUUCUUCUUAAGUGCUUGGGUGAUGAUGAAGCUAAAAGUUUGAUGGGAGAAAUCCAUGAAGGAGUGUGUGGAGCACAUCAGUCGGCUUUUAAGAUGAAAUGGAUGAUUAGGAGGAACGGGUAUUAUUGGCCAACUAUACUUGAAGAUUGUUUUAAAUAUUUCAAGGGAUGUCAAGGAUGUCAGAAGUUUGGUAAUAUUCAAAGAGCGCCUGCAUCGGCCAUGAAUCCCAUUAUUAAACCUUGGCCGUUCCGUGGAUGGGCUAUUGAUCUAAUCGGCCAGAUUUACCCACCGUCAAGCAAGGGGCAUAAGUUUAUCUUGGUUGCCACUGAUUAUUUCACCAAGUGGGUUGAGGCUAUUCCUUUGAAAAAAGUCACAUCAGCCAAUAUGAUUGAUUUUGUGAAAGAGUAUAUUAUUUACCGAUUUGGUAUUCCUCAAACGAUUACUACCGAUCAGGGUACUAUGUUUACAUCGGGAGAGUUUGAUGAAUUUGCAAUCGGUAUGGGGAUUAAAGUGUUGAAUUCUUCUCCUUAUUAUGCUCAAGCUAAUGGACAGGCGAAGGCAUCUAACAAAGGAAUUAUUAAACUUAUCAAACGAAAGAUUGAGGAAAAUCCUAGGAGAUGGCAUACAUUGUUGAAUGAAGCUUUAUGGUCGUAUCGGAUGGUUUGUCAUGGGUCGACCAAAGUUUCGCCUUAUCAGUUGGUGUAUGGACAUGAUGCUGUGUUGCCAUGGGAGAUUAAAACUGGAUCUAGGCGAUUAUCUUUUCAAGAUCAGCUGACCGCCGAUGACUAUGCUACUUUGGUGAAAGACGAGUUGGAUGAUUUAGCAGGGCAUCGGCUGAACGCAUUGAUGAGUAUAGAAGAAAAUAAAAAGAGAGUUGCCAGAUGGUAUGAUAAGAAGGUAAAGGCUAAGGAGUUUGCCGAUGGAGACUUGGUAUGGAAAUUAAUCUUAUCAAUCGGGACUAAAAGUUCAAAAUUUGGAAAGUGGUCUCCUAAUUGGGAAGGUCCUUAUCGGAUACAUCGGUCUGCUCCUGGCAAUGCUUAUAUUUUAGAAACUCUCGAAGGAAUUGAAUUUCCCAGAGCAUUGAAUGGCAAAUAUUUGAAGAAAUAUUAUCCUAGCAUAUGGAUUGAUGCAUGAAAAUUUAAGUGUCGAUAAUAUUCCUAUCGGCUGGAUCAAAGUGUAUCUGGGGCCGGACUCAAUGUUUUAAACGGGGGCCGAUAACAGUCCUAUCGGCUAGACCAAAAUAAUCAGGAGGUUUUAAAGGAAAAGAACAAGACAUGCCGCCGAUGAAAGUUUAUAUGUUUAGCAGAGCCUGGAUCGUCGAUAUGGCGCGUAGACGGAUCUGAUUGGCUUCCUCUAUCUCCUUUAUGUCUUCAUCGGCAGAGCCCUCCACUGGCCUCAGUUUCUUCUUCAUCUGCAGUGCCUUGCGAGCUUGGAUGUUUCGCUCCUCUUCAAGAGUCUUGAUUGCUUCAGGCAGCUGGCUUUCUUCCUGUUGAGCUUAGGACAGAGCUUCUUCUACUUGUUUGAGUUCUGCCAACAGGGCUUCUCUCUUCGCCGAUAGAUCAGAGAUCUUUUGCUUCAGCACAUCUCCUAAGGAUUUCAAAAUGCCGAUGCUCUUAUGCUUUUCAUCGGCAAGGAGCUUUACUUUCAUCAUCUCUUCUGAGAGCUGGGCGUGAGUAGCUCUAUCGGCAAGGCGCUGAGCGGCCUUUUGAUACUGAAGCUGUCGACUCUCCAAGUGAGCAACCUUGAAGAGGAUCUCCUCGCCAUCGGCAGAAAUCUGGCCUCUGAGAGCCUUGAACAGGGCCUUAGCUGGAUCGGAGUCAUCAACCAAUUGGCCCGUAUCUUGAUGAAGGAGGGCCGACAAAUCUUCCAACUUUGCUCUAAUCUCUGCCGAUGAGAUUCCAACCGCUCAAGAAGAACUUGCAGCCUCGCCUUCAUCCUCUGAGAUUUCAAUGGCAAAGGAGAACAAGCUGUCAGGAGAAUCCUGUUCCUGAAAAGGAAGAUAAAAUAAGUUAUUCUAUGAUCAAGUACUGAUGAUGAUAAAAAUAGAGAUCGGGUAACUUACUUGUUUCAGAGCUAUCUCUCGCCUUUGACUAGUUGAGGCCGAUGGAACCACAGGCUGAUCGGCUGGAAUUGCCGAUGAGACUAUGUCAGCUGAAAGAUUGGCAGAAAUGAUUAAUAAAGUGGAAAAAUAGGUUCAUCGGCAAAUAAAUAGAAAGCAUGUUACCUUGAGGGGGUGUAGUACUUGUCUGGAUCGAGGAGACUACCGACGCUAUGAUUAAGCUUGCUGGAUCGGCGGUCUGCUCAUGUACAUCAGCCGAUGUUUCUUCUGGCUGAGGUUCUUCUAGCUGGAGUUCUUCUGUUUGGGGUUCUUCUUGUAGCUGAGGAGGAGAUGGUGCUUGUUGUGUCUGAGCUUCUGGAGAAGAGGGGGAUGAUUCCACCGGGAUCGGUGACCUUGGAGGAGGGGGAGGCGUUGCCGUUCUCUGGCGCUUCGCUUGUGAUCUUGUACUCUUGGGACCUUUUCUCUUUGGUUGGCUGGACUGGGGGGCAUCAGCAGUCGUACUUCUGGUUUUUGCCGAUGUGCCAGUAUGCUGAUACAACAAUGAAAGUUUUAUGAGUACAAGUGUAAUAGGGUAUUGAUGAGGUUCUGAUUAAAAUAAUAAAAGUUACUGAUGAAGUUCCCAUACUAGCCGAUGUGUCCUGAAAAAUUGUGUAAGUAUAAGAGUGGAAUCGGUAUAAGUUGAAGGAUUCGAGAAUUUACCUUGAAGGCUUGUGCUAAAGUAGUGGCAGCUACCGGCGGGGAUGUUUUCGUUCGUUUGGUGGUAACUUUCUUGAGACGCACACCCCGGUGCAUUAAGGCAGCCAAGGUUAGAGCGUUGUUGCCGAUCAAAGAGAUCGGGCCCGAUGGAAGGAGUUCGAUCGAUCUACCACUUCUGCUAACUGAUGGUGGCGUAUCAUCGACCUGAAUAAAACAAAGAAAGUGAGUUACCGAUAGAAAAUGAAAGUGAAAGGAUUGAAAAAAUCGGUUAGAAUACUUACAGUGUUAUCGGGACCUUGUAUUUGGGGUCGAUCAUGCCGCGGUAUGUGAGAGCCAAUCUGCAGAACAGGUGCUCUUUCCACUCUUCCCACCACUGUUUGUAUGCCUGAGUAAUGAAGAGAGCUGGGAUCCAAGCCGAUAGAUCGACAUCUGUAUCGGUGUUUGGCGAAAGUUGAGCUAUCCUGAUCCAUUCAAGAUUGCUGGUGAUGGUCUCCCUCGGCUUUAUCACAUCGGUGUAGCAAAGUUCGAUCGGCAGUUGGCCGAAAGCCAGUUGGCGAGCUAGUGCCGUUGGGUUAUAAAACUCAUAGGUCAGAUUGGAAGCUUUCCCACUGCCAAAGAAGUUCACUGGUAUGUCUCUUGGGGUGAUAAUUGCCAUCAUCACGUCACGGUCCUUGUUGAGAGCAUCAUUGAAGGGGUGGAAAGUCAGGGGGAAUCUGGUGUCUGGAUCUUCAUAUGGCAUCCAUGCCCGCUAUUCUCUGGUCAGACACUCAUACAGAGUUUGAAAGAAUCGGCUAACCUGAUCUUCGUUGCCACCAGUGCCAGGCAAGACUAUGGCAGCUUCGCCAAAGUUCAGAGGGGAAUGAGUUGCCGAUUCUUCUUCAUCCAAUUCAUAAUCCUCAGCUAUGUCCCUGGGGAAGCGCUGUGCAAAGAGGUCGAAUUCAAGGCGCUUGUGCAUGUGGAGAUUAAGCCACAUGUUGAUAAACUACCAAGGACCCCCUAAGUUGCCGAUAGGUUAGCUGAGCAGAAGUUUCCUGGCUACCUAGUGGAGGAGGUGAUAAACCGAGCCGAGCAGGUAUAGGCCAAGAGGAAAUCGGCCGCCAUCGGCUAAUCUUUCUGCUGCUGAUAAAUAAACAGAAGUUGGUCCUGCCGAUCGACCACAGAAUACAAACUUAUCCAGCCACAUAUUUAGGAAAGUGGUCUGUUCCUUUGCAUUAACAGUCCUGUUCUACGGUACUUCUAAAUGUACCCAGACCAACCGCCGAUAGCGCAAGUUUCCACCUUAGCGCUAGGUUUGGUGUCAAAUAGAUGACUAUUAUCGGCAGUGGAUAUAUCUAAGCCGGUGAGCAUAAGUACAUCAGCAAGUGUGGGAGAAGCAGGGCCAUGACCAAACACACAAGCGUUGAUCGUGUCUGACCAAAAGUAUGAGGCAGCAAUUAGUAGUGACUCAUUCCUCUCCAUAUCGGCAAGAGACAACCUAAUGCACUGGUCUAAUUUUCGCUCGCCCCAUUGAACCUCAUUUGAGUGGUUGACUCUCAAGAACCAAUCCUUCCAUCCCUUGGUAGGACUGGGCCAGGAACGGAAGGCAUCUUUCCAUAGAUCUAGGGAGAAGUUAUUGGCUCUAAAGGGAACCCUGUUUGUCUCUGCAUUUAUUAUAUCAGUGGGAUCUAGGUUUCCGAGCGGACCAAGACACUAGAGAUGAGGUUGAUCGGUAGGGAUUAUGAUCUUAUCGGCCAAAUCCUAAAAGUUUUAAGGAUAAAAGAAAGAACAGAAAGAAAAAUAAAUAUUCAGUAAAAGAAAUCACGGAUGAACAGGAGUACACUAAAGGUGCGGAAAAGAAGGGUAGUGAACUGACCUCAGGCACGAUGAAGUUGAUGGCCAUUUUCUCGCAACAAAGAGGGUCGAAGACUUGGGGGAUUGGUGAAGAAAUCCUUCGUUGAAGUUCUUGGAAACCUCGGAUGGUGCCGCCACCGUGAAAGUGGAUUUUGGGCUGUAGAAUGACAAGAUGGAGAAGGAGUACUAGAGAAGGAAGUAUUUAUUGGACAAAACGGGCAGGGGCAAAUCUGACUUAUCUCUUGCCGCAUCCGUGAAAUCCGAGGGUAUUCAAGUGGAUAUGGUAACUGUUCGCACAGUAAUCAAGGGAUUGCGCAGGUGAUUUGACAGCAAGUGGUCAUAAUUUGGAGAUAUUUCACUGUGCAAGAUCUCCUGGUCGGACCAUCGGCAGUUCUCUCUAACAGUAAUAUUGCCGAUGGGCGUAUAAAGUGGAGAAAUUCAGUUCGGGAGGUUGAGGAAUUCGAGGAAUAUGCAAGAAAAUCGGGCCGAGGUAGUUAUGGUUUGACGAACGGUUACCAAAUUGGGAGAAUUAAUUGCGGAAAGGCAUCAUUACUUUGGAGAAUUUUGGAGCAUUAAUGAUUUUAUAAGCCGAAAUUGGAGGGCAUGUGUUGACACCGUUUUUGGACACAUAUCUUUUGACACGUACCUGGGGAUUAGUAAAGUGUAAAUCGACAGAUGAAGCAACGGUAAUUAGUUUGUAGGAAAGUUGCCGAUGAGAGUGGUUGCCGAUGAGGAAACAAUUGAAUGUGACUAAGUCCAGAGGUGGUGACGUGUUCGUGCCGAUGAUCAGUGUUAGUGUUUGCCGAUGGCCACAACAGAAGGUCUGCCGAUGACCCGGAAGGAAAGCGUGAAGAUUGCCGAUUGAUCUAUGGCGGUGCCCUGGUCGGUUACAAGGGGGUAGUUUUAUGUUUUCCUUAGUUAUUAGAAUUCAUUUUGUGUACGGGUUCUGUUUAGCUUGGAAUUCGAGUCCUAGUCGUGUCUGGUUGUAGCUCUUUAGACAGGGUAUAAAUAUAGACCCUAGGGCAAUGUAAUGAGACAAUCUAUCAAUCAAUCAAACACAAGUUUUUACUCAUAUUCCAACAUCUACUUUUCGACGACUUCGUCAUAUUUUCUUUUUAUUACGAGUUCUUAGGAAUUCGUCGACUUAAGCUCGGCGUGUUCUCAAGUUCCGCGUGAUCACCUCUUGGCCGUGACAUCCGGGCGUAUCGCUGUUGUCAGGACCAAAGUGGUUGAGUUACCACCUUUGUCGAUUGUAAGGUCAAAUCGGCUGGCACGCCUUAACGUUUAAAUCGGGUAUUAGCCCUUUGUGUUUGCAGAUCAGUUUUGCAUCAACAAGAGCCAUGGGCUGCUCUGUGGUGAUCAUAGAUCAUAGACUUACAUGACAGUCAGUAAUAGGUUAAGAGAAAACCCAUUUGCACUACAAGACCGAAAACCACUAGGGGAGGCUAGUAUCCAAUGGCACUCUAUUCGAGACGAGUUUCCCCCAAAAGCUUUCGGUCUAGGAGAAGCUAUGGGUAUUUGACUGUCAUGUUGUCUCACUACACCUUUUGUAUCAUCGAGCAAAAAAUUUUGAAAAAAACAAGUAGUACAAGUAGUAAAGGUCUUAGUACCAUGUCAAUCAUCAUUUGAUCAUAAACUUGGAGCAUAAAGGCAUCGUAAUAGAGAAGAGGAGGUGAUAUAGGGGCCGCUGGUAACGAUGCCAAGUUCCUCACAAGUUCUUGAUCAUCAGCUCAUAUUCCAUAUAAUGAAUGGACUUAGACAAUCUCAUCAUCGGCAAAACAAAGGAGAGAAAAAAAUCAUAGAAGCAGUAGGAGAGGAGAAGAGUAGUAGUAUAGAGGAGCAUAGUUUAUAAUACUAUCAUAGAGAGGGUAGUAGUAGAGUUGGAGCACAACAGCAGUAGUAGUAGUAGAGUUGGAGCACAACAGCAGUAGUAGUAGGAUUACAGUAAGCCCCAACAGUUGUGUAGUACUAGUAGAGUACUAGAGUAGAGCAGCAACUAGCACUAGUAGUAGACUAGUGCAGUAGUGUUGGAGAGAGGAUGAGAGUAGAAAAGAGAAGAGAGAUAGAAGGAGCAGAGAGGAAGGAGAGGUGAAACAUGUCUAGUAUCAUUUGAUCAAGAACUUGGAGCAUCAAGGCAUCAAAACAGAGAAGAAGGCACUAUAGAGACAGCUAGUAAUGAUGUCAAGUUACGCAUAAGUUUUGGAUCAUCAGCUCAUAUUCUAAAAUAAUGUAUUGAAUUAGACAAUUUCAUCAUCGGAAAAACAGUAGUAGAGGAGAGAGAGUAUAGUAGUAGUAUAGAGGAGCAAAGUUAAAAAAUGUCAUCAAUUCAAAAUUAUGCCAGUAAGCCACCACAAUAGUAGAGUAGUAGUAGUAGUAGUAGAGAGGAGUGGCAUAUAAGCAGCCUGCUAUAUAAACAACAGUAAUUAUGCCUCAGUAUAUAAAACUGUCAUAGAGAGAGUAGUAGUACAGUUGUAGUACAAAAGCAGUAGUAGUUGGAUUACAGUAAGCCACAAAUUAAAAUGAGAGUAAGCCACCACAAAUCAACACAGUUGAACAGCAAGUACUAAUCAAGAGGGGGAACAGUCAAGAAUGUAGCAUUAAUGUGGAAUUGUUUUUAGCUUUGAUUGUACCUAUUUGACUUAGACAAUCGCUAAUAUAUUGUCAUAAUCAGAAGCCAAGUCCUAUAACGUUGUGUCUUCUAAAGUUAACAUAAAAAACAAUGGCAUCGAGCAAAAAUCAUGUGAAGGUAACCAGUAAUAGGUCUACAGAGUAAACUAAACUAAUCAUGUAGAGACUUUUCCAGUGACUGAACUAUGUAACUUGUGUGAGAAAAAAGAAACACAAUUAGAUUCAGACCACUGAUCAUAAAUACACAGAAAAAACCUACUUAGAAUGAGCACAAUCAGCUAAUGCCAGGCAUAGAAGUCAAAGUAAACAGAUUGACUAUCAAAUGAUAAUGGAACAAACUAGAAGUCAAAGAUCAUACAAAUAGAGUUCAGAGUCAAACAUAAAGAUAAUAGAUGAUUGAGGAAAUGUUUACUGAAUCCAUAAUAAUAUUCAUGUCAAAUAUGACUCAGGCAAAAGCAUCAUUAACCAGAAUGUUCAGAAGAAAGCAACAACAAUUAAUUUAUAAACUAAAAGCUUGUAGGAAGAUAACAAUUAAUUUAUAAACUCAAAACUAAUAGACCUAUUUCAAGUCAUAAAGCUAUUAGCAGAGUCCACCGAGUACACCUUAAUACAGAGAUAGGCAGAACACUCAGUUGUAGCGGUAGGACAGCAAAAGUCUGGCCAAAAAUUUCAGUGACAUGAAAGCAUAUGCAUUGCCUAGAACAAAAUGCUUGAAGUAAAUAUAGUUUGUCAAGAUUCAAAAUCCUUCUGAGUUAUGCAACUAGUUGUCUUUGUGUAGUCAAUUCUAUUUGAGGGAUUCCAAAGGUUCAAGCUACAAACUAGUAUAAUCAAUAGUCAAGACUCAAGAGGCUAUGCUAAAUGCUAGUUGAGAUAAAGGAAAUUGCAAAAGGCAUGCAGAGUAUGUGUAUCAACCUGCAUAAUAAUCAAUGUCUAGAAAAUAGCAUUCAUGUUCAUCAAGAAAAAUACCUUUGGAGGAGAAGGAGAGAGUCGCGGAUGGGGGCGCCUAGGGUUCCGAGCAGGCGGAGUGCCUAGGCUCACCGACGGGCGGGUGGCCACGCGUGGAGCUUCGGCCCUUAGCGAUGUCUAGGGUUCUGACAGGGCGGAGCGCACGGGCUCGCACAUGGACGGAAGCAGGUCGCCGAGCUCGCGGAAGAAGAGCUCAUAGACGUGCCGAAGAAGAGCUCGUGGACGACGGAGGUCUUCGGCCAGACUCGCUGAGCUCGUGGAGGCGUGCGCGGGCGGGCGGCCGUGCACGGAUCUGGCUCCCGACGGUAGCUAGGGUUCCGACCGGGUGACCGGCAGCAGAGUGGUGGCAUGGCACGGGCACCGGCGAAGGGGGAGGGGGAGGAAGCUCGGGGAGGAGAGUGGUGGCAUGGCAUGGGCACCGGUGGCGGCUAGGGUUCCGAUCGGAUCGGGGGGGAUUCGGGCAGCCUGACGGCGCCCAACCACGAAUGUGAAACGCCCUGACUUAGGCGCUGGGAACGGAGGUUCCUUUUUUGGAGGGCAGCCCCACUGUAAGGGCGGUUGAGAUGUGAACCGCCCUUACUGUGGUUUUCUUCAAAUGUAAAAUCAUUUUUUUAAUAUACUUAAAGUUCAAAAUGUAUUUAUAUAAUAAUUUUAAUUUAUUCCAUGAAUUUUUAUAUUUAAUUUAUAUAUAUUAUAUAAUUUCAAAAUAUUCCAAGUUUUUAUGAAGUUUCUAAACUAAAUUUUUUUGGAAUUAAAAACUAGAUUUGUGUAAAUUUAAAAAUUCUUUAGUGCCUCAUUUGACCUAAUAUGUAAUAAUUUUGAAUUAUUUCAAACAUUUUUAUGAUUAAUUUAUAUAUAUAAAUGCAAAGUUUAUUCUUUAUUGCCUAGUUUCACCAAGUCAAACAUUGGAUUUUUCAUAAAAUACACUUUGACCGGACCCGAGAUGGUCUCAGAUGCAAAAGUCAUGAAUACAAAGUUUGUUCCCCUUAUCAAGAUACACAUUUGGUGUAAUGGUCAACUUUUCAUCUGAGAUGGUUUGGACCACUCAAAUUUUGAAAUUUCAAAUUUUCACGGCUACACGGACAUUUUCGAGACCCUAGACGCCCCCAACUCCGAAAGUCAUGAAUAGCAAGUAUGUUCCACUCAUCAAGAUCUACAUUUGAUAUGUAGGACAUUUUUGAUUUUGACAAAGCGUUAAGAAAGUGCAGUUCUAAAUCCACAAGUCCCGCAUGUAGUUUCAUAAAGUCUAUGUGUGAUUCAAGACUUUGUGACUAGAGUCUACAAACACUUUCUCAAAUGCAAAAAUGUCCUAUUUAUGGAAUGUGUAUCCCGAUGAGCUCUAACUACCUUGUAUUCAAAAGUUUUUCAUUUGAGGUCAUUUACUCCCUCGUUUGACUAGGUUUGACCAAGUCACGCCUUGGGUUUUCAAAACAUGUGAAAUGAGUUUAUCAUAACUUUUCCAAAUGCAAAAAUGUAUUGUGUAUCAAAGUUAGACCUUGAUGAGGCCUAACUAUGUUGUAUUCAAUUUUUUUUUCAUUUGAGGUCUUUUAUUUAUUGCCUAGUUUGACCUAGUUUGACCAAGUCAAACAUUGGAUUUUUCAGAAAAUACACUUUGACCGGACCCGAGAUGGUCUCAGAUGCAAAAGUCAUGAAUACAAAGUUUGUUCCCCUUAUCAAGAUACACAUUUGGUGUAAUGGUCAACUUUUCAUCUGAGAUGCAUACAUAAAUGUAGUCUCACACACAUACAUAAAUGUAGUCUCACACGCAUACAUAAAUAUAGUCUCACAUGCAUACAUAAAUGUAGUCUCACACACAUACAUAAAUGUAGUCUCACACGCAAAUAUAAAUGUAGUCUCACACACAUACAUAUGAGUAUUUAUUAGUAUCCACCACCGUAACAGUUUUCCACUUCACACCUUUUCGUUCCCAUGGCAAUACGUCUUUGGGUAGGUUUUUUUCUACAACACCGAUCUUGUUAAUAAAGUCUGUGAAUAGCAGCAUCUGAUCGUACUUAUUGUAAGUUUCAACAUCAUCGACGCCAUCAACUCGAUAAUGUGUUGUUUUCUAGGGAUAACCACAUGCUUAGGUUUCUUCUUUGGGGGGACAAUGCUGAGCGGGUCGUUGAAGGAAUUCACUCCAUCGGUGCUCAAGGAAAACCGUACAUUCCUUGGGUCCGAACUAAAUAGUGGGUUGUUAUUAUCGAAGUCCUGCCACUGACUGCCAUCAGCCGGGUGUGCAAUCACAUCGUCAUCGACCUUGCGCUCAUCGUCCCACCAUGUCAUGAGCGCGGCUUCCUUAGGGUGCAGGAAAAUAUGCCUCAAGCGGUUGGUCAUCGGUAGAUACCACAUUACCAAGGCAGGAAUUUUUCUCUUCUUUGCGUCGUUGCCUAAUGGGGUGUCCUCUGGAGGUCAAGAUUCUUGUACCGCCUUUUUGGAACCCUUCUUACUCCUCUUGUUCCCGGUGGAGGCUUCUCCACCACUGUAAAGGUCAUUGUCCUUGUACCGACUUGCCCCAAAACGAGGACAUUUAUCCAGACCUUCAAACGUUUUACCACGAAAAAUGAUACAAUGGUUCGGGCAUGCAUGGAUCUUUUCAACACCCAUUGUCAAUGGACUUAUGACCUUCUUAGCAUCGUAUGUGUUGGAGGGAACUAAGUUCGGCAGUGACAGCACAGAUGACAGAAGAUGCAACAGAUCGUCAAAACUGCAAUCUGACCAGCCGUACUUAGCCUUUAGGAUGAGUAGCUCAAGCACAAAACGGAGCAGUGUCCAGUGUGUUGGAUAGUCCUUCUCAACACCAUACACAGUCUCCUUUGACGCUGUUUUCACCCGCUCUAGAUUUUCUAGACCCUUCUUCUGCUGUAGUAUUUCUGGUCCAAUGGACCGAAGCAUUUCCUCUAAGUUGUCAAAGUUUUCUGCAUCCCCCUCACAUGCUCCAGCAUCAUUAUUGUCAACACCGCCAACAUCUCCAUCAUUAUUGUCGACACCACCAGCAUCAUCACUACGUGCUUGUUCAUUGGCUGAAUCAUGUUGCAUUUGUGCUUCAAACAUGUCUGCGUAUUGGGACAAUAAUUGGCCUUCUUCAGCAUCGUCUUCUUGGUCAUCAUCAUUGCCAUCAAGAAACAUUACUUCACCAUGAUGAAGCCAUACUAUGUAGUUUGGAACAAAUCCUCUCCUAAUCAGAUGUGAUGUGAUGAUUUCCACAUCAUAAGUUGCUAAGUGGUUCUUGCAAUCUUUAUAGGGACAAAUAAGUGAACAAUUAUUUCCUGCUGACAAUAUGUUUGCAUGAUUCACCGCGACUGUAAUAAAUUUGUACACCUCAUCAGCAUAGGCUUGCGAGUACCUUGGCAAACCAUACAUCCAAGUAGCCCUAUUCUCCAUCUUUACAUAAAUAAAAAAAAUUAAUUACUUGGGAAUAAUUAUUAGCAGCAAUUAAUAAGUAACAAUUAUUAUCUACCAUUAUUAGCAACAAUUAUUAGCUAUCAUUAUUCGCAAUAAUUGUGUUAGAAACGAUUAUUAGACAUAAUUAAUAGUACCAAUUAUUAUCUACCAUUAUUAGCAACAAUGAAUAAGUAACAAUUAUUAUGUACCAUUAUUAGCAACAAUUAUUAGCUAUCAUUAUUAGCAAUAAUUGUGUUAGAAAUGAUUAUUAGACAAUUAAUAGUACCAAUUAUUAUCUACCAUUAUUAGCAAUAAUUAAUAAGUAACAAUUAUUAUCUACCAUUAUUAGCAACAAUUAUUAGCUAUCAUUAUUAGCAAUAAUUGUGUUAGAAAUGAUUAUUAGACAUAAUUAAUAGUACCAAUUAUUAUCUACCAUUAUUAGAAACAGUUAAUAUUAGCAACAACUAUUAGUUUACCAAUAACUAUUCAUGCCAACCACAUUCCAAUUUUAUGAAACAAAAACAAAAAAAAGAAAACCCUAGAUCUAGAAUACCUUUUCUCUCCAUACAUAAAACUACAAUUAAUCUCCAUUAAAAUCAAGCUAUAUCACCUAAUUAAUGGUGCAAGGUGGUGUCUCUACCUAUUCUACACUAAUAGCAUCAUAGAUAAGCUCUAAUUUGGUCAACACAAAGCUCGAGCUCCAUGGAAGAGAGAGAAAACCAAAAUGUAAAUUGCUCACUAACCAACCAAUAAAACUUGGAUUAGAGGGUGGGAAUAGCAGUUUCUUACCUUAAACAAGCUCCCCACCAAAGGAUUUAAGUUCAAAACCUCCCCCUUACUAGAGUGAUUUUAGGGAGGUGCCCAAGACCUCCCAAGCCUUUUUUUCGAGUGGAAGUGAGUGGCUCGGGAGGAAGAAGAGUGGGCUGGCCACUUAUGCUACAGACCACUGUAGGGGCGGCUGGUGUUACCAGCCGCCCCUACAGUGCCUCCCCCACUGUAAGGGCGGCUGGUAAUACCAACCGCCCCUACAAAGAACACUGCAAGGGCAGCUCACUUUCUGGUUGUCUGCCUAGCCACUAUAAGGGUGGUUCAAAUGUUAGCCGCCCCUACAGUGUGCGGGGUGCUCUCUUAGUAAGUUUUUCACGUAGUGGCUAGAGUAGUAAUCGCUAACAUAGACGUGGUGUCUAGGCUAGAGUUUAUCUAAGUUUGUUCCUGUAACACCCAAAAUUUUGAUUUCAAUAAAUAGGGAUUAAUUUGAUUUAAUUAAGUAAUUUUGUGAGCAUUUAAAUUUAGCACUUAAAUAAUUUUUGUGGAAAAUAAAAAUUUAUCCUAGGUUCAAUAAAUAUGUUGGUGCAUUUCAUGCUGGUGUAUAUAUAAUUUUGUGUUGUUGCCUUUUGUUUGAAUUUAUUUGCAUUCAAGAUUUUUUAUUUGGAAAAGGGUUUGGAAAAGAAAACAGAAAAGAAAAAAAAAGAGAAAAGAAAACCCAGCCGAACCCCCUCUCUCCACUCGGCCCAGCCCCUCUCUGGCCUGCUUACUCCCCCACCUUGGCCCAUCAACGGUGGCCCAGUUGGGCAGCUCACCUGCGCCCCUUCUCCCUCCCUUGCUGUCUGACGCGCGGGCCCCAUAUGUCAGCAGCGCCUCCUUCAACCUUCCGUUCGCGAGCGGACAGCGGGCUUUCCAUUAGAGGAAAACCGAAUCCGCUCCAUUCUCGCGAUUUCUUGCCAAACAUGGAAAUCGACCCCUAUAUAAUCCCUAGCGUCGCCCCCGCGCGUGUUAUCCAUCUUCGCCGUGCGAAAUACGUGCCCUAGCUACAGCAGCCGCCAAUCGGGAUCUCGCCGCAAGCCGAGCACCUUGCCGCGCGCCGUAAGCCCCACUCUUCGCUCUUUGACCCCCGCAAAGCACCUCGUUGAACUCGCGGUGAGCUUCUCGUCUUUCCGGCGUUUUCCUUUCGCAAAUUGGUGCUCGGAAUCGAGAAGUCCGUCGUCGCCGGCGAGCUCCUUUCGGCCGGCAAUGGAGCCACCGCGCCGGAGCUGGCAACCUGCUGGCCGGACCGCCGCCCAGCACCCCUGGACACGCCGAUGUCGUCCAUUUGCAGAUCGACGGCCAGGAAGCACAGAUACCCGUUCGGCUGGCAAAAUUCUUUAAGAGUCCCUGAAAGUUUUUCUUUUUGCUCCGCAGUCCCUGGCGGCUUUUGCGGUUUACGCUUUCCAGUUUUAAAAACGUACUUUCUGUCGGCUAAAGUUCAAAUGCACUUUCCAAUAUUUACAGAAUUGCCACUGAACUUAUAAUGCUUAUAAAAUGGUCAUUUUAACUCCGUUUUUGUCCAUUCAAAUUCCGUUAGAUUCGUAUUUAUAAGCUUUACAUGAUAGAAAUAUUAGUUUACUGUUUUGAACUUUUUAAUUUCCUUGUACUAUUUAUUUAAUUAUUUCUCUAUAGGAAAUCUUAGAAAAUUCAUAUCUUUCACGUUUUAAUUCCGAUUUUCGUGAACUUUACGUUUGUGUGAUCGUAGCGCUGCGUAGAAUAUUUUGAUAAACUUUUAUAUUUGUUUUACCAAUGUUUGGUGUAUUGUUCUAAUUAUAUCUUGUUUGCUUCGUGUAUGAUUGUCUACAUUGGAUUGCGUGUUGUUGAUUGAUGAUUGGGAUUAGACGGUGAGCCGUACAUUGGUGAUCAAGAUCAAGCUUUUGAAGACCAGCAGGCUCAGGAGAGCUUUGAGCAAGGCAAGUAUAACUGGGGAUCAUUCUUGUUACCUAUUCACUUAUAAUUACACAUAUAUAUCAUAUGCAUGCUAUCACCUUGUCGACCUUAGCAAAAUCAUAGAUGAUUGUUACCUGGAUUCCUUGCUACCUACUUGAUUUGCAUUUGGUGUAGUUGUGCUAGUGCUUGAUAUAAUCCAUGAUCUUGUAAGAUGAUUAAUAGCUAUGCAAUGAACAUAAAAGAAUGACAAAUAACUGUAUGAGAUCUUGUCUGUACGUGAUCUUCCGGGAUAACAGUGCAACCAUGAGGGCUAUAAUGGCUCUGGCUUUAGCUCAGUAUGGAGACCUUUUCUAGCUUGUUAGAGGUUACCCGAAAGGGCGGAGGGGCUGAACCGACACGGGUAUAGUGCGAGCCCCUGUCCCUAUGUGUAUAGGCUGCGCGUCAUUGUGCCAUUCGGAAGGGGGUAUCUAUAUCUUCUCGCAAAGGAAACCUUGCGGCCCUAACAUGUUAGAUGAACUUUUGAAAGGCUUCAUAGUGAUCCCUGCCGACCUCCCUAGGAAGGGGGUUAAGAGACUAGCUACCUCGGGCGAAAGGGUAAAUCAUGACUCAUGGGUAAAGAUGUACAACCUCUGCAGAGUGUAAAACUGGUACACUAGCCGAGCUCACGGUUAGGAGCGGCCUUGGGGACAUCUACAUUAAGAUGAUGAGCUUAUUAAGUUAUCAUGUUCAUUUGAUUAUUGUUUAUGCUACGAAUUAAUUAUGCUUACACUUGAUCAUGGGAUUAAUGGAUUAUUUAUGCUACCUUGACAUUUGCUAUUUAAUUAUGAAUAUGUUAUCUACUAUUAAAAGCUAAAUGCAGUCAAACUAGUGUCAGCUAUUUGAGCCUCAUGAACCCCUGGUUAUACUUGUUGAGUACGAUAUGUGCUCACUCUUGCAAUUUCCCAACACCUCAGGAUAUGAUAAUGAAGAUGACUGGAAUGAGGAUUACCGUUAUGAGUACUAGGUUUGGAGUCAACCAGUCAAUAGUGUCCCUGUGUGGAGCUUCCGUCGAGAGCGUUGUUUACUUUAUGCUAUUAUCUUUGUAUGAGACUAUGUGAUUUACUAUGUUCCGCUAUGUAAUAAAUACUGCAAUGGUACAUUUGAGAUUUGUCUACUUAUGUGUGUGACUAUUUCUGGGGCACAUAUGAGUCUUUUUAUGCAUCCUAUUUUGUUCUUAAAAUAUGGGUGUGACAAAUUGGUAUCAAAGCUUUGUUGACUGUCGGACGCAAGCCUAGUUAGAAAUUGGCCGUAUUAAGGUUUGAAAUUGCUACAAAAUCCUUGCUCUAUAAACCUUGAUAUUUUCUUCUACACUAUAUCCUAUUCAUCUUCACCUUGUUGCUUAUUUUAAAGACUUGUUCUCAUCUCCACUCCUUGCUUUGAAUAUGCUUUUAGAACUUUUCUUACCACCUUCUAACGUCAUUGAAAUAGGUGUUAUAGGGUCCUUGCCCUUAAUAGGAAGGGAACGUUAGUACCGCAAGUUGAGUCAAUGCUUGAAGUGUGAACUUUGAUGCUUGCUUUGGUUUGUUAUUAUGCUUAUACUUGAUUUGGAUUUUUGUAAUGAGUGCUGGAACCUUGUGGGCCUAUCCACAAGUUCCCUAGUUAACAACCUUAAGAACAUGAAUAAAUAGUGGUUUGGGGUCAUAUCCUGUUUCUGUCCUUCGCUGUUUUCUGGAGCAGUCUGCAAAGAAUCUGGUACAUCUCAAAAUCUGUUCGUGCAAUGUGCAUCAAAUUUUUCUGGGAACAAGUAGACUUUCAUAUCUUUCCAAUGCCGCAAGAAUGACCAUAUUAUCUAUUAUGAUCUGUGAGUUAUGACUGUUUAAAGUUGAGGUUUCUGCGCAGUCUGGAAUUCUGGAACAGUUUCGGUGGUACCCAGUUUUUGAUUAACCUAACCUUGGAAUCUGUUAAUAUGAUCUAAAUGAAAGUCGUAGACAAUUUCUUUAUCUUUCCAACGGUGUACAGCAUGUAUCCUUUUGAAUUCUGGAACUCGAGAUAUGACUGAUUUUCUGAUCUGCUGAUGUUGGAUGUUACCCAGAAAAUUUCAGAUUCCGUUAACUCUUGUAAUUGUCAUGUUGGACAUUACUAAGAUGUGUUUAUAUACAUUGUAAUGCAGAUGGCAGCAAGGGGAAGAGGCAGAGGCAGAGGCCGUGGCAAUGGCAAUGGUGGUAAUGGCCCAAUCACCGUGGAGGAACUCAUGCAAACCCAAAAUGAGAUGAUGCACGUUUUCAUGCAGCACCUACAGCAGCAACCUCCACCAACACCACCACCUGUCCAUGUGAGAGAUAAGCGUGGCGAGUUUAUGAAGGGAAGACCUCCUGUCUUUACACACUCAGCUGAUCCCAUGGAGGCAGAUGAUUGGUUACGUGCUGUGGAGAGGCAACUGAACAUAGCACAGUGCAAUGACUUGGAGAAGGUGUUGUAUGCUUCUGGACAGCUUCAGGGGGUAGCUCAGACUUGGUGGGAGUCAUAUCAGGCUGCUCGUCCCAACAAGGCUCCUCCUGUUACAUGGCUGGAAUUCUGUAGAGACUUCAGAGCUCGAUAUAUAAAUAAGGGAAUGAUGGAACUCAAGCAAGAAGAAUUCAGAUCACUCAGGAUGGGCUCCAUGACCGUGGCAGAAUAUCAUGACACUAUUGAACAGUUGGCUCGCUAUGCUGCGAACGAUGUCAGGGAAGAUGCUGAUAAGCAGCGUCUAUUCAUGAAAGGUCUUUACUACGAGCUCAGGUUGCAGUUGGCUGGAAACACCUAUCCUACUUUCCAAGCUCUUGUGAACUGUGCUAUUGUGCUUGAUAACAUGCGGAAGAGUCAGGAUAAGAAGAGAAGGAUGCUGGCACAAGGUUCUGGGAGCAACAGCCGUCAGCGUUUCAGUUCUCAUCAAGGCCAUCAGCAGAGGUUCUAGGGACCAGUUAGUCAGUGGAACCACAACCAGCAACCCCAGCGUUUCCAGAAUCAAUCACAGAGUGGGAACCAACGUCCUCCAUUCCAACAACGUAACCAUAAUCAAUAGCAGCAUGGUCAACAGACACCUCGCUCAGGGAACUCAAAUACCAACUCCACAAAAAGAAGUGCUUCUAACACUCCUACCAGGUGUUUCCGUUGUGGGAAGGAAGGACAUAUGUCCUAUGAUUGCCCAGAGAAGUUUAAUCCGCAAUACAACGACCGGAGAUCCACUCCUAAUUCAGCAAAGGUGAACAACGUGGCAGCGGAAACUAUUCAGGAGGGACCAGAAAUCAUGAUGGGUACGUUCAGUAUCAACUCUAUCCCUGCUACAGUUUUAUUUGAUUCUGGAGCUUCGCAUACAUUCAUAUCACAAGCAUUUGUUAGAGUUCAUAGCCUUCCACUAGUUGCAACAAAAACCCCUAUGCUAGUUAAUUCACCGGGUGGGACUAUACCAGUUUCUUUAUGUUGCCCCUCAGCAAGUCUUUCUUUAAGGGGGGUAGAUUUUCCUAUCAGUCCCAUGGUUAUGAGAACUUCAGGCAUAGAUGUGAUCUUGGGUUUGGAUUGGAUGAAGCAACAUGAGACAAAUAUUAAUUGCAAAGAGAGAGUAGUGGCUCUGACAACACCAAAGGGAGAAAGAAUCAGUGUUGAUGUAACAGUGCAAGCACCACUCACAGCUAAAGUGAACCAACUGAAUGAUGCUGAUCCUCAGAACCUGGUAGUGGAUGAGUUUCCGGAUGUCUUUCCAGAUGAAUUGCCAGGUAUGCCGCCUGACCGAGACAUUGAAUUUAUUAUUGAAUUACUACCUGGUACUGCACCCAUAGCUAAAAGACCAUAUAGAAUGGGGGUUAAUGAACUAGAAGAACUUAAGAAACAAAUUAAGGAAUUGCAAGAUAAAGGGUUCAUUCGUCCUAGUUCCUCACCAUGGGGUGCACUAGUUAUCUUUGUUGAUAAGAAGGAUGGUAGUCAGAGGAUGUGUGUUGAUUAUCGGUCACUUAAUGAGGUUACCAUCAAGAAUAAAUACCCACUGCCUAGGAUUGAUGACUUGUUUGAUCAGUUAAGAGGUGCUUGUGUGUUCUCUAAGAUUGAUUUGCGUUUUGGUUAUCAUCAAUUGAAGAUUCGGAAAUCAGAUAUACCAAACACAGCUUUCACAACAAGGUAUGGGUUGUAUGAGUAUAUAGUUAUGUCUUUUGGUUUGACCAAUGCACCAGCUUACUUUAUGUACAUGAUGAAUAAAGUAUUUAUGGAGUAUCUUGAUAAGUUUGUGGUAGUCUUUAUUGAUGAUAUUCUGGUAUUCUCUAAAACCAAGGAAGAACAUGCUGAACAUCUGAGAUUGGUCUUACAGAAACUUAGAGAACAUAAGCUGUAUGCUAAGCGUAGUAAAUGUGAGUUUUGGUUGGAAGAAGUUUCUUUUCUCGGUCAUGUUGUCUCUAAUGGUGGUAUUGCAGUGGAUCCUAGUAAGGUGAAAGAUUUGUUGAAUUGGAAACCACCUACAGAUGUAAGUGAAAUUCACAGUUUUCUUGGUUUAGCUGGUUACUACCGUAGAUUCAUCGAAGGGUUCUCAAAACUUGCAAAGCCUAUGACUGCUCUGUUGGAGAAGAAUGCUAAGUUUGUAUAGUCUGAUAAGUGCCAAGCUAGUUUUGAGGAAUUUAAGAAGAGAUUGACUACUGCACCUGUGUUGGUACUGCCAGAUCUGAGCACGAGUUUCUCUAUCUAUUGUGAUGCUUCUCGUCUGGGUUUGGGUUGUGUUCUUAUGCAAGAAGGUAGAGUUGUUGCUUAUGCAUCUAGACAGUUGAGGAAACAUGAACUAAAUUAUCCUACUCAUGAUUUGGAGUUAGCAGCUGUGGUUCAUGCAUUGAAGAUUUGGAGACACUAUUUGAUUGGGCAUAAGAGUGACAUAUACACUGAUCAUAAGAGUUUGAAGUAUAUCUUCACCCAGACAGAUCUGAAUUUGAGGCAACGAAGAUGGUUGGAACUCAUAAAGGAUUAUGAUUUGGAAGUGCAUUAUCAUCCUGGAAAGGCGAACGUCGUAGCUGAUGCACUUAGCAGAAAGAAAUAUGCUAAUGAGCUUCGGGCGACACCUGAAUCUGAGGAGUUGUGUGCUGAAUUUGCAUAUUUGAACUUGGGGAUUGUGGUAAAUGCUAUGGAGAUUGAGGUCACUCCUACUCUAGAGGAAGAGAUAUUGAAAGGACAGUUGGAUGAUGAGAAACUAAAGGAGAUAGCACAGAAUGUGGUACUAGGCAAAGCACCAGGAUUCAGAAUAGAUGACAAUGGUGUACUGUGGUUUGGAAAAAGGAUAUGUGUUCCUGAAGUGAAGGCUAUUCGUGAUAUGAUUCUGAGAGAGGCUCAUGAGUCAGCAUAUUCCAUUCACCCUGGUAGCACUAAGAUGUAUCUAGAUCUGAGAUAGAAGUACUGGUGGUAUGGUUUAAAGAGAGAUGUAGCUGAGUAUGUUGCUUUGUGUGAUACUUGUCAGCGAGUGAAAGCUGAACACCAAAGGCCAGCUGGACUGUUGCAACCAAUGAAGAUUCCUGAAUGGAAGUGGGAAGAAGUGGGUAUGGAUUUUAUAGUGGGUUUACCACGUACACAGAGAGGGUAUGACUCAAUAUGGGUGAUAGUAGAUCGUUUGACUAAAGUUGCUCACUUCAUACCUGUUAAAACUAAGUACACUAGAGAACGCCUAGCUGAGCUGUAUAUGGAGAGAAUUGUUUGUUUGCAUGGGGUACCUAAGAAGAUUGUGUCAGAUAGGGGUACUCAAUUCACAUCUCACUUUUGGAAAGCAGUGCAUGAUUCAUUGGGAACCAAGUUGAAUUUCAGUACAGCGUAUCAUCCACAGACAGAUGGACAGAAUGAGAGAAUCAAUCAGAUAUUGGAGGAUAUGUUGAGAGCUUGUGCUUUGCAGUAUGGGACUAGUUGGGACAAGAGUUUGCCAUAUGCAGAAUUCUCCUACAACAAUAGCUAUCAGCAAAGUCUUAAGAUGGCACCUUUCGAGGCACUAUAUGGUCGGAAGUGCAGGACACCUUUGUUUUGGAAUCAGACAGGAGAAACUCAGGUGUUUGGGACAGAUGUGCUUAGACAUGCAGAACAACAAGUGCGGACUAUUCGGGAUAACUUGAGAGUUGCUCAAUCUCGUCAGAAAAGUUAUGCAGAUACGCGUAGGAGAGAGCUGAUUUUUGAAGUAGGUGAUUAUGUUUACCUGAAAGUGUCACCAAUGAGGAGUGUGAAGAGGUUUAAUAUGAAGGGAAAGCUAGCUCCAAGGUAUGUUGGCCCAUUUAAAGUAUUGGAAAGGCGUGGAAAGCUAGCUCCAAGGUAUGUUGGCCCAUUUAAAGUAUCGGUUAGAGUUGCCUGAAAGUUUAUCUGGCGUGCACGAUGUGUUCCAUGUGUCACAACUUAAGAAGUGUUUGCGUGUACCUGAGGAGCAAUUACCAUUGGAAGAACUUUCUGUUAAAGGUGAUCUCACUUAUGAGGAGUAUCCAGUCAAAAUAUUGGAGACAGCUGAGAGAGUCACCAGAAGUUGGGUCAUCAGAAUGUGCAAAGUACAGUGAAAUCGGUAUUCGGAAGCGGAGGCAACUUGGGAAAGAGAGGAUGACCUGAGGAAAUCAUACUCAUAUUUGUUUGAGUAAGCACCUUUCAAUCUCGAGGACGAGAUUCUUUUAAGGGGGUAGAGUUUGUAACACCCAAAAUUUUGAUUUCAAUAAAUAGGGAUUAAUUUGAUUUAAUUAAGUAAUUUUGUGAGCAUUUGAAUUUAGCACUUAAAUAAUUUUUGUGGAAAAUAAAAAUUUAUCAUAGGUUCAAUAAAUAUGUUGGUGCAUUUCAUGCUGGUGCAUAUUUAAUUUUGUGUUGUUGCCUUUUGUUUAAAUUUAUUUGCAUUCAAUAUUUUUUAUUUGGAAAAGGGUUUGGAAAAGAAAACAGAAAAGAAAAAAAAAAGAGAAAAGAAAACCCAGCCGAACCCCCCUCUCACCACUCGGCCCAGCCCCUCUCUGGCCUGCUUACUCCCCCACCUUGGCCCAUCAACGGCGGCCCAGUUGGGCAGCUCACCUACGCCCCUUCUCCCUCCCUUGCUGGCUGACGCGCGGGCCCCAUAUGUCAGCAGCGCCUCCUUCAACCUUCCGUUCGCGAUCGGACAACGGGCUUUCCAUCGGAGGAAAACCGAAUCCGCUAACUUCUCGCGAUUUCUUGCCAAACAUGGAAAUCGACCCCUAUAUAAUCCCUAGCAUCGCCCCCGCGCGUGUUAUCCAUCUUCGCCGUGCGAAAUAUCGGGAUCUCGCCGCAAGCCGAGCACCUUGCCGCGCGCCGUAAGCCCCACUUGUCGCUCUUCGACCCCCGCAAAGCACCUCGUUGAACUCGCUGUGAGCUUCUCGUCUUCCCGGCGUUUUCCUUUCGCAAAUUGGUGCUCGGAAUCGAGAAGUCCGUCGUCGCCGGCGAGCUCCUUUCGGCCGGCAAUGGAGCCACCGCGCCGGAGCUGGCAGCCUGCUGGUCGGACCGCCGCCCAGCACCCCUGGACACGCCGAUGCCGUCCAUUUGCACAUCGACGGCCAGGAAGCACAGAUACUCGUUCGGCUGGCAAAAUUCUUUAAGAGUUCCUAAAAGUUUUUCUUUUGGCUCCGCAGUCCCUGGCGGCUUUUGCGGUUUACGCUUUUCAGUUUUAAAAGCGUACUUUCUGUCGGCUGAAGUUCAAAUGCGCUUUCCAAUAUUUACAGAAUUGCCACUGAACUUAUAAUGCUUAUAAAAUGGUCAUUUUAACUCCGUUUUUGUCUAUUCAAAUUCCGUUAGAUUCGUAUUUACGAGCUUUACUUGAUAGAAAUAUUAGUUUAAAACUUUUUAAUUUCCUGGUACUAUUUAUUUAAUUAUUUCUCUAUAGGAAAUCUUAGAAAAUUCAUAUCUUUCACGUUUUAAUUUCGAUUUUCGUGAACUUUACGUUUGUGUGAUCGUAGCGCUGCGUAGAAUAUUUUGAUAAACUUUUAUAUUUGUUUUACCACUGUUUGGUGUAUUGUUCUAAUUAUAUCUUGUUUGCUUCGUGUAUGAUUGUCUACAUUGGAUUGCGUGUUGUUGAUUGAUGAUUGGGAUUAGACGGUGAGCCGUACGUUGGUGAUCAAGACCAAGCUUUUGAAGACCAGCAGGCUCAGAAGAGCUUUGAGCAAGGCAAGUAUAACUUGGGAUCAUCCUUGUUACCUAUUCACUUAUAAUUACACAUAUAUAUCAUAUGCAUGCUAUCACCUUGUCGACCUUAGCAAAAUCAUAGAUGAUUGUUAUCUGGAUUCCUUGCUACCUACUUGAUUUGUAUUUGGUGUAGUUGUGCUAGUGCUUGAUAUAAUCCAUGAUCUUGUAAGAUGAUGAGCUUCUUAAGUUAUCAUGUUCAUUUGAUUAUUGUUUAUGCUAUAAAUUAAUUAUGCUUACACUUGAUCAUGGGAUUAAUGGAUUAUUUAUGCUACCUUGACAUUUGCUAUUUAAUUAUGAAUAUGCUAUCUACUAUUAAAAGCUAAAUGCAGUCAAACUAGUGUCAGCUAUUUGAGCCUCAUGAACCCUUGGUUAUACUUGUUGAGUACGAUAUGUGCUCACUCUUGCAAUUUCCCAACACCUCAGGAUAUGAUAAUGAAGAUGACUGGAAUGAGGAUUACCGUUAUGAGUACUAGGUUUGGAGUCAACCAGUCAACAGUGUCUCUGUGUGGAGCUUCCGUCGAGAGCGUUGUUUACUUUAUGCUAUUAUCUUUGUAUGAGACUAUGUGAUUUACUAUGUUCCGCUAUGUAAUAAACACUGCAACGGUACAUUUGAGAUUUGUCUACUUAUGUGUGCGACUAUUCUUGGGGCACAUAUAAAUCUUUUUAUGCAUCCUAUUUUGUUCUUAAAAUAUGGGUGUGACAGUCCCCAAACCUAUGGAUAGUUAUGGUAUUCUCAAAGGUGAUAGCUCCAACCAGGCUUUUGUAUUGCACCACGUGUGGUUUGUUGUUUCCGUAGAGGUCUUGGCGGGCUUCUCCCAAUCACCAUUUCCAUGUAUUUUUUAGAUAAAAAAGGAAUCACUGCUCCGAAGUAAGUGAGAAUAUUAAGCCUGAGCUUUGGUUAUCUAGUGAUCUUGGGAGAACUUCAGAAAACCCCUCUCUUCCCACAAAAAACUUUAUUCAUGGACGACCUUGAUCUUUUCUAGUUCACUUCUCAUUCCUCUGGAAAUUAAAAUACUCUAGAUGAAAGCUACAACGGUAUCUGUGCGCUUGUAAAUUUAUCUGCGUUAACAAAUACCAAGAUGAAGAUGACCCAGCGAGAAGUGCUUCAUGCAGUAUCAAUUCUAGUCUAGCCUCCGCCAUAGUUGCCUGACAAAAGAUGCGGAGGGAGAUCCGCGGUUUCUGGAGUUUCUUCCCGUGGACGCUUGCCGUGAGCCAUUGUUCAGAAGAAGACCGGAUGGAGGAAAGGAAGAAGAAAAGAUAUGUGUCACAAUCACAACACAACAAAUGAAUACAAGUAGUAUUAUUCUUUCUACGUACCCCACCUUGCCUCUAUAGUGGGUUCAUCGAGUUACCCAUGAGAUCGGGGGAUAUGUGUUCACACCGAAAUUGAUCUAUUUCUCAGUGGCCCGUAUUGUGCUAGCUGAUUAAUUUAUCAAAAAAAAAGAGAUUUAGGGUGCAAAAAUCUGUCAACAGAUAUGUAUACUGGUGCAGGACGGGGCAUUAGCACCGGUCGGGAAGGGCCUGUUGCCUCGGUUCCCAAGCCGGUGCUGCCCUUCCGGGACUAAAGACCCUUUAACACCGGUUGGUAUUAUCAACCGGUGUUAAAGGGUUUCUUUUUUUGGUUCACUUCUUCGAUUCUAUUUAUUGUUUUUAUAUAAUAAUAAUAGGUUUUUCAAUACAUGUUUUUGCUGAUACAAUAAUAUAUUUAUAUUACACGCAUAUUAAGCAUAUAUAAAUAAAAUUAUAGCCUUAGCUUAAUAAUUAAGCUUUGCCUAUAAUAAAAUGAAUAGGCCACAUCAAAAAUUAAAUAGAUACGUAAAAAGCUUUAUAUAUAUAUAUAGUUUUAUAUGUACAAAAUUCGUAACACAUAUAUACAUAGAGUUUUUUCUCUCAAUGUCUACAAACAAUACAAAUGAUCAUCGUUGUUUGGAAUAAGAGUUUCGUUGCCGUUGAAGUGAAACUCGCCGUUUGGAUUGAUCACUUGCUCGCGGAGAAAUCCUGCUAUCAUCUCUUGGAUAGCUUUGAUUUGGUCUUUUUUAUGACAUUUUUCCUCAACCAUUCCGUCUUUAAUUUGAAAUAAAUAGAAAGUAUUAGUUAUCUAAGUUAUUCAAUAUAAUUCAGGAGAUAAUGAAAAGAGACAUGUAACGUACUCUGAGCGUAUCUGUGGGUGUUUGAUUGACUUGUGCCAUCAUGAAUUUGCACACGUAAUAUGUACAUAGAUUGUUCCCCCUUCUUGUCUUAAACACCACUCUAUAUAUAUAUAUAUAUAUAUAUAUAUAUAUAUAUAUAUAUAUAUAUAUAUAUAUAUAUAUAUAAUAUUCACGACCACGACAAUAAGAAGGCUAAAAGUUAGCGAAAGUUUGCUAGCUAGUAGAACUUACUUGUGGAUGUAUUAUGUUAAGCGGCGCUUUACAUCCACUGAGAUGUUCACGGUUAAUGAAUCUUUCCCAAACCCUACACACAGCCAUUGUGGAUCGUGAACUAAUAAUUACAGAGUCAUAUUAUGAUUUUUUUCUAGCUGAGAUCGACAUUACGUACCUUUGAAUAAUGUUUACCAUUUGUUGAUAAUUUUUUUGUGGUUUUCUCAUUGAGUCAAAGAUUAUCAACCGGUUCUUGGAAAUUUCAAUGACCAUGAGUAUCCAGUGAAAGCUGUUUACACAUAUAUAUAGUCAGGCCUAUAAUGUAAAAUAAAAUAUGCAUGCACUUAAUAACUAUAUAACUCACUCGAAGUUGAAGGGAAAGAGUAUUUUUUGUUUUUCUUUUUGGUUCAUAAAGAACCUCAUAAGAUUGGUGCAGACUUCGGUCUCAUGAGCUGCUGUCCACACUACCUGCGGAGCCUUGAAAACAAUAUAAGGGUCAACGAACCCAAUACUAUUGUCAUUUCUCAUUCUGAGCUCUCUUAUUUGGUGCCUGCAUAUAUACAUACAAAUCCUAAGUGUGUAAGGAUUAUAUACAUGUAAUUAAAGCAGUUAGAAGUAUAAUAAAAAGAAAAAAAAUACUUACACACAAAAGCAGCUGACAAGAGAUUUGUCGAGAGCGUCGAGGUGACAUAAUUGGUGCAAUUCUUCGAACUGCACGUAUAUGAGGUCAUCUCCACGGAAGUAGUGAUGUUCUCUAAUACGAACAGAAAUCCAAUUCUCUCCCCUUUUAGACGCCUCAGUGCACCAUUUGUUUAUUGCAAACAUUUGUGUGUCGAGCUCAUGUAAACGCUGAGGGUCGAAUAGACUCCUGUCCGGUUCAUAUCUUACCCUUCAUUGAUCAACUACCUCAAGUGUUUGGCAUCCAAGAAUGGCGGCAAUUUCUUCCAUAUUUAAACCGCUCUGUCCAAAGUAACGCUCAAGCGAGUAUAGCUCAGACAACGCUAAGUAUUUCUUUGGCAUCAAGUCUUCAUUUGAGCCGUAUUGAUUUGGCACAAUCAAAGGGGGCACUGGUUUUGAUACUUCUCCGAGCUGUGGGACCCCCUUUCCUACUCUCUUCCUAGGCUGUGAAGACUUGACCAGAGACCGCUCAUAAUCCAAAAGUGCUGGCUUUUUAUGAGCUUCGCGUUGCUUCUUUUGCUGGUCCGCCACCUUCUGCCUCAGUUCCGAUGGCUUUACAUAAAAGUACGCCUUUUCUGGGUUUAGCCGCUUUUUAUAUCCUCCAAUUUAUCAAAAAAUUAUUUCACCUCAGCUUUGGAUGCAGCAAUUACCUCCUCUUCACUCGUUUCAUAAGAUAAUUUUUCUGGUGUCUUAGCUCUCUUUGCUGAGGCAGCCUUCUUUGGAGGUGGGACCGAUGACUUCGGUCGUUCUUGGGCGGACCGCUUCUGACUACCUCGCUUUGGAGGCGAGGGGACCGACCGUGCACUCUUUGGAGAGGGCGGUGCAGGCGGUGGAGGUGGGGGGGCCAAUCUUUUCGGUGUUGGAGAACGCGGUGGAGGAGGUGGAGACCGUGGUGGAGGCGGUUGCGGGGUCGGUGUGGCCGCCGUAGGUGUUGGAGGAGAUCCAGCAUUGUCACCGCCCGUAGCACUAUGAUGCGCUGGGGAGAGAACUGGACUUAGGUUGGAGGAGUCCCUGCAAAGAAAACAAUUACAAGUUUUGUGAGCAAACUUUUUUUUAAUUUCAAUACAUAAUAAAUAAUAUAAGAAGUAAAAUCACACACAAACCUAUGUUGAGGAAUAAUUAUGAAGCGCUUACGCCAACAAAUAAAUGUCUUCUCAACUUCACCUAAGGUCUUCUCUCCAUCUCCGCCUUCUAUGUCUAGAGGCACAUUGCCACAACCUUUCUCAACCCUAUCAACCGAGACGCUAGCAUAUCCACCAGGUACUGGUCGAUUAUGGAUUCUUGGAGUUCUCGUUCGGUCGAUAGGGUUGACAACAGCGAUAGCCACCUUUUUUGUUGCAUUCCCAUCUGGUACAUGCAACUCACAGGUAGUAAAAGCCUCUGUGACAUCAUCCACGAGGAUGUGUAGCCUCGUGUCAUCCUGAAUGGUUGGUACUUCCAUGGAUGCGCAGCUGCUUUUCAAUUGGCCUAGGGGGCUAACGUUGACCUCAGGCUGUGAUGUACCUUGCCCUUUCGUCAUUUGACUAAGUGCUGCUUGCACUUGCCUUUGAAUCUCCGCCUGCAUCCAUUCUUCACGAGCUUUCUCGCGCUCUUCUGACUGCAGAACAAAAGCUUCCAGGCGGCGGAUCCGCUCUGCCACCUCAUCCUUCUUUCUCUGGCAGCUUCUGUAGGUAUCUUGAUCGGCUUGGAAUGAUUGCAGCCACGGAACUGUCCCAUAGCCUCUCGUACGCCCACCGUGCUCAGGAUUUUCAAGCGCAUAGGUGAGUUCAUCCUUCUCCCUGUUAGGCCUGAACUCACCAGACUGAAGCGCCUGCUACUCUAGUGAUUUCUUGGCCCCAAACUAGCGCCUCGGUGUCUGGGUCCACGCUUCCCCCAUGACCGUAGAACCAAUGCUUGGAGUGCUCACUCCAAUUCUUUGCUAUUAUCUCGGGUGUGACCCCCCUAACAAGCAUCUCCUAUUCCAUUCGGUCCCACUUGGGAACAGCACUCUUAUAACCACCUGAUCCCAUAUGAUGGUGGUAUGUCUUUUUACUUGCAUUCUCUUUGUUUCUAAUGGCUCGUUCCUCGCCCUCUUCUGAUGUUUUGUACUGCACGAAGUCAUUCCAGAAGGCCCUCAGCUUUACAUAUUGCUUGAGGUUGAAAUUUGGAGUCUCGUUUUUCUUGAAAAAUUUAUUGUACAAAGUCUUCUUCCAAUUCUGGAACAGUACUGCCAUCUUCUUCAUAGUCCAGUCAUAAAUUCGCACCUUCAACUCUUCAUCGUUGGUGUCGAAGGUGAAAACGUCUGUGACGGCUUUCCAAACUAACUCCUUGUCACGAUCAGAGACAAAACUGAUCUCAGGAGCACCUCGCUUCUCUCUCCAUUCACGAGCACUAAUCGGUAUUUGAUCUCUCACAAGAUAUCCAUAGUGACUAACAUAUUUAUUUGCAUGCUCACCAAGUGGUCUGCUGUAGCUAUCUCAAACUCAAAGAUUACAUAGCGGCCCUCCAAUGGCUUCUUUGGCCCUCGUGGAGGUACGCUUCUCCCAGUAGAGGUCGAUCCAGAAGGCUACACAUAGAUAUAGAAAAAAAAAUACUAAAUUAAUAACCAAGUAAGUAUAAAACCUAAUGUAAGAGAUGCAUUAAUUAUAUAUGUUUACAUUUACAUACCUCACCAAUAUUUUCUUCUUGUUGCACGACAAGAAGAUGCUCAGGCGCUAUGCCCUCUUGUUGCUCAGGGGCAUUGCCCUCUUGUUGCUCAGUCGGAUUGCCUUGCAUGAUCUCGUGGUAAUCAAUAAAGUACGGACUACCGUCGUCGAUCAUAUUUUGAAUGGCUUUUUCCAUAUAAUCAUGAUCAUCAUGAGGACGGUCAGACAUUUCUAUGUCUGCAACCAUACAUAUAUAUAUUCUAUAUAAGAUAAGACAUACACUAGAAUAAUAUACUACAAAACCCUACUAGAAUAAAUUUGGUGGGUAAACACUACUAGAAUAUAUAUUAGAGACUUAUAUACUACUACUAGUACACUAGAAUAAUAUAUAAAAAACAAUACUAGAAUAAUAUAGUACAAACAAUAACAUAUACAAAACCCUCCUAGAAUAAAUUUGGUGGGUAAACACUACUAGAAUAUAUAUUAGAGACUUAUAUACUACUACUAGUACUAAUACAAAUGAAAGUGUUGGAGUGCUCUAAAAAUAAUACUAGAAUCUUUUAAGCCAAGUAAUACACUAGAAUAAUAUACUAAAAACAAUACUAGAAUAAUAUAGUACAAAACAAUAAUAUAUACAAAACACUACUAGAAUAAAUUUGGUGGAUAAACACUACUAGAAUAUAUUAAGCCAAGUAAUAGACUAGAAUAAUAUACUAAAAAGUAAUACUAGAAUAAUAUAUAUAUACUAGAAUAAUAUACUACAAUUCAAAUAUACUAGAAUAAUAUAUACAAAACACUACAAUUCAUAAUAUACUAGAAUAAUAUACUAAAAAGUCUUUUAAGCCAAAUAAUAUACUAGAAUAAUAUAUUAAAAAAAUAAUACUAAAAAUAAUACUAUAAUAGUACAAACAAUAAUAUAUACAAAACAUUAGAAAUUAAAAUAUAUGUUACAGACUAUAUGCAUACUAAAAUAAUAUACUAAAAAAAUAAUACUAGAAUAAUAUACUAAAAAGUAAUACUACAAUAAUAUAUUAGCAUGCAUUAUUUUUUAGUGUAUAUGUAUACUUAAUAUAUUAGCAUUCAUUAUUAUAUAUAGAAAACACUAGAAUCAUAUAUAUAUACAAAACACUAAAAUCAUAUUUUCCAAAGUGCAGGGCGCAUAUAAUUCAUAUAGCAUUCAUUUACUAUAUAUGGUUUCAUAUAGUUAUAUAUAAACGCAGUAGAUAUGUAUAUAUGGUUUCAUAUAGUUAUAUAAAAUCAUAUUUUCUCUACUAUAUAUAUAUAUAUAAACACAGCAGCCAUAUAUAUCCAUGUCGGUUUGGAUCGGAUCGGAGUCUAUACAUGGGGGCCGGAUCGGUGGUGGACGGCGCGCUGGAGGUGUAGAUGACCGCGGCAGCGGUGGUGGACGGCCGCGCGGCAGCGGUAGUCGACGGCGGCGCUGGAGACGGUGGCGCGGCGGUGCUUGACGGACGGCGCGCGGGCACAGACGAAUGGCGGCGGCGAAGACGAAGGGCUCUGCUCGACGAAGACGAAGGAACUGUUCAGAUCUAGGGCGCCUGUGCGUUUAUAUAGGGACGGACCCUUUAGCAACGGUCCGUGGCUAGAACCGGUGCUAAAGGGUCUUUAACACUGGCAGGUAACACGAGCCGGUGUUAAAGGGUGACCCUUUAGCACCGGCCCGUGUUACCAGCCGGUGCUAAAGGGACCCCUUAGCACCGGUGCCAGCCACGGAUCUGUGCUAAAGGGUCCUGCGCGUGCUAGGGCGGGCUCCUGAAAUUUUCAGGGCCCUUUAGCACCGGUUCCACUAUGGGCCGAUUCUAAAGGCCCUGUUUUUUAGUUUAGCGUUUUUAAAGUGUUUAUAUAUACAGUUUAUAUUAUAAAUUGUAUAGUAAAUUAAAUAUUUUGCAUAAUAUUUUUUAAACAGUGACAUAUAUUGUAAUUUUUUUUAAUGUACACAUGAAAAUUUUUAACCUUAAAUAUCUUGCUGUAUUUUUAUAAUUUGCAAUAAUUUUGUAAGAAAUGUUUAGUAUUUUUUUAAUACAAAAAUAUAUUAUUCCAAUAAAUUUACAAAAACUAUAUCCAAUCAACUGGAAAUCUAUUUUCACAUCAUAUUGACGUUAAACUUUUUAUUUUUGUUAUUUAUUACUCAGAAUGCUAGUAGGGUAUAGUUUUCAUCAAAUAAAAAAUCUAUUUAUCAUAUAAAAAUAUAUAUCUUGAUGAACACACCCUUUGACCGAACCCUAGAUGGUCCCAAAUAGAAAAGUCAUGAAUACAAAGUUUAUUACACUCAUCAAGUUCUACAUUUUGUCUAAUGGUCAACUUUUCAUUUGGAAAAGUUUGAACCACUGAAUUUUGAAUUUUCAGAGAAUUCAUAGCCAUGCAGCGGUUUCGGAACCCUAGAUGGCCUCGAAUGGAAAAGUCAUGAAUACCAAUAUUAAACAUGACUUUAUAGUUUGUUACACUCAUCAAAAUUCACAAUUCUCAAAUAUAGUUUCAUACAAAGUUUGUUACAACACAUACAUGACUUUGUGUUAAGCCGACACAACAGUUAACUUCUUGACGUAUGACCCUUGGUUAUGAUCCUGCCAUAACCAUGGAGUAUCCUCAUUGUUUAAUAGAAUGCUUGGGUCUUUGUUGACUAUGAAGGGCGGAAUUCGAUCAUCCCUUUCGUAAUCGCCUGACAUGUCUGACUUGUCCUCAAUUCUGACAAUGUUUCUUUUCCCAGAAAGGGCAAUGUGGCGCUUUGGCUCAUUGAUGAUUGAGUGGUCAUCAUUUUUUCCUCUCUUUGGUUUCGUAGACAUAUCUUUGACAUAGAACACCUGACUCACAUCUGCAGCAAGGAGGAAUGGUUCAUCUUUGAACCCACUAUUGUUAAGGUCCACGGUUGUCAUCCCAUACUCCUUGUCGACUGUUACCCCACCUCCGGUCAUCUUCACCCAUUAGCACCGGAACAAAGGAACUUUAAAAUUAGCUGCAUAGACUAGUUCCCAUAUGUCUUCUAUGCAUCCAUAAUAUGUUUGUCUGUUCCCAUUUGUAUCCGUGGCAUCCACGCGUACACCACUAUUUUGGUUGGUGCUCCUUUUAUCUUGGCCAACUGUGUAAAAUGUGUUACCAUUUAUCUCGUACCCUUUGUAUGUGAGGACAUGCCAUGAUGGUUGCCUGGCCAACAAAUAAAGCUGCUCAUGAAUGUUUUCAUCACCUUGAAAUUUUUUGCGCAACCAAUCGCCAAAAGUUUCCAUGUGCUGACGCAUUAUCCAAGCUUCAUUCUUCCCGAGCCACUGGGACUGUAGGAAAUCCUUGUGUACCUCAACAUAUGGUUCCACCAAUAAGGAGUUCUGGAGAACUGUGUAGUGUGCUUUAUUGAAGUAAUCGUCUCCCGUACCAAUAUAUGUUUUCUUCCCACGUGUUCCCUUUCCGCUGAGUCUGCCCUCGUGUCGAGAUUCAGGAAUGCCAAUUGGGUAAAGGUCUGGAAUAAAGUCAACACAGAACUCUAUGACCUCCUCUGUUCCGUAGCCCUUGGCAAUGCUUCCUUCUGGCUGGGAACGACUAUGGACAUAUUUCUUUAGGACACCCAUGAAUCUCUCAAAGGGGAACAUGUUGUGUAGGAACACAGGACCGAGAAUACGAAUCUCUUUGAUCAGAUGAACUAGGAGGUGUGUCAUGAUAUCGAAGAAGGAUGGAGGGAACACCAACUCAAAGCUGACGAGACAUUGAACGACAUCAUUCUGUAGAGUAGCUGGUUGCUCUGGAUUGAUUGCCUUAUGAGAAAUUGCAUUGAGGAAUGCACAUAGCUUUACGGUGGCUAGACGUACGUGUGGAGGUAAAGUUCCUCUUAAAACCACCGGCAGCAAUUGCGUCAUUAGAACGUUACAGUCAAGGGACUUCAAGUUCAGGAAUUUCUUCUCUGGCACAUUAAUUAUUCCCUUGAUAUUGGAGGAGAAUCCAGAUGGGACCUUGAUGCUGCUAAGACAUUCAAACAUGCUUUCCUUCUCUUCUUUGCUCAGAGUGUAGCUAGCCGGGCUUAAGUAAUGACGUCCAUCAUUUGUCUUUUCUUGAUGCAGGUUGUCUCGUUCUUUCAUGCGCUGCAUGUCUUGUCGUGCUUCAAGUGAAUCCUUAUACUUCCCGUAGACACCCAUGAAUCCGAGCAAGUUCACACAAAGAUUCUUUGUCAGAUGCAUCACGUCGAUCGUGUUGCGGACCUCAAGGACAUUCCAGUAAGGUAGCUCCCAAAAUAUGGAUUUCUUCUUCCACAUGGGUACGUGUCCCUUAGCAUCCUUGGGAAUAGGUUCGCUGCCUCGUCCCUUUCCAUAUACCACUUUUAUAUCCUUGACCAUUUCGAGUACAUCAUCCUCGGUUCGAUUGAGAGGUUUGGUCCGGUGGUCUGCCUUGCCUUUAAAAUGCUUGCCUUUCUUUCGUACUAGGUGGUUCACAGGAAGAAACCGACGGUGGCCAAGGUACACAAUCUUUCGACAUUUUUUCAAAAAUACACAGUCAAGGUCUUCAUAACAAUGUGUGCAUGCAUUAUAUCCCUUGUUUGACUGGCCUGAAAGAUUACUCAGAGCUGGCCAAUCAUUGAUUGUCACAAACAGCAAUGCUCGCAGGUCAAAGUGCUCUUGUUUGUACUCAUCCCACACGCGAACUCCUAGUUUGCUCCAUAAAAGUUGAAGUACCUCAACUAAUGGCCUUAGGUAGACAUCUAUGUCAUUGCCAGGUUGCUUCGGUCCUUGGAUAAGCACCGGCAUCAUAAUAAACUUCUGCUUCAUGCAUAGCCAUGGAGGAAGGUUGUAGAUACAUAGAGUAACUGGCCAAGUGCUGUGACUACUGCUCUGCUCACCUAAAGGAUUCGUUCCAUCUGUACUUAAGGCGAACCGUAAGUUUCUAGCAUCAUCUGCAAAAUCUAGGAAUUCUCUGUCUAUCGCUCUCCAUUGGGAUCCAUCGGCAGGGUGUCUCAGCAUAUUGUCUAUCUUACGGUCUUCUUUAUGCCACCGCAACAACUUUGCAUUGUCCUUAUUUCUGAACAGACGUUUUAAUCGUGGUAUUAUAGGAGCAUACCACAUAACCUUGGCUGGAAUUUUCUUCCUAUGACGUUCUUCACCCUCAACAUCGCCAGUAUCAUCUCGUCUAAUCUUAUACCGUGAUGCCUUACAUACUGGACAUGCAUCCAAAUUCUCGUAUUCCUCCCCACGGUAGAGGAUGCAGUCAUUAGGACAUGCGUGUAUCUUCUGGAUUUCUAAUCCCAAAGGGCAGACAACCUGUUUUGCUUCAUACGUAGUGGUGGGCAAUUCGUUGCCUUUCGGAAGCAUCUUUUUUAUGAUCUUCAAUAACUGCCCAAAUGCCUUGUCAGAUGUACCAUUCUUUGCCUUCCAUUGUAGCAAUUCCAGUGUGGUACCCAGCUUUUUUGGCCCCUCUUCAGCGGUGGGAUAUAGCGAUUUCCUGUGGUCCUCUAGCAUGCGCUCAAACUUGGCUUUCUCUUUAUCACUUUCACAUUCUCUUUGUGCAUCACGGAUGGCAUCACCAAAAGCAUCAUCGCCCCGAUUGUUGAUAUUUGGUAACGCAAUUAGAAAAUAAUCCGCAAGCGCACGGAUAUCGGUGAGCAUUUCACCCGGGAGGUUUUCCAGAGUUAUCGUAUUUAUAUUUUUACCACUGGGAGAAAGGGUGCAUCUGACUAACCAAAUGUAUUGCUACUACCCCUUUAGGCUACAAAGAAUGUUUCUUGAUGUGAGCGAUGUAUAGAGAAGACUGCAACCGUAGUCUGGUUCUAACCUUGGUAAGGAUGAUCUACUGUUCUAUUGGGGAGGCUCACGGAAUCUAGACACCACAGAGGAUGUUCGACCCGCACCUAUAAACCUACCCGUCCUGCUAACAAGAUAUGGGAUACAAAGGUAACUCGGAAAUGUCACGUUCCUCGCUACUACCACGGUCCAGCUAGUCAGGGGAUAUCUAUGAGUACCCUAGCCUAAACACCACGUUUACGCUAGCAAGUGAUUACUCUAAUACUCAACCGGAAGAGGAUUAAAGUAAAAUCAUAAACCAAAGAACAAUAAAACAAGAACUUACUAGAAUUAGAAGUCGAAUUACUGAAGAAUCUUAGAAGCAAGCCUCGGGUUAGGAGACUUGAUCCCGCAGGUACAACUCGGAGUAGACACCGACAGGCCGGCCUUCCUCCGAUCUACACCUCCACUCUAUCUCUCUCAAUCUAGUAGAAACUAGAAGAUCUAUUUCUACUUACAUUGGUUGCUAAGCCUAAAAAGAAAUAUUAUUUAGAGAUGAGGUUUUCCUUCGAGGGCACCCCUCAAUCUCUAUGAUAACUUCUUGUCUUCUCCAGGGGCCAGGGGGGUCUCCUUAUAUAGUCCUCCUCCUCUAUGCAUUUUUGGUUCAGCAGGCAAUGUGGUACUAAACUUUCCACCAUAGCUCAUUAAAAUACACAUAGGCCUUCAUGGACCAAAAUCUGAUUUGGGCCCAAUUAAUCCCGCAGCUCUUUUAUGUGGAGUCCUUCUUUUAUUAAUAUCUUUUGAUUUUGAACUCCAAAUAUAGCAAAUAAUAUAUGCAUUUCGAUCAGCUCGACGAGAUCUUUGUAAUGGUGUACUCCAUUCUGUGUUUGGUGGAAACACCUGGGCGGGCGCCCAAGGGGAGAGGGCGGGCGACCUGCCCCCGGGCCCGUUCGGCCUCCCGUUCGUUCUCGUGGUUUCUGGACUCUUCUAGAUGAUAGAAAAUUGCGCGGCACGUUAAUAUCUCUAUGUAAACCUGACAUGUGGGCCUUUCUUCCUUAUUUAUUGAUACCCCCCUGCAGAAAUAGACAAACACCAAAACUCGUGGAAUCCUGUCUGAUAAAACCCUAAGUCUAGGUGUUGAUUGCAUUUGGAUCCUUUUCUUUAUUUAUUUGAUGAUUAUAUUUUGUACUUAAGGACCGUCAACAACUCCCCCAAGCUUACCUCUUGCUCGUCCCUGAGCAAGGAUGGACUCAAGAGUUUCUGCAGUGGUUUUAUGCUUUAAAAAUACACACGCAUUCAAGCAAGAUCUCAUCUCUGAGUUAGAGUAAACUGUUAAGACUUAAAACUUACUCAUUUUACCUUUCACCAUGGGGCUUGUAACCGUCACUUGUGUCUUGAGUAGUUAAAAGAUAGAACGGUCAAGUCAAGCGCCAUGUCUCUUAUUCUUGAUCAGCUAUAGCUCUGGAGUUUUUGCAGAUUUUCAAAUAAAACUCAGAGAUUCCUUGUAUGACUCUCUCAGAUCUCUCGUUUGUGGUAUUUCUGGAUCCUUUCCAAGGCAGUAAUGGUAUAUGCCUUGUCUCAAAAUAUGUGAUAUUUUUGGUUGUUGAUGCAAAACUGAUCUGCAAACACAAAGGGCUAAUACCCGAUUCAAACGUUAAGGCGUGCCAGCCGAUUUGACCUUACUAUCGGCAAAGGUGAUAACUCGAAUACUUUAGUCCUGACAACAGCGAUACGCCCGGAUGUCACGGCUAAGAGGUACUCACGCGGAACUUGAGAAUACGCCGAGCUUAAGUCGACGAAUUCCUAAGAACUCGUAAUAAAAGGGAAAAAGUAUGACGAAGUCGUCGAAAAGUAGAUGCUGGAAUAUGAGUAAAAACGUGUGUUUGAUUGAUUGAUAGAUCUCUUUUUGAUUACAAGGUCUUAGGGCUUAUAUUUAUACCCUGCUCAAAGAGCUACGACCAGACACGAUUAGAAUUCGAAUUCCAAAUUACACGGAACCCGUAUACAAAACGACACGAAUAACAUAAGGAAAUAAUAAAACCAUCCUUCGUGACAAACCGAAACUUCCUCCACAUGACAACUGGCAGCUUCCGGACUCCUCCUUCGCGUCAUCGGCAAUCCCCUUGCCAUAGUCAUCGGCAGACCCUUUUACUUGGUCAUCGGCACUAUAUUACUGUCUGGGGACUUAGUCACAUUCAACCUUUCCCUCAUCGGCAACCAUCCUUACCAGCAACCCGCAUCGUACUGCCACCCUGUCCUGCCAUCCUGGACACGUGCCCAAAAAUGGUGUCAACACAUGCCCCCCAGUUUCGGAGUAUAAAACUAUUAAUGCUCCGAAAUUCUCUGCAGUAAUGAUGUCUUCUCCGCAAUUAAUGCUCCUAACCUGGUAACCGACAACCUCAACCUGGGCAACUCUGAUCCUAAUCCUCCGCAGAUCCCUCGAAAUCCACAACUUCCCAAACGGGCAUCUUCCUUAGUCGUACAUCGGCAACAAUACCGUUACAAAGAUCUGCCGAUGCUCUGCCCAGGAUAUUCGCAAAAACGGUUACUUCCCCUCUAUCCGCCCAUCGGCAGGACGACCGUUAUAGAAUAUCACCGAUGGACCGACCAGGAGAUCGUGCACAGUAAAAUAUCUUUAGAUAAUGACCGCUUCCUGUCAAAUCACCUGCACAAUCCCUGGAUUAUCGUGCGAACAGUUACCAUAUCCACUUGAGUACCCUCGGGUUUCUCGGAUGCGGCAAAGAAAUAAGUCAGAUUUGCCCUUGUCCAUCUUGCCCUAUAAAUAGUUCCUUCUUGGGUACUCCUCCCCCAUUACAUCAUUCUGCCAUCCAACUUCACUUUUCCAGCGGCGGCGCCAUUCUCAAUCCUCAAGAUCUCCGACAAGCAUUCUUCUUCAUCAACUCCGGCGUCUUCCAGCGUCCCCUUCACGACAAGAUGGCCGUCGGCUUCGUCGUCCCUGAGGUCAGACUUCCAUCUCAUCUGCCGUACCUUUUUCCUGCAUUCCUGUUCAUCUGCGAUUUACCUUACCGAAUAUUUCCUUCUCCUUUUUCUUUGUAUCUUUAUUCCCCAAAACACCAGGAGUUAUCCAACAAAAUUGUCAUUCCUACCGAUCAACCACAUCUUCAAUGCCUCGGCCCUCUAGGGGAUCCAGAUCCAACCGACCUUAUCAACGCAGAAACCAACAGGAUUCCCUUUAGAGCUGAAAACUUUGCUCUAGAUCUAUGGAAGGACACCUUUCGCUCUUGGCCUAGCCCUACUGUAGGGUGGAAAGACUGGUUCUUGAGGGUCAGCAACUCUUAUGAAGUUCAAUGGGGUGAGAGGAAAUUAGCUCAAUGCAUUAGGCUGUCCAUUGCCGAUAUGCACAGGAAUGAGUCAUUGCUGAUAUCCGCAUCUUACUUUUGGUCAGACACUCUCAACGCUUUUGUUUUUGGCCACGGCCCUGCUUCUCCUACCCUUGCCGAUGUAGCCAUGCUUACUGGGUUAGACAUAUCCUCUGCCGAUAGCACCCAUUUUUUUGAUACCGCCCCCAGUGCCAAAGUGGAGACUCGCGCUAUCGGCGGCUGGUCAGGGUACAUCCAGAAGUACCGCGGGAGAGGGCCUGUCACCAUAAAGGAACAAACCACUUUCCUGAACAUGUGGCUAGACAAGUUUGUAUUCUGUGGUCGAUCGGCAGGACCGACUUCUGUCUAUCUAUCGGCAGCAGAAAGACUGGCUAUCGGUGGUCAAUUUCCUCUCGGCCGUUAUUUGCUCGGCGCUGUUUAUCACCUUCUUCAUCAGAUAGUCCAGAAACUCCUGCUCGGCCAACCUAUCGGCAACUUGGGAGGUCCUUGGUGGUUUAUUAAUAUGUGGCUCAAUCUGCACCUGCACAAGCGCCUCGAUCUCAACUUGUUCUCUCAGCACUUCCCAAGAGAUAUAGCCGAGAACCAUGUGUUGGGUGAAGAGGAAUCGGCAACCCGUGCCCCCCUGAACUUUGGCGAAGCUGUUAUAGUUUUACCUGGUUCAGGGAACACUCCGGAUCAGAUCGGCCGAUUCUUCGAAACGCUGUAUGAGGGUCUGGCCAGAGAUGAACGACCAUGGCUGGCUUAUGACGACCCAGAUAGCAUGCUCCCUCUGACCUUCAAUCCGUUCGACGAAGCUCUUGAUAGGGACAAUGAGGUGAUGAUGGCAAUCGUGACUCCCAGAGCCAUACCAGUGAACUUCUUCGGCAGCACGAAAACUUCUCCCCAAACUUAUGAAUUUUAUAAUCCAUCGGCAUUAGCUCGCCAGCUAGCUUUCGGCCAAUUGCCGAUCGCACUUCCUUAUGCCGAUGUAAUAAAGCCCAGAGAACCCAUCGCUAACCUCCUCGAGUGGACUCGAGUAGCCCAGCUACCACCAAAUGCCGAUACAGACGUAGAUCUAUCAGAAUGGGUUCCAGCUGCCUUCAUCACUCAAGCAUACAAGCUAUGGUGGGCAGAAUGGAAGGAGAAUCUAUUCUGCAGAUCGGCCCUCUCAUACCGCGGCAUGAUCGACCCCGAAUACGAAGUCCCUGACGACACUGUAAGUAUUUUAAACCGAUGUCUCAUUUUCCAAUACUAUUCCCAUCGGUAACUUACCCCUGUAUUCUUUUUGCAGAUUGACAACACCCCCCCAUCGGUUAGCAGGAGUGGCAAGCCGAUCGACUUAUUCCCAUCAGGCCCGAUCUCCUCAAUCGGCCACAAUGCUCCCACUCUGGCUUCCAUCGUGCACCGGGGUGCGCGUCUCAAGAAAGUUACCACCAGGAAAACUCAGACAUCACCAACGGUAACUGCUUCCACUCUGGCGCAAGCUUUCAAGGCAAUCUGUUAAAACCCUUUUUAUUUAUGCUGAUUAUCUUUAUAUCGGUUAUCUGUGCUCAUAAACUCUUUAUCGUUGUUGCAGCAAACUGGUGCAUCGGCAAAAGCCAAACGCCAAGGUGCCGAUCCCCCCCAGUCUAGCCAGCCAAAGAGGAAAGGCGCCCAAGGUACUAAGACCGGAACAAAGCGUCAGAAAGUGGCAACUCCUCCUCCUCCUCCGGUGUCUCCAAUCCCGGUGGAAUCUUCCCCUUCUCCUCCAGAAGUCCAGGCACAGCAAGCACCAUCUCCUCAAUCAAUACAGGAAGCACCACAGAUGGAAGAACCUCAGCAAGAAGAACCUCAAACGGCAGGUACGUCAGCUGACGUAGGUGAACAAACAACUGGCCCGGCAGGUCCAGUUAUAUCAUCGGCGGUUUCCUCAAUUCAAACAACUGUUGUUCCUCUUCCGGGUAACAUGUCCCAACAAUACUCCUACCGAUAAACUUAUUUUCAUUUAUUCUUAUAAUCCCUCCUGUCCUCUUUCAGGCGAUAUCGUUCCAUCGGCAACAUUUGCCGAUCAACCUGCAGCUCCAUCAGCCUCUCUGAGUCAACGGCAGGAAAUCGCCUUGAAGCAAGUAAGUCAUCCACUUUCCCAUCGGUAUCAUCUGCCGAAGUUUUGACCAUAAAAUUGACCUAUUUCAUUUUCAUUUUUAGGAACAAGAUUCUCCCGACAGCUUGUUCUCCUUCGCUAUUGAUAUCUUCGAAGAAGAAGGCGAGGAAGCAAGCUCCUCUCGGGCAGUUGGAACUGUAUCGGCAGAAACCAGAGCUAGGCUGGAGGAGCUAUCGGCCAUACUUCAUCAAGACACAACUCAACUGGUCGACGAUUCUGACCCAGCCAAGGCCCUGUUCAAGACUCUUAGGGGCCAAAUUCCUGCCGAUGCCGAAGAAGCACUCUUCCACGCUGCACAUCUAGAAAGCCGCCAGCUACAGUAUCAGAGAGCUACUCGACGCCUUGCCGACAGAGCUGCUCAAAUCCAGCUCUCUGAGGAGAUGAUGAAAGAAAAACUCUUAGCCGAUGAGAAACAUAAGAACAUCGGCAUCUUAAAGUCCUCAGGUGAUGCACUGAAGCAGAAAAUGUCUGAUCUAUCGGCAAAAAGAGAAGCUCUGCUGGCUGAACUCAAGCAAGUAGAAGACGCCCUGUCCCAAGCCCAGCAAGAAGAUAGUCAACUGCCGGAGACCAUCAAGCAUCUUGAACAGGAACGAAACGUCCAUGGUCGUAAAGCGCUGCAACUGAAGAAGAAGCUGAAGCCAAUUGAAGGUUCUGCCGAUGACGAUAUCAAAGAGAUAGAGACAGCCAACCAGAUUCGGCUGCGCGCCAUAUCUGCAAUCCAAGCGCUGCUGAACAUCUGAAGCUUUCAUCGGCGACACACCUUUGUUUCUCCGUUUUUAGCUUUUAGUCUAGCCGAUAAGACUGUUAUCGGCAUCUUUUGAAACAUUAAGUCUGCCCUUGAACAUUUAAAUUCAGCCGAUAGGAGUGUUAUCGGCACUUAACCUUUUAUGCAUCGAUCCAUAUGCUGGGGUAGUACUUCUUCAAAUAUUUGCCAUUUAACGCUCUGGGAAAUUCAACUCCUUCGAGAGUUUCUAGAAUAUAGGCAUUACCAGGAGCUGAGCGUUUUAUCCGAUAAGGACCUUCCCAAUUAGGAGACCACUUCCCAAACUUUGAACUUUUAGUCCCGACUGGCAAAAUCAACUUCCAUACCAAAUCCCCAUCGGCAAACUCCUUAGCCUUCACCUUUUUAUCAUACCAUCUGGCAACUCUCUUCUUAUUUUCUUCUAUACUCAUUAAAGCCUUUAACCGAUGCCCUGCUAAAUCAUCUAACUCAUCGGUCAUUAAAGUGGCAUAAUCAUCGGCAGCCAAUUGAUCUUGAAAAGAUAAUCGCCUAGAUCCAGCCUUAAUCUCCCAAGGCAAAACCGCAUCAUGUCCAUACACCAAUUGAUAAGGUGACACCUUGGUUGAUCCAUGACAAGCCAUCCGAUAAGACCACAGUGCUUCAUUCAACAAUGUAUGCCACCGCCUAGGAUUUUCUUCAAUCUUUCGUUUAAUAAGCUUGAUAAUUCCCUUGUUAGACGCUUCGGCCUGCCCAUUGGCUUGAGCAUAGUAAGGAGAAGAAUUCAACACUUUAAUUCCCAUACCGAUUGCGAAUUCAUCGAACUCCCCCGACGUGAACAUGGUGCCCUGAUCGGUAGUAAUCGUUUGGGGAAUCCCAAAUCGGUAAAUAAUAUGCUCCUUCACAAAAUCAAUCAUAUUGGCCGAUGUGACUUUCUUCAAAGGAAUAGCUUCGACCCACUUGGUGAAAUAGUCAGUGGCAACUAGAAUGAAUUUAUGCCCUUUGCUAGAUGGUGGAUAAAUCUGGCCGAUCAGAUCGAUGGCCCAUCCCCGGAACGGCCAAGGUUUUAUUAUAGGAUUCAUAGCCGAUGCGGGUGCUCUCUGGAUAUUACCGAACUUUUGACAACCUUGACAUCCCUUGAAAUAUUUAAAACAAUCUUCAAGUAUGGUUGGCCAAAAAUAUCCAUUCCUUCGAAUCAUCCACUUCAUCUUAAAAGCUGACUGAUGCGCUCCACACACUCCUUCAUGAAUUUCUCCCAUCAAACUUCUGGCUUCAUCAUCACCCAAGCAUCGGAGAAGAAUUCCGUCGAUAGUUCGAUAAUACAAUUCAUUUUCAAGGAUCACAUACUUGGUUGCUUGAAAUCGAACCCGUCUUUCAACUUUUUUGGAUGGAUCCUUUAGAUAAUCAAUAAUUUCUUCCCUCCAAUCACCGGCACUGACUGCCGAUGUCGCAUUAAUCAUUGGCUGAUAUCCCGAGGCAUGCUGGGCUAACCGAUUAGCGUCUUCAUUAUGCAAUCGGGGAACAUGCUCCAAUCGGAAGUUCUUGAAUUCUUUUAAAAGUUGCAUACUUCUCUCGAAAUAGGUUAUGAGAACUUCACUUCGGCAUUCAUAGCUUCCGACCAAUUGAUUUAUAACCAACAUGGAAUCUCCGAAUACUUCAACAGCAUCAGCACGAACUUCUCUUAACAACUCCAAUCCCUUGAUCAGAGCUUGAUACUCAGCCUGAUUAUUUGUUGAUGUAGCAACAAUCGGCAAGGAAAACUCAUACUUCCUCCCUUUAGGAGAAACUAAUACAAUACCGAUUCCUGCUCCUCGGUCACAGGUAGAUCCAUCAAAGAAGAGCGUCCAGGGUGCAAUUUCCAAGGUCUCCACUAGACCGCAAUGCUGAGUCACAAGAUCGGCCAUAACCUGCCCUUUGACCGCCUUAGUCGAUUCGUAACGCAAAUCGAACUCCGACAGCGCCAAAAUCCACUUACCGAUCCUACCACUCAUAAUCGGCAUAGAUAGCAUGUAUCGGACCACGUCAUCUUUGCAAACAACAGCACAUUCGGCCGACAACAGAUAAUGUCUUAGCUUGAUACAUGAGAAAUAUAAGCACAAGCACAGCUUCUCUAUGGCCGAAUACCUGGUUUCAGCAUCAAUCAACCUCCUGCUCAAAUAAUAAAUCACUCUCUCCUUCCCUUCAAAUUCUUGAACUAAAGCUGAACCGAUAACCGAUCCAUCGGUAGAUAAAUAUAAUUUGAAGGGUUUCCCUUGUUGGGGUGGAACUAAAACUGGAGGAUUCACUAGAUACUUUUUGAUCUCAUCCAGAGCCAACUGCUGUUCUUCUCCCCAAACAAACUCCUGAUCGGCUUUCAAUUUAAGAAGGGGACUGAAAGCACGAAUUCUCCCAGAUAAAUUCGAUAUAAAUCUUCUGAUAAAAUUCACCUUGCCAAUCAAGGAUUGGAGUUCGGUUUUAUUGGUAGGGGCCACUAUUUUAUUGAUGGCAUCAAUAGAUCUUCGACUAAUCUCAAUACCCCUCUGAUGUACCAUAAAACCAAGAAACUGCCCUGCCGAUACGCCAAAUGCACACUUGUUGGGAUUCAUCUUUAAUCCAUGCUUCCUGGUGCACUCCAACACUUUUCGUAAAUCGGCAAGAUGCUUCGAGAAAUCUCCAGACUUAACCACCACAUCAUCAAUAUAAAUCUCUACGAUUUUGCCGAUGAACUCAUGAAAUAUAAAAUUCAUAGCCCUUUGAUAAGUAGCACCAGCAUUCUUUAACCCAAAAGUCAUGACUAUCCAUUCAAACAAUCCAACAUGACCAGGACACCUGAAUGCGGUUUUUGGAAUAUCCUCUUCUGCCAUGAAUAUUUGAUUGUAACCCGCAUUACCAUCCAUGAAGCUGAUGACCCGAUGGCCAGCCGCAGCAUCAACCAGUAGAUCGGCGACAGGCAUUGAGUAUCCAUCCAUCGGCGUAGCUUUAUUGAGAUUCCUGAAAUCAAUGCACACCCGAAGCUUCCCGUUCUUCUUGUAAACCGGGACGACAUUAGAAAUCCAUUCGGCAUACCGACACUGCCGAAUAAACUUAGCUUCAAUAAGUUUAGUGAUUUCGGCCUUAAUAUCAGGUAGAAUGUUAGGAUUACAUCGGCGGGCUGGUUGCUGAUGUGGCCGAAAUCCAGACUUGAUGGGUAACCGAUGUUCAACAAUUGAUCGGUCUAAACCAGGCAUCUCUGUAUAAUCCCAAGCAAAGCAAUCUUUAUAUUCCUUUAACAAACUAGUUAAUUGCCGUUUACACUCAGGAUCUAGUCUAGCGCUAAUAAAAGUAGGCCUAGGCUUAUCACCACUACCUAUAUCCACUCCUACCAAAUCAUCGGCCGAUGUGAAUCCCUGGCCCAAUUUUCCAUCAUCGGCGAAUCUAUCCAUUAAAAACCAUCGUCAGAACCGACUGCUUGGAUCGGUGGAAUCUCAUAAUCGGCAACUUUGAGAAAAUCUUUCUCCCAAACUUCUCCUGAAAUGCACCUAGUUUUUUCAUAAGUAUCUGCUUCUGCCGAUGCGAUAACAUAAGAAGAAUCUCCUGGGACGAUCUCAAUCUUGUCACCUACCCACUGAACCAAGCACUGAUGCAUUGUAGAUGGGACACAACAAUUGGCAUGAAUCCAAUCUCUCCCCAAUAAUAAAUUGUAGGCACCUUUCCCGCUGAUCACGAAAAAGGUUGUCGGCAAGGUUUUGCUGCCGAUAGUCAACUCUGCACAUAUCGCCCCCUUGACCGGAGACACGUUUCCCUCAAAGUCUUUGAGCAUCAUAUCGGUUUUGGUCAAAUCUUGGUCCCCUUUCCCAAGCUUCCGAUAUACUGCAUAUGGCAUAAUAUUAAUAGCGGCUCCACCAUCAACUAGGAUCUUAGUCAUUGGCUGCCCAUCAACCCUUCCUUUGAGGAAUAAAGCUUUAAGAUGCUGCCUCUCGUUAUCGGCAGGUUUCUCAAAGAUAGCCGUCAUCGGAUCCAGAGCCAACUGAGCUAUCUGAUCAGAAAAUCCCAACUCAUCAUCACUGGCUGGUGCAAGAAACUCCAUCGGCAACAUGAAUACCAUGUUGACACCUGCCGAUGGACCUUCCUUCUUAGUGUCUGCCGGCUGUCGACUCCCAGAGUUCUCUCCUUUAUUUAGCUCUUCCUGCCUUUCUCGUUGCAAUCUCCUUUUCUGUGUCUUGGUUAAUCCUUGAGGGCACCAUGGAGGAAGUGGCCUUUGUCUUGCCGUCGGGCGUUGGUUCUCUCUUGACUCCAUGCGAUGCGUGUUAGUAUCCCUGCAAAAUAUGAAUUCAUCGGGAACCCGCGCAUCAGCCAUUCUUUCAAGCUCCUCUUGGUUCCUGGGAAAAUACUGGACACGGUCACCGAGCCGAUCGUGAACGCUAAGCCUGCCCCCCAGCCGAUCAUGAACUGCCACCCUUCCUCUGAUCGGCCCAUUAAAUCGUCGUUCAUCAUCAUGAUAACGCCGAUCGUUCCUGUCGUACCGAUCAUAACCGUUGCAUUCAGGGCAGUCUCUGACAGUAGGAAGCUUGAUAUUUUCCUCCCAACAAUGGAUGAAGAAUGGGCAAUUCCAAUGAUCCCUGUGCCGAUUCCACUCCUGUCGGCGUCUCUCUUCCUCCCGUUGAUAAUCUUCCUGCUGGCGCCGAUAUCGAUAUUCCCGUUGUUGCCAUCUCUCUCGAGGCCUUCUAUGAGUUAUGACAAUACCAGACCGAGGAAGUCUUCCUGAGCUAGCCCCUUCCUGGACCAAGCCCUUACUUCUUGCAUCGGCGGUAGUAACUUGAUGCUGAGGAUCUACCGAUGCACUCUUCUCAGCUGUCUCCGACGUUAAGACCUUAGCCUUCCCCUUAGCGUCCAACAUGUUUGUCGGGAAAGGAUGUUGGUCUAUCUUCAUCGGCUUCUGGGCUUUAGAACUGUCAAACUUGAUUCUCCCCGACUCUAUAGCCGAUUGCAGCUGUUGUCUGAAUACUUUGCACUCGUUGGUGUCAUGUGACGUUGCAUUAUGCCACUUGCAAUAUCUCAUCCUCUUCAAUUCUUCUGCCGACGGGAUCACAUGGUUAGGUGACAGUUUGAUCUGACCUUCCUGAAGUAGAAAGUCAAAUAUCCUAUCGGCUUUGGCGGUGUCAAAGGCAAACUUCUCUGGUUCUUUCUGCCCAAAAGGACAAGACAUCGGCUUCUUGUUUUUUACCCACUCUGCCAAACCGAUUACUGGUUCCUCGUCGGAAUCUGAGCUUGUUGCUUCGUCAACAAAUGACACUUUCUUAUUCCAUGCCCUCUUAGGCUCGAAAGGCUUGAUGUCUUGAUCGGAUAUCCUCUGCACCAAGUGACUUAAACUUUCAAACUCCUGAGAGGCAUACUUAUCCCUGAUGUGUGGCAACAAACCCUGGAAAGCCAAAUCGGCUAGCUGCCGAUCAUCCAGAACCAGGCUAUAGCAUUUAUUUUUGACCUCUCGUAUCCUCUGCACAAAUCCCUCAACCGACUCAUCAUUACGUUGCCUCAACUUGACCAGGUCGGUGAUCUUCUUCUCAUGAACCCCCGAGAAGAAGUAUCUGUGGAAUUGCUUCUCUAGAUCGGCCCAAGUAAUUACCGAAUUGGGAGGCAAUGAUAUGAACCAAGUAAAGGCCGAUCCAGACAAUGAUGAUGAAAAUAGACGAACCCUUAAUUCGUCCCUGUUACCAGCUUCUCCACAUUGAAUAAUGAACCUGUUGACAUGCUCCAUGGUUGACGUGUCGUCCUGUCCGGAAAACUUUGUAAAAUCCGGUACCUUGUACCGAUGUGGAAGCGGGAUCAAAUCAUACGCUGGAGGAUACGGUGUCCGGUAAGAAUAAGUGUUGACUUUGGGUUUUAUCCCAAAUUGUUCCCUCAUUACUUCAGCAAUCUUAUCGGCCCAAUAAGCAUCGGCAUCUUGCCGAUGAGGCGGCUGCGGAUCCGGUACUUGGUGGCGAACCUCCACGUGCCUGUUUGGGACGUGACCUGUAUGGAACAUUGUAUUGGCCACUUGUCCUCCAAUCUGUGGACUACCAAACUGCUGUCCACCGAUUGGCUGUCCUCCGAGUUGCUGUCCAAAAUUUAUUGGCUGGUUGGGAAUUCCCUGACCUUGGAACCCGGGAUAAACCUGCCCUUGCUGGAACCCCGUAGUCUGAUAACCCUGCUGGGGCGACUGUGGAAAGGCUUGCUGUCCAAGCCAUCCAUUAUUAGCGUUCAUCGGCAUAGGUGCUGCCGAUGAUUGGUAAUUGGGUAUCGUCGUUGAAUUGACAUACCCCGACUGGGCCAUAGGCCUCUGUUGCAUCAGCAUUGACUCUGCCGAUGCGUUGGGCAUCUGGAACAUUGAAUCUUGAGGAUUUCCAGUGUGAGGCCUUGCAGUAGUAGUUGUGGUAUACCGAGGACUCUGGUUCACCGGCACAUUGGAAGGUACCGACGUCAUAGGAGUUUUGCCCCUCAUGUCAGUUGUCUGUGAUGUUCCCGGCGUCAACUCUGGAGGCAUACCAUAACCCCACCAGUUGGGGGGAAGAUUUAACCCUGACAUUGCCGAUGCCAACAUAUCUGUCGUCAGUUUAUGCUGCCCAACUGAAAUUUGGGGGUUGGUUGCCAUCGGCAUAGAUAGUGCACCGGUAGUCCCCAAUGUACUUGGAGGGACGGCAGACUGUGCACUUGCACUCGUUAAGGCAGCCGAUGGAGCCGUGACCUCUGGUGCCGUGGGUUGAUGAUGGGAAGGGCCCACAUAAUCCGGCGGGAUUUGUCCUUCCUUGAAAGUUCUUGCCACGGCGUUGAACACCGUGUUAGACAGUACACCAGCUUGGUUGAUCAGCGCUCGAUUGAUGGCAUUGUCAACCAUGUCUUGAAGCUUGCCAGGAUUAGCGUCGAAAGUGACCUGCCGUGGUGCCGGCAGUGCAUCUUUCUGGACCACUUCGCCGCUUCUGUUUAUGCUGAAAGACUUCAGGCACUGCUGCUUGAACUCUUCCAUGGCUUGGGCAAUAGCUUGCUUCUGCUCAUCCUUAAGGUUAGCUUCCGUCACGGGGAUGACAUUGUCUUGAUCGAGGUCAGAGAUCGACAUGCUGAUCUUGAUCUUGAAUCGGUCCCACUGGGCGUGCCAAAAGAUGUGUUGAUGCAAAACUGAUCUGCAAACACAAAGGGCUAAUACCCGAUUCAAACGUUAAGGCGUGCCAGCCGAUUUGACCUUACUAUCGGCAAAGGUGAUAACUCGAAUACUUUAGUCCUGACAACAGCGAUACGCCCGGAUGUCACGGCUAAGAGGUACUCACGCGGAACUUGAGAAUACGCCGAGCUUAAGUCGACGAAUUCCUAAGAACUCGUAAUAAAAGGGAAAAAGUAUGACGAAGUCGUCGAAAAGUAGAUGCUGGAAUAUGAGUAAAAACGUGUGUUUGAUUGAUUGAUAGAUCUCUUUUUGAUUACAAGGUCUUAGGGCUUAUAUUUAUACCCUGCUCAAAGAGCUACGACCAGACACGAUUAGAAUUCGAAUUCCAAAUUACACGGAACCCGUAUACAAAACGACACGAAUAACAUAAGGAAAUAAUAAAACCAUCCUUCGUGACAAACCGAAACUUCCUCCACAUGACAACUGGCAGCUUCCGGACUCCUCCUUCGCGUCAUCGGCAAUCCCCUUGCCAUAGUCAUCGGCAGACCCUUUUACUUGGUCAUCGGCACUAUAUUACUGUCUGGGGACUUAGUCACAUUCAACCUUUCCCUCAUCGGCAACCAUCCUUACCAGCAACCCGCAUCGUACUGCCACCCUGUCCUGCCAUCCUGGACACGUGCCCAAAAAUGGUGUCAACAUUGGUAUAAUGCACAGUGAUAUUGCCUUCUCUCUCUCCCUACUCUAAUAAGGUUUUGAUAUCUGGAGCUCAUAGGUGGGAGACAGCUAAUACAUACUUACAAGACAUUUAUUGCAUAGUCAAACCAUGGAUCCAGAGAAACAAGUCAAUAAGUCAAAUCAAGAUGUGCAUGUGUGGCGAAUGAAUGGUGUAUGGUGAUGAUGGUGAUAAUAAUGGUGAAAGUCUAAUUCUACUUUUGCUCUUUUGAGGGGAUACAUACCUUUCUUGCAUUUUGAAGCUUUUUGGGGAGAAUGAGAUGCUCUAUAUUUUCUCUUUUUUUUCUCAGGUGGGUAUCUUGUACCCCUAAUUCUACUGUCGGACACUUGUCCAUUUUUACCUCUCGUCUCACGUUUUCUUUUUCUUUGAGGUUCCGGGCACUUGCCCCUUUUUAUUUCCUCGUAUUUUUCCACUCUUUUUUUAGAGCACUCACGUACUUAAAUAAUAUGGCAAGUGGUAGUAACCAAGAUAACUUGAGCAUUUAUUUCACAGGGAAUAACAGGGAUAGGAAAAUAUUUUUGGCUAUUCUCUCCCGGAUUAGGAGUAGAAUAAUUUCGGGUGAAUGUGGAGAUGGAAAUGAGUGGAUAUAUGUGGAUGGUACUUCCGGAGUAGAAAUAGCAUGUAUGAGUGAACGUGCAAGUAAAUCUUGAUUUUAACCACAUGACAAGCUCCUAAGGGUCUACACAGCUUGACCACACUCAAUGCUCAUAAGCAGUAAAAAGUAAAUGUGUGGCUCAAAGUCUAAUAAGCAUGUAUAUAUGGCUGUGGUAGGAUUUUAAACUCUCAUCAUACAGGAACUCAUCAUCUGUUAUUUUAAAGAUUUUCAAAGAUAAAAUUCUCCAGAAUUCUAGCAUCUCUAGGAACAGAUAAACAGCAGCUCAACCUUCCCAUAUCAUAUCCGUUAACGACUUAGACUUUUAGAUCAUGUACUCUUCCCACAAGUUCAGGUUUAGAGCAAAUCUUACUUCAUAACAGUCAUGCCCUAACUUGAGAGAGAUUUCAAUUUUUAGAACUAGUCAUGGCAGAGCAACUAUUCAUCAUUUCCAUGUGAGAGUUUAUCAUGAGGGUUCAUAGCAAACUUUAUUUAUUUAUUUAUUUAGCAAACUAAGCAAAAAUAUAUAUAUAUAAAAGCACAAAAUCUUUAUUUGGGUUUUCAUGAUUAUGCAUCUUUUAUUAUUUGAGUAAAGUAUAAACGCGAGUAGAAACACUUAGCUGGAUAAAUGGGGGUGCUCUCCCCCAAGCUGGAUUUUGACGUAAUUUCUUCUGAUGUAGCUAGCAGGUGGUGGAGGUGUAUUUGAAAGUCAGCAGCAUUCUGACAGUGAUUAGAAUGUCCUCCGUCUGCUAGUCUUCUUGAUUCUUAAAUUCUGUGGAGCUCAAAUAGACAACAAAGCUUUGUGGUACUGGUUAAGUGUUAGCAUAAAUAUCUAGCCUUUAUCAUGUUGAGCUUCCUCAAUAAAUGUUACUUAUUUAGCAGGAUCAUGCACUUAUUAUUUUUAUAUUUUUAUUGUAAGAUGAAAACUUAUUUAUUUUAUUUUUAUGCCACCACAGUGAAUGUACUUAUGGGUUUUAUGCCAUGAGCAUACUCACAUGGGGCUUACUAUUUUUUUAUUUUUUUAACAUUUUUAUUUUCUUUUCAAGAUAGCAUGAACCUGAUUAACUAAGCAAACUAUUGAAUGGAAAAGGAUAACUACCAAGUUUACCUCUUGGCAAGGCGUUCGAUAUUUUUAAGUCCUCCGAACGGGACUCUCCGUUUUCUCAGUCGUCCUGGGAUUCGCUAGGUGGCGUAGUCGGUGAUUCCGGCGGCGCCUCUCUUCGUGUAUAACUAUCUUCUCCCUCCACACCUGACUCAGUGCUACGGUCUCCUCAGGACAGUUCUGUUCAAGCUGUAUGUCUUCAGACCUUAUCACUUCUCCUUUGUAGUCUUCUUGAUGAUUUGCCUCCUCUGGUUGCGGUUGCGUUGUCUUCUUCUUGUCCUGACCUGCUUAGAAUCUUCAACUAUAUAGUUAGAAUCAUUAAAGUAGUGGCGUACCUUCUCAGAGGGGAUGUGCAUGUGGACUUCUCUGGUUCCAAUAUAGAUGAUGGCUUUGAUAGUGUUUGAGGAACGGUCUUCCAAGGAUGGUAGGUAGAUCGUACUCGUCUUCUCCCAUGUCAAUGUUCUGAAAAUCAUCUAGAGCUGAAUAUAUAUUGGUUGUAGGGGCAUGGUUCCAUACAGGAGCUGAUAAGUGACUGCGGUCAUUAUGUUGAUGUCAGAUCCGGUGUCGUAGAGUGUCUUCUGAAAAGAGUAUCCAUUGAUUGUGCACUCGAUGCUUGGAACACCAGGGUCGUCCUUCUUGAUCAAGAAAGGUGACUUGAGUCGACGAUCUUGACCUCCUUGAGCUACAGUGAACAUCUUAGCUGACUCGGUCCACAUUUGCUUGUUCCUGUUCCUCGUGUUGGUCUCCUGUUGGUCCUCUUCCUUGGUUCAUGUCGGGAUUGCUCUGAAGUUUGUGUAGUCUUGUUCUUGAAGGAAAGUCUCCUUCUUCCCCUUGAUGUAGAGACUGAUCUUGGCAGCAUUAGCGUAGAUGACAGCUCUGGCGUUUAGGAAUAGCCUCCCUAAGAUGAUGGGUGCGCUCUCCUUAGUACCAGUCUCUAUCACCACGAAGUUUGCUGGAGCGUACAAGGUACCAACUCGGACACAGAGGUUCUUCAAUUUUUCCUUUGGGAAACAAAGUGUCUGAUCUCCAUUGUGUUUGUGCUCGUAGAUCCCGGUUCUUCACUUGGUGGAGUCUGGGAGUUGUAAAACUCCUCCAUGUUUUGCUUGAAGUGUACCUAUUCAUAGAGACAAGGCAGAGAUCAAGUGCAUGGGCCCUGUUGGUGGAAAACACCAACAGAACCAAAAGUGUAUUUGUUCUUCUCUAACCUUAAGCAUAGUGAGCAAGACAAAGUUGAUGGAUCAUGAGUGUAGCAUUUAAAACAUUUGUUAGAUCAGAUGGCUCAACCUAAUGGAAAGAUAAUCUAUCUAUAUUUAUGUUUUGUUUAUAUCUUCCAAAGAUUGAAUGUGCAACAUAUUAGCUUAUAUGUUUAGGAGCGUGGGAUCAGAAAGGUAGUACUAAGAACAAAGAUUAAAGGACUAAACAUGUUGAAUUAAUUGGGUUGAUUAAUUUGGAGCUACAAAUCAUACAAGUUUGUCUCUUUACUUUAUGUGAACGCUAGAACCAAGGAGAAGCUUAUAAAAGUGAUAGUCAAGUACCUUAAAAUGUUACCUUACUUGAAGAGUGACGGUAUAGUAUCACCUUGUGGAAGCUUUCCUUUCUUAGCGGUUGUGCAUCGUGUUUGUGGCACCCUCCAUGAAUCAUCUCUUAUGAGCUACGUCUUUCUUGUGCAAAUUGUUAAACUUCAUGUGUCACUUUCUUCAUCUCAAAUGUGAGUUUAUCUCAGGACUUCCCAGGUUGAUAUUGAAAGUUUUCCUGCAGGGGUUAGUCCCACAAAAUAUACCAAUAUCUACUCAAGCAGUUUUUAGUUCAGUAACCAAACUAGACUCCAUGUCUAAUCAGAUUAAGGAAGGCUGUUUAACCUAAGCACCAUGCUUAAUUUAAAUGCCAAUGGAAGUAUGUCGAGUACUUCCAAACCAACACUUACUAGGAUAAACAAAGGUAGCAUGAUGGCAUUUAUAGAGAUCUACUCAAGUGGAGAUGAAGUAGUGUGAUUAGUACUUAACAAAUUGAGCAUCUCUCAAAGGUAGGGACAACCAACAUAGCAACAUGGCAAAGGAUGUUUUUAUGUAAAGUACUCCACCAAGCUUGAAUUUUGUGAAAUUCAAGUUUGGAUGAAUUUAAUUCAAUGUUGUAUGAUUGUGGGUUGGACAUACCUUGUGCUUGUCAUUCGUCCGAUCUUCUUGCUCCAAUCCUGAAAAGGUUAGUGGCAAGAAUACCCGAAGGAAUAUUUCUACAAUUAUCUCAAUAUGCUCAAUACACAAGGCCAUGUUGCAAAUAAUUAGAAGUUCAUGUUACGAUCUGAUAAGUGCUUGUUUAAGGAUGCUAAGCUUAUCCUUGGGAAACCAUCAAGUUAUGUUGGUGAAGUGGUUUCCCCUCCAACACCUACCUAUAUCAAGAUCAACUCAACGAGAUCUGCAAUAUUUAUUAUAGACAUAUGCAUCGACAACUGCUCUUUUAAAGUUGUUAUAAAUAGAAAAGAAGAAGGGGUUGGAGAUCUCAAAUGUGGUAAGGAUGGAGAGACAAAUUGAUUGGAGAGAUGUUUUAUAUGAGCAAGGACUGGGUGAGGUAUUUAUGAAAUAACUUCCAUGCUCACUGUUGUUUCUCUCAUUCUCAAACUCCAAGGAUGAUUCUUCAUGAAUGUUUAAAAUUCCUCUAGGAUUGUCUCUCAAGUUUGUUUUAUCUAUCCAUUCAAUGGUGAUAGCACAUGGAUUUUUAAUGCCCUCUAACCAAUGAUGUUGCUCUUCUCGAUCCUCCUUGUAGUCUUGGUGACUCUUAUGCAUGGGAUGUCUAGAGAGAUUCAUAGAAUUAUCGGGAGGUUCAAGAGAAAGAUAAGAGUAGAAAUUAUUAGGCUCAAGGAUGGGUUGGAUAGCCGAAUCAUGGGAUUGGAAUGUUUGGAAAUUGGCUAUUGAAACUUCUUUUCCUCGUCUGGGAGAUGAUUCCUUCACUAUCUCUAGGAUAUUUUUAUGAAGACUAGUGCAAGAAGGAUGUCCACAAAUGAAGACAUACCUUCCUUUACUGAUAGAUAAAGAAAGAAAGAUUCUACCAAAGGUUAUAUGAUUAAGACCAAUGUGAAAAUAUUGAGAAAAAGCAUGGUCUUGUAGGGCUAGGUCUAAACCAGAAUUUAUAGAAAGAUUAACAGAUUCCCUAGGUGUAGCUAAAAGUGCAUUAUCUUCUUGAUUAAAAGAUAGGACCUUGGCUAUAGAAAAGGGUUGGUUUUGACCUAUUGCAAUCAACUCCGGACACAGAUCAUAAUUAGGGGUAGGACUUGUUGACUCCCAUGGUCUAUGGCUGGUCUCCGAAGGUGCAAAAAAUUCAAUAAUAGGUAUGGAAUUUAAGUUAUCCAUAAAGAUAAAAAGAUAAAAGAAUAAAAGUAUAAGAGUAUAAUACAAGAUAAUAGCAAGACUCAAAGUUAUCUCAGCAAACCGUCUUUCUCCCCGGCAACGGCGCCAGAAAUGCUUGUUGAUAUUUGGUAACGCAAUUAGAAAAUGAUCCGCAAGCGCACGGAUAUCGGUGAGCAUUUCACCCGGGAGGUUUUCCAGAGUUAUCGUAUUUAUAUUUUUACCACUGCGAGAAAGGGUGCAUCUGACUAACCAAAUCUAUUGCUACUACCCCUUUAGGCUACAAAGAAUGUUUCUCGAUGUGAGCGAUGUAUAGAGAAGACUGCAACCGUAGUCUCGUUCUAACCUUGGUAAGGAUGAUCUAAUGUUCUAUUGGGGAGGCUCACAGAAUCUAGACACCACAGAGGAUGUUCGACCCGCACCUAUAAACCUACCCGUCCUGCUAACAAGAUAUGGGAUACAAAGGUAACUCGGAAAUGUCACGUUCCUCGCUACUACCACGGUCCAGCUAGUCAGAAGAUAUCUAUGAGUACCCUAGCCUAAACACCACGUUUUCGCUAGCAAGUGAUUACUCUAAUACUCAACCGGAAGAGGAUUAAAGUAAACUCAUAAACCAAAGAACAAUAAAACAAUAAAUUACUAGAAUUAGAAGUCAAAUUACUGAAGAAUCUUAGAAGCAAGCCUCGGGUUAGGAGACUUGAUCCCGCAGGUACAACUCAGAGUAGACACCGACAAGCCGGCCUUCCUGCGAUCUACACCUCCACUCUAUCUCUCUCAAUCUAGUAGAGACUAGAAGAUCUAUUUCUACUUACAUUGGUUGCUAAGCCUAAAAAGAAAUAUUAUUUAGAGAAGAGGUUUUCCUUCGAGGGCACCCCUCAAUCUCUAUGAUAACUUCUUGUCUUCUCCAGGGGCCAGGGGGGUCUCCUUAUAUAGUCCUCCUCCUCUAUGCAUUUUUGGUUCAGCAGGCGAUGUGGUACUAAACUUUCCACCAUAUCUCAUUAAAAUACACAUAGGCCUUCAUGGACCAAAAUCUGAUUUGGGCCCAAUUAAUUCCGCAGCUCUUUUAUGUGGAGUCCUUCUUUUAUUAAUAUCUCUUGAUUCCGAACUCCAAAUAUAGCAAAUAAUAUAUGCAUUUCGAUCAGCUCGACGAGAUCUUUGUAAUGGUGUCCUCCAUUCUGUGUUUGGUGGAAACACCUGGGCGGGCGCCCAAGGGGAGAGGGCGGGCGCCCUGCCCCCGGGCCCGUUCGGCCUCCCGUUCGUUCCCGUGGUUUCUGGACUCUUCUAGAUGAUAGAAAAUUGCGCGGCAUGUUAAUAUCUCUAUGUAAACCCGACAUGUGGGCCUUUCUUCCUUAUUUCUUGAUAACCCCCUGCAGAAAUAGACAAACACCAAAACUCGUGGAAUCCUGUCUGAUAAAACCCUAAGUCUAGGUGUUGAUUGCAUUUGGAUCCUUUUCUUUAUUUAUUUGAUGAUUAUAUUUUGUACUUAAGGACCGUCAACACCGAUCAUCUUCUGCCGCUACCUCUUCUUCAUUAUCUCCCCCCAUUGCAACAUCAUUGAAGCCACCGUACUGAGCGAUAAUAUUGGCAUGGUCCAAUUCUUCUUCUUCUUCUUCACCUUCAUCCAUUAUAAUCCCGAUUUCUCCAUGUUUGGUCCAACAAAUAUAGUUUGAUACGAAACCUGACUUUAAUAAGUGCGAAUGAAGAGUUCUUGAGUUAGAAUAUUCUGUCAAAUUCUUGCACACGGCACAUGGACAGCACAUGAAACCGUCUCCCUUAUUUGUCUCGGCCACACUUAAGAAAUAGUGCACGCCAUUAAUGAACUCUUCGGAGCGCCGAUCGGUAUUAUACAUCCAAUUACGUGUUAUCAUCUGCAUUAAAUAUAACAUAUAUAUUAUGAAAACCAUGCACACAUAUAGUUUCUCAUCUUAUUGCACAACAUGUCUAAGAUACAUAGUUGAUUAAUUCAGGAAAGCUUGUAUUGACACUAGCUAACACCACUUAGAUACUAGGUUGUCAUCCCUAGCAUGGCGCCAGAGUGUACAAAGGUAUUUAUAAAUGUAAAGGCUCUCUAGAAAAUAAUCUAUUCUAUCUGCAAGCGCACAGAUAAAACACCUCAUUGUAUUAUUUGACCAGGAUAAGUAUUCCAGGUAUCGUUAUUUAUAAUUUUGCUCAAGGGAUGAAAUUAAAAUAAGGGGGCAAAAUCUAUCAAGGCAUAGACUACAGAUAAACUUGCAAGAACAUGAUUACUAAUGAGAAACUCGUCACACAGUCACUUACUUUAGCAGGGGGUAAACCAUAAAGAUAAUGAUAAUGAAUUAUAAGUUCAAGCGAUAAAGAACACAGCGAUUAGAAAAUAGACUACUCCUCAUAUAUGUAGGUGAUGUCGGAUUAGCUAGAGAAUGGAUUCUAAGUUAUCUACUAACUACUAAGUCAUAAUCUACUCUAGUUAUCUACAAGAUCAUAUAUAGCAUAAAAGACUCUUCAUUCAUGUAUAAGGAACAUUGAUAAAGUAAAUCAGAGCAUCGCAUGACUUACUCCACAAUACCGGUUCUGCCUGUCCUAUCAACGGAGGGUGGACUAUAUAAGAAUCAACGAAGCUGUCAUUAUCGCGAACUACCACACGACCCGGCCAAUAGGAUACAUUUGCAGAUAAAUAACAUCUAAGCACCACGCUCACAUGUGAUCUAUCACCUAACUCCCUCGCGUCAAGAGCUAAGCGCUUUGCAAACUUAUACACAAACUCAUUAUCAAUUAGAACUAUAUCAAAUAUAGAACUAGAACAAACUAAGAACAUAAUAAUUAGAGACAUAAUGCAAUUAGAACACAGAAUUAGAGAAAGAUAUGAAUAAUACCAAUCUUUAUUACCGAAGAUCCGAAUCCAGAGCGUAGUGCUCUACUUCUCUAAUUGCUAUCUAAUCAAACCUCUAAACUUGAAGGAUUAGGGAGUAGCUAAUUCUAAUUCUCUGUGGGAGAGAAGCUCUAAACCCUAACUUUGAUGGCUACCUCUGAAUAAUGAUUUCUUCUCUUCUCCUCUCUUCCAGGGGGGUUUUGGCCUUGGUUUUAUAGUCCCCUCAAGUGAACGUGAGCCAUUGGAUCAAACCGACAUAGAUUGUAUGGUUUAGAUUGAUCCUUUAGGUCGGUGGAGCGUAGUCCCGAAGCAGAGUCCCAAUUGGGUUCCAACCCUGGGCGGGCGCCCAACGGGGGUGGGCGGCCGCCCUGCCCCCGAGCCCGAUCGUGCUCUCGUUCGUUCCCGUGGCUUCUGGAAUCUUCUAGAUUGAGGAAAAUUGCACGGCACGUAAUUAUCUCGUUGUAAACAUGACAUGUGGGCCUUCUCUCCAUAUUCUCUGAUAACCCCCUGCAGAAAUAGAUAAACACCAAAGCUCGUGGAAUUCUGUCAGAUAAAACCCUAAUUCUAGAUGUUUGUUUCAUAUUGAUCCUUUUUCAUGUUUAUUUGAUUAUUAAUUUUAGUACUUAAGGACCGUCAACAAACUCCCCAAAGAUUACCCUUUGCUCGUCCCUGAGCAAAUAGCUAAACUUAGACGAAUCAGAAGUUGCUUCGAUGUUUUCUUUCCUGACAGGCACACAUGGUUUUGCAUAACAUUCUUCCAGAUUAGAGUGAAGUGUUAUGGAGUUUAGUACCUGCACUUAAAUCGUAAGUGAUCGAAAGACAAAAUAAUUAAGUCAAGCACUAUUCCUCCUGUCUAUACUUCACCUUUGUUCCAGAGUUUUUCAUAAGUUUUCAAAAUAAAACUCAGAGUUCCGAGCAAUGAUUCUUUCAAAUCUCUCUAUAUGUGGUAUUUGUGGAUCCUUACCAUAAUGUCACUUACAUAUAGCUAAUGGAAUAUUUAAGUGGAGCUCAUAGGAGUGAAAAAAAACAGCUCAUACAUAUGUUGUCUAAUCGAGCUAUGGAUCCAAAGGAACUCAGCAUAUAAUUAAAUCAAGAUGUGCAUGUGUGGUGGAGUAAAUGAUAGUGAUGGUAAAAAAGUAUAAGUAAUAAUAAAACUUAGUUCUCAUUGCUCCUCAUAUUGCUAUCUCUCCUCCUCUUUGAUCUUUGCUUUAGGGGAACAUGGGCUAUCUCUUUUUCUUUUUCUUUUCUUUUUUUUCAGGUGGGUAGUAGAUACCCCUAAUUCUACUGUCGGACACUUGUCCAUUUUUUUCCGCUCAAGUGGGCAUCUUUGUACCCCCUAAUUCUACUUCGGACACUUGUCCAUUUUUACCUCCCAUCUCACUCUUUUUCUUUCUUUUUCGAGGUUCCGGGCACUUGCCCCUUUUUAUUUCCUCACAUAUUUUUGCAUAACCCAUGCGUCUUCUGCAUUGAAUCUUUUUAGAGAGAGAGAAUAACAAUAUUUGGGACAGUGAGUGAUAAUAUUUUUCGCAAUUUUAAUGAUUGGUGAUGAAUGCCAUGGUAGAUGUGUGCAAGUGAAUAUCUUAAUUUAACCACAUGAAAAGCUCCUAAGGGUCAACACAGCUCGAUCAAACUCAAUGUAAAUAUAGUAAAAGAUGUUAUAGCAAGUAUGGCUGUGGUAGGUAGUUUUGUAUACAAGGAGCUCAUCAUGUGAUUUGUAAGUUUUCAAAAUAAAUCUCCAGAACUUAGUGUAGUCGGAACUAGAUAAACAGCAGCUCAACUUUAUAUCAUGCCUUUCUCUUACCUAGAUUUAGUUUUAUGCUUCCUAAAGAUAGUAAAUUCAGUUUUAAUAAUUCCUGGAAUAACUCUAAUGUAAAAGCUAGGUACUUGAAAGUAAGCAACCAGAGCAGCUGUUCAUUAUUUCCAUCAUGUAUCUUUUUGGUCUUUUAUUUUUCUAGAGAUUAAACUUAGCAGGGAAAUAAAGCACACUCAUCUACACUCUUUUUAUUUUGUUUUCAUGUUUAUAAAAUGCAGUAAAUUAAAGUAAGAAAAUAUUUAUUGGGUUUUCUAAGUUUUUCCUUUUAAGAUAAAAUACUAAAAUAGAAAAGAAUAAAUAAGAAGAGCAAAUAAAAACUUACUUGAUAAAUUGGGGAGGAACUCCCCCAAGCUGGAUGUUGACGUCGGUCUUACCCGAUGUUCCAGAACCGCAUCAUGGUUGUGAUGUUGUCAUUCAUUGUUGUUGUAUCUUGUCUCAGCUCUUCUACUGCAGCGGCAUGGUCCUGGUUCCAUUUUUGUUGCUCUUCCAGGAGUCUUCCAUGUUCUGCUUGCGUGUUCUGGAUGUCGAGGAGAGUGUUGUUGGUACGAGUGAAGAAAGCACCGGCCUCUUGAUAGUAGUCAUUCGUGAAGGCGUAGGAGGCAUCGGAGUAUCGUCCUGCAUCAAAUUGGGACGGAGGUCUGGAUCCUGAAGCUCCAUAUGGAUCAGUGGAGUACCUGCCCGUACGGAAAGGCGGGUUUGUCCACUGGUGAUCUUGGCUUUCCGGCCAUGUCUCCUCUGUUGGCUCUUGUGGUUGCGCAUGUCGAACCCAUGGGUCUCGAAGGACUCGGGGGUUGUAAUCGCAAUAAUGCAGGUGCGCUGCUUCUUCUGGUCCAGGGUCAGCUCCAUACCAGGUGCGUUCUUGAUGGGUGGUCAUCCUUUCAGAUGCCACUCGUUGUGGAGCUCUCUGGUUUACUGGUGUUGCUGCAAUCUCAAUCAAGAAAUUUUGGACAACGUAUAGGCCAAGGUUCGGGUUAGGUAACCGAAUCUUGCCUGUAUCAUCAUAUAGCAUAUACAUUAUAUUCCCCUCUUUCUUAAUGUAUCAUAGCCAUGGUAAAUUCAUAACUCAUCUAUGAAGUCCAAUGACGAGUUUUCUAGUAAGUGAAGAUUAAUGGCUAGACGAGUGAU